rnacentral:lncRNA from 1 species
UUCUCUAAUAUCCAAUCAAUUUCUGCACGUGAUAACAUUUUAUAUAAUAAUUAUCAAAGUUGUGAACUUUUUUAUUACAAUACCCUAAGAUAACAGUCGGGGACAAAAUUAAUUAUCCUUUAUUGGAGCUUAUUUUACAAGGGAACCACAACAAAUCUGGAUACAAACACACAAUAGGAAAACAACUAUCAUAAGCCAAACCAACAUCAACCACCUAAAGAAUAAGCAGGCAGCACGGUUGCGCUACUUGACCUAUUCUCAGCUCCUAGGUAUGUCCCUUUUUCUCUCUACUCCAAUACUAAAUUUUUGCUCAUCCCUGAAGCAUGUUCAAGCACUUUCUUCUCAUCAGGAAGUGCCUUGGCAAUAGUCUCCCUCUGCAAGCAUCUCUUCACCCAAGCUUUGAACUUGGGGCACUCAGCCUCAACGCUGGACUUUCCAAAUGUCUCAUACGUGUAAUAGAAUGGGAUCAAACUCAAAUCCAAAUACCCAAAAUUGUCUCCUCCGAAGAAAGGCUUGUCUCCAAGCUGCCCUUCCAAGGUCUUCAGAGCUUCAAAGAACUCCUUCUUAGCCGCCUCCUGCUCUUCUCCCUUUGUGGUCCAUGUCUUCGUCGAAGCAUCGUACAUCUGCAAUUUACUUUCAAUAUUUGUAUCAGAAAAUCUGGCUGAAAAUGGAUAAAAUUUAACACAUUCAGGUUCCUCAUCCCUCUCAAGACAACAAAAUCAGCAACAGGUAGGUUACAGUCUUACAGCCUGCUGUAAAACUAUGUACAGGCCAAAAAACAUCCAAAAACAAUAAAGGAGCAAGUUGAAUUCUAAGCAUAUUUUAAGAUUUUCACCUAAAAAUUCAGCUUAAUCGCUUGUUUCUCUUUAAUUAUUUUCAAGACAAAAGAUUCUACUAUCUCAAAAAUAUAAAACUCCCAAAUAUCCAGCUAUUCCUUAAAAAAAAAAAAUCUAUAAACUCACACACCCACUAAAGCUGAAACCAAGAAAUAAACAUUAAGAAGGCCACUACUUACUACACUUACUACUGAAACUAGACUUUAACUGCAAAUAUUCAGCCUAAUCUGGUUUAUAGUACUCUCGCUCUGAUCCUCAUCGUUGGGCCCUUUACUGAUCUUAUGCUACAACUACAACCUACUAAAGUUUAUAAUAUCUGCAUCAUAGUGCUGUAAAAACCAAAAUCUUCAACUCUAUAGGGGACAUCUUUUCCCCCUCCGUUCAAUGCAAACCCAGUUUAUUUGUAAUCAAACAACAAAUCCAUGAUAUCUACUCGACAAUGAAAUAUUUUAAUAAAAAAAUUUCGGCUUCUAUUUUAAUAAAAUUACAAUUAAAUCUAAAAUUGAAAAAAUACCCAUAAACAUACUUCAGAAAAUCAACAACAAAGUUACCUUCUUGUCAAUGAAAUCUACCCAGAACCUAGCUUGAGCUCUCUGGUAGGGAUCAGAGGGAAGCAAUGGAGCCUUGUCCUUCCACACUUCAUCAAUGUACUGAACAAUGAUGGAUGACUCACAGACCGGUCUGCCGUUGUGGAUGAGAACCGGGAUCUUCUUGUGAACCGGGUUCAUCUGCAGAAGCAGGGGGCUCUUGUUCUUCAAGUCCUCUUCCUUGUAUUCAUACUUGACGCCUUUCUCCGCCAGAGCAAUCCUGACCCUCAUCCCGAACAUGCUGGGCCAGAAAUCCAACAGAAUCACUUCGUCCGCCAUUAUUACAGAAGCUUACUAAGAAUCAACAGUGAAUAAAUGAAAAGACACGAUAAACACGCCGAAAGUGAGGUUACGAGAGUGCAUAUUUAUAGCGAAAAGUUUGCGCUAAUCGGUUUGGACUUGGCAAAUGUUUGAGAUGGCCGUACGUGGCUAAGGCUCCGUUUGGUACAGCUUAUUAAAUAGAGCUUAUAACAGUAGAGCUUAUAGCAGUAGAGUUUAUACCAAUAGAGCUUUUGGACAAAAAGUCAUUGGGUGUUUGGUUGUCAAUAAAAAACCAAACACCAUAAGCACUUAUGACUCUUAAAUAAGCCAUACCAAACAGGCACUAAUAUUGGUCUCGUUCUAGCUCCACCUGUAAUACAACGCUGCACCACAUACAUCGUUAUUGAAUUUUUUAUUUAAAAAUUAAUUGGCCUUUGGAUCGCACUCAAAAGUAAUCCAACGGAUUAUAUUUUUUUUGGCUAAUGUUGGCUACCGGAAGUAUCAGUUGCGAUUGAUUGAGAUAUGGUAUAAAUACGAGAUUUUUUUUACCCGUUCUCUUUUCAUCUGUCUCUAAAGCUCAGGCAAUUGGGCAUUCAAUUGGUAUCCCCUUUUAAUGAAAAAAUUGAUGGUGUGGUGAGACUGGAAGUUGGUUGGCUUUCUCUGAAUCUCUUUCUCAAAUCCAAAAUUACGAAUUGAUGUUGAGAAAGAGAUUCAGAGAAAGCCGACCAACUUCCAGAAUCGUGAUUAAAUUCUCUUUCUAUAAGGUAAUUUCUUAAUUAGUUUGAAAGUUUUUCCUAUUGUCUUAUGUCUUUUUGAAGUCUGCAUUUUAAACAGAUCAAUUUAUUCUCACAAAGAAACAAUCUCAACUAACGAGACUAUGUAAGGAGAUUUCUAAUUCAAAGAAACCUACCUGUAACAGGUACGUCUUACCAAAUUACCACCAUAUCCUUUAGAAUUGUAAGUUAAACCAUUGGUAUAAUUUUUUAAUAUAGAAGAAUUUAUUAAUUGAAGGGUAUAAUCUAAUAAGCUGUGUGGGGAUAUGCUGACCGAAGGGGGAAAGAAUUAACAUGUGUUUAUAUGAUAUUCAUAUGAAGAGAAUGAAAAAGAAAAAGCUUAAAACGCAGCAAUAAAGUAUAUUGUUUAAAUAGGAAAGUAAAAUUUGGUAAAAGAAAUAGAAUGAAAUAAGUAAUUUUAAAAAAAAAUUGUUAUAGGUUUUAAUGGAUGGAUUUACAAUGUUUUACAUAGAUGGCAAGUCACAAAUUAGUAUUUUUUUAAAAUUAGUAUGAGAAGAGCUUUUGAGAAGUCAUAUGUAAAUUUUUUUAAUCUUUAUUACUUUUGUGACAGUUGAGGAAACACACUAGGAAAACCAACAGAGAACUUUCAGCAGAACAUAAGGCAAGUCACAAAAAGCAAUGUGAAAGGAUUGGUUGUGCAGAUGCAUAUUCGGAUAACAAUGAAUCAAAAACUAUUAAGGUAGAUAAGUUCACCUUGGAAACUAGGUGUGCGCCUGACCGAUUUUGUUCUUUUGUUGGUAACUUAUCGGAAGACAAGAAAAAUGCAAUAAGAGAUAUAGGAUUUGGAAGCCUACUUUAAAUCCAAUGUGGUCGACUGAGGAGGCAAUUAUGUCGUUGGUUGGUGGAUCAAUUCAAACCUGAAUACAACAUUAUUGAACUUCAUGGUCAAAAUUUGAAACUGUGCCACAGAAAAUUUUCAGAUGUCAUGGGUGUAAAUGAUGGAGGUAUACCAAUACAAUUGGGUGGACCAAGUGAAAAUAUUACUGAAUUACGAGAUAUUUUUCAAUCAACAGUCAAAGGGAUCAACAUCAAGACGCUUGAGGAUAUUAUAAAGCAAGAAGAUAAAACCAGCUGGAUUUUCAAGGUUUGUAAUAAAGUUGAUUUUGGCACAUUUAUGCAUACACCCAUUAUUAUAUUAAAUCAUGAAUAUCUGUUAUAUUUCUUUCAUAUUAUAUUAUAUUCUGAUACCAUUUGUAUUUUUCUAUAAUAUUUGCAUGCAUAAUUGUAUAAAACAUUUAAGUUACUGUGAAAUAUGAGCACAUAUCAGCCAUUUAUCAAACUCAUUCAUGUUUGCUAUUGUUCAUUUUACAAAUAGUAGUUUUGAUAUGAGCAGGUUGCGUUUACUUUGUUUGCACUAGCCACGUUGUUAUGCCCAACAAGUGGUUAUAUAUCACAUUUGUUCUUGCAUCCGUGCAACGAUGUUCUCAAUGUUAAAUCACUUAAUUAGUUACAAAUAGUAGUUUUAGUAGUUUUGAUAUGAGCAGGUUGCGUUUACUUUGUUUGCACUAGCCACAUUGUUAUGCCCAACAAGUGGUUAUAUAUCGCAUUUGUUCUUGCAUCCGUGCAACGAUGUUCUCAAUGUUAAAUCACUUAAUUGGGCUUCAUUUUGUUAUAAAUGGCUGGCAAAAUCCAUUGGCAAAUAUAAGAAUCGUGAAACUACAUAUGUUGGGGGAUGUCUUCUUUUCCUACAGGUAAGAUGAUUUUCAUAAUUGAAUUUUAGCAUUUUUCUGGCCAUGGAUGGCUGUUUAUACGUAUUUUCUUAACUAUAAUCUGUUUAUACAGAUUUUCUUAACUAUAAUCUGUUUAUACAGAUUUUUUACCUCCAUAAUGUUGCAUACAACUGCAUUCAGCCUAAUGGGACCAAAACUCCUGUGACAUUCUGGAAAGAAUCAAUGGUGAAGAGGUUCAUGAAGUGGUUGAGAUCUCAGGGAGGGAUUGGAAGUAAUAAGGUAAAUUUUAUUGUAGAGUGCUUAUCAUUAUAAUUACCAUAAUAAUGUGUGAGAAAUGGGAUUAUCCUUAUUUUUUGAGAUCAUUUAUCUGCUCAAUUAAACAGAUUCAUAUGCGUACCAUUGAUACCGGUGAAGCUUCUCGAUCAAAAGCUGUUAGACAUCUCAAUUUUGAAGAAAUAAUUCAGAAACAAAUACUUUCAAUCAGGGUACUGACAUUUAAGGUUGAUUAUCUAUCUGAUGCGAUAUCUGACCAGACUAAAAUGCUAAAAGAAUUGCUACAUCAAAGGCAAAUUAUGGAUUGAGUUGCCCGUCAUGUCCAUCAUCCUACCACAGAUAACAUUAAAACUCCUUCCCACGAGUUUGUGUCUGCGCAAGAAAAUAAUGUUGGGGCUGAGUUUAUUGAAAUCUCAUCAAAUGAAAGUUCAGCCCGAGGUUAUGAUAAGAUAAACUCUCCUUAUGAUGGCUCCAGCUUAAAAACAAAGGAACGACCAUUAUAUCAAAUAUUGAGGACAUUAGAAAUGGCUAUGGAUUGUGAAAAGACAGAUGCAUUACCCUCAAAGAAAAUAGAAAUGUCCAAGGGAAAACAAGAACUGAUUCUUAAGGAUUCUAAGGUAUUAAAGUGUCUUUGUUACUGUUGUAUUGAUAUUUAUCAUAAUUGUAUGUUGUGACAUUACCUCAGAAUAUGUGAAUUUUAAUUUUUUUUCUUUUGUAGGAGGGUCUUGUGAUGAUACAAUCAACUGCAAAGGGAAUGCAUAUUCAAACUUCUAAAGAAAAGAAUGUCAAUCUCAAGUCUACCCAACCCCGAUUUUUGGCUGGUCCAUUUUCAGUUCCCACUCCAUUUACCGAGGAUGAAAAAAAGCUUAUUCUUUACCUUUUUGACGACAAGUUGGCUGAAAUGUAUGGUCUAGUAAUAAUGAAAUGUUUUUGUAAAUGGCUAGAUUGUUUCGAAUAUAGAUAUAAAUCUCUUAAUCUUGCUUUUAUUCAUUGUAAUAAUGUUGUUUUUUCAUGAUAAAAGGAUGUUGUCGUCCGUACAGAAUACAGCAGCAUAACACGGAGCAGUAUGCGUUCCCUCCUGCCGAGAGCAUGGAUUGAUGGUGAUGUAAUACUCUAUGCCUACUAUGUAUAAUAUUUAGGAUUCAUUCAAUACUAAUGAUGCCAUUAUUUUCAAUUAGUAUAUAUGUGCAUAUCUCUUAACUAAUGUUCCACUUUGGUCGCAACUGUUAAAAAAAAUUUCAGAUUAUUACUAUGUACGCAGAGUACAAGACUAUUGAAGAGGCCCAAAAGGAUAUCACCUCUCCUCGAUGUUGGUUCUUGCCGUCAUAUUAUUCCGUAAGAUAACCAGAAAUUAAAUAUUUUUAAUUCAAUCAUUACUCUUUAAAUGAGAUCAUGUAGAAUGUCAACUAACAAAAUGUUUUUAUUCUUUUAAUUUGUGCCACUUAAAUUUAAAGCAAGUUGUAUUGGGUGACUCGGGUGAUCUAAACCCCUAUCGUCGAGCUUCCAGGUUCCAAGAGCGCUACAUGCCCCAGUUGGAAACUUGUGAAAAGGUUCAGCGCAUAACAUGAAUUUUUUUAAUGAACUUUUUGUGGUUUGUAUUUUUACAUAGUUCCUUGGUAUCUAAUCAGUCAUUGACAAUUGUAUGUUCUUAGGAGGAUUGACUACAUUUGUGCGUUAGUCGGAAUUUGAUUAAAUAACAUUCUAAAUUUUGUUAACACUUAUUCUGGUUGAUGUUGGCAGCUCGCCUCACUGGAUUUUUUGCUACUUAGAGAGGCUCGACUUCGUUUUGGUUCAAAUUUCAAUUUUCUGCAUUUUCAACUUGGUCGUCAAACUGGUCUGCCACAACAGCCAAAUGAUUUUGAUUGUGGAUACUAUACCUUGAAAUAUAUGGACAAUCCCUCUAUUGUUGCUGACCAGUCUUAUCAGGUAUAUGCUUUUUUUUUCAAUCUUGAACAUUGAUGAUUCUGAUAUUUAGUUCAUGAUCAAUGCUUUCUUCAGACCAUUUAUCAGUCAUUAUGUUUAAUGAUUCUGUAUUUAGAUUAAUAACAAUGAUAACAGAGGAGUACUGCAAAGAAGUAAGAAAUAUUAAAGUUUUCUUUAUGAAGAGUACUUUUAAGGCAUAACUAGGAGUACUCGAUAAUUUUUUUUCCUUUUAAGGAUGUAUUAAGCAAGCUGUUUUUAGAAGAUAUCUAGUUUUGAAAGCAAUAAGACAUACUUUUUAGCAAGUAAACAAGCACCUAAAAAUGUGAAUUGUUAAAAAUCUGCAUACGUAAAAGGCUAAGUAUUUAUAUUUAAGAAGUGUUAUUAUAUGUUGCAAGUCAACUACCUUUUGUGAAAAAAUAAGCUUGCUGCUAGUAAUUAGGUAGCAAGAGCGCUACAUGCCCCAGUUGGAAACUUGUGAAAAGGUUCAGCGCAUAACAUGAAUUUUUUUAAUGAACUUUUUGUGGUUUGUAUUUUUACAUAGUUCCUUGGUAUCUUUUUCAUUUUACUAACCUGAUAACAAAACAUUUUGCCAAUAAUUGUAUUUACUCUCCUACAACUGCAGAUUUAUGUGCCCGUACAUUGUGAAGCUCAUUGGUACAUGCUUGUUAUUGACAUUCUUCGUCAAACUGCUGAUAUUUGGGAUUCAUUGGAAUCUCUCAGUCAAAGAGAAAAAAUGAUUAAUCAGUCAUUGACAAUUGUAUGUUCUUAGGAGGAUUGACUACAUUUGUGCGUUAGUCGGAAUUUGAUUAAAUAACAUUCUAAAUUUUGUUAACACUUAUUCUGGUUGAUGUUGGCAGCUCGCCUCACUGGAUUUUUUGCUACUUAGAGAGGCUCGACUUCGUUUUGGUUCAAAUUUCAAUUUUCUGCAUUUUCAACUUGGUCGUCAAACUGGUCUGCCACAACAGCCAAAUGAUUUUGAUGGUGGAUACUAUACCUUGAAAUAUAUGGACAAUCCCUCUAUUGUUGCUGACCAGUCUUAUCAGGUAUAUGCUUUUUUUUUCAAUCUUGAACAUUGAUGAUUCUGAUAUUUAGUUCAUGAUCAAUGCUUUCUUCAGACCAUUUAUCAGUCAUUAUGUUUAAUGAUUCUGUAUUCAGAUUAAUAACAAUGAUAACAGAGGAGUACUGCAAAGAAGUAAGAAAUAUUAAAGUUUUCUUUAUGAAGAGUACUUUUAAGGCAUAACUAGGAGUACUCGAUAAUUUUUUUUCCUUUUAAGGAUGUAUUAAGCAAGCUGUUUUUAGAAGAUAUCUAGUUUUGAAAGCAAUAAGACAUACUUUUUAGCAAGUAAACAAGCACCUAAAAAUGUGAAUUGUUAAAAAUCUGCAUAUGUAAAAGGCUAAGUAUUUAUAUUUAAGAAGUAUUAUUAUAUGUUGCAAGUCAACUACCUUUUGUGAAAAAAUAAGCUUGCUGCUAGUAAUUAGGUAACAACCACUGGAGUCGUGAACUAUGUGGACUUUGUUAUUUUUAUAUAAAUUCAUCUUGUGAGCAUAUAGAAAUUGUUGUAAUUAGUGUUUCUUUUUUGUUAGCACGAUUCGGAUUAUGCUCGCAUCCUGUUGGCACUCUAUCUAGCACAAUCUCCACUUAAUCAUAGAAGCUCAUUGGUACAUGCUUGUUAUUGACAUUCUUCGUCAAACUGCUGAUAUUUGGGAUUCAUUGGAAUCUCUCAGUCAAAGAGAAAAAAUGAUUAAUCAGUCAUUGACAAUUGUAUGUUCUUAGGAGGAUUGACUACAUUUGUGCGUUAGUCGGAAUUUGAUUAAAUAACAUUCUAAAUUUUGUUAACACUUAUUCUGGUUGAUGUUGGCAGCUCGCCUCACUGGAUUUUUUGCUACUUAGAGAGGCUCGACUUCGUUUUGGUUCAAAUUUCAAUUUUCUGCAUUUUCAACUUGGUCGUCAAACUGGUCUGCCACAACAGCCAAAUGAUUUUGAUUGUGGAUACUAUACCUUGAAAUAUAUGGACAAUCCCUCUAUUGUUGCUGACCAGUCUUAUCAGGUAUAUGCUUUUUUUUUUUUCAAUCUUGAACAUUGAUGAUUCUGAUAUUUAGUUCAUGAUCAAUGCUUUCUUCAGACCAUUUAUCAGUCAUUAUGUUUAAUGAUUCUGUAUUUAGAUUAAUAACAAUGAUAACAGAGGAGUACUGCAAAGAAGUAAUAAAUAUUAAAGUUUUCUUUAUGAAGAGUACUUUUAAGGCAUAACUAGGAGUACUCGAUAAUUUUUUUUCCUUUUAAGGAUGUAUUAAGCAAGCUGUUUUUAGAAGAUAUCUAGUUUUGAAAGCAAUAAGACAUACUUUUUAGCAAGUAAACAAGCACCAAAAAUGUGAAUUGUUAAAAAUCUGCAUAUGUAAAAGGCCAAGUAUUUAUAUUUAAGAAGCAUUAUUAUAUGUUGCAAGUCAACUACUUUUGUGAAAAAAUAAGCUUGCUGCUAGUAAUUAGGUAACAACCACUGGAGUCGUGAACUAUGUGGACUUUGUUAUUUUUAUAUAAAUUCAUCUUGUGAGCAUAUAGAAAUUGUUGUAAUUAGUGUUUCUUUUUUGUUAGCACGAUUCGGAUUAUGCUCGCAUCCUGUUGGCACUCUAUCUAGCACAAUCUCCACUUAAUGAUAUUAGGCAUAAACUCAUGCAAGAUGCUUCCAAUGGAUAUGGAAAGUGUAGUGCUGCUGACUCGCAAAGGGCCCCUUGUAAACAAACUUCAGAAUUAAGAAAAGCUGCCAGAAAUAUUAAUCUUAACCAGACACCGUCCGAGGCUUUAUUAAAAACAUUACUAUGAUCUCUAAAGGUAUGUUAAGUCGCUUGUCAUUCCCAUUUUUGAUCUUAUGUCCUAUGCUUAUCAAUUGUUAUUAAGUUGUUUUUUCUAUUUCUUUUAGUGAGUUAUGAUGUUUUUGGUAGACCAAUUAAACUUGUUAUUAAUCAUCUGCUUGUGUUUUGAACUAGGUGUCACUACACUUGGAAUGGCAGCUUUUAUAUUUUGGUAUUCGAAACCAUUUUGUUUUUGAAUAUUUUUGUAACAACACCUUUUUUGUAUAGCAUAUACUAAUCAUUUUUUGGUUAGGUAGUCGAGUAACUGUUUAUUAGAACCUUUGUCAGUUCAUUCACCUAAAGAAGCAGAUGAGCCAUGUGUGGCCUUAGAAGAUGGUGUUGUAGAUGCAUUUCGUGCUGCUGGAUGCCCUCUUAUUUUUUUGUGUCCGAGGGUAGUGUAUUUAGGUUGCAUAUUCUGACCAUUUGUUAUUAGGCACUAUCGGUCAGAGAUGGCUAAUUGUAGAAACUUGAUAUGUAUUUAGGGCUAUAUCUCUGUUAAUUCUUCUCUAUUAUAACUGUCUUAAAAUUCCAGUAAAAUUACUUAUUGAAUUUUUUGUAGCUUAAAUUUGGUUUUGUUUUGUUUCAGAUUUUGAUGAAUUAUGAUGUUGAAGGGUUUCGACUCUUUUGUAAUCUACUUUGCUUUGACUAAUGAUGUUCAAUCCUACAGACACGUAGAAAUUGAUAUUUUUAUUUCCCGCCUCCAUUUUUGAUAUUUUUGAGAAGUAUUACUUGUUAAAAUUAGCAAUUAUAAAUGUUGCUAGUAAUGUCCACGGGUGCACAUAUACUUAAGAUUAGCAAUCGUCAAAAAUUUAUAUAUAUGGUUAUUGUAUAAGAUUAUUGUAAAAAUACAAUUGAUUAAAAUAUAAUUUUUAAAAUUACAUUUAAAGGAUGGAGCUUGAAACAUCGACUUAAAAUAUUGGAUUUUAAUACAAAGAGUAAAAAUAUAAAACCAAAAAGUAGUGGCAAGAACAAUCUCACCCAAAAUUCGGAACAACUGAACCAGAAUUUGAGUAAUCUCAACUGGAAGUUGAGAUUCCAAAAGUAAACUUGAAACCUUGACCUAAAAUAUUAAAAUUCAACAAAAAGAAUAUAAAUAUAAAACCAAAAAGUUGAGCAAACAAGAGUUAAAGAGGUUAACCUAAAAGUAGAAAAAACCUUACCAAGAAUUUGACAAUUUAUAACGAGAAGUAGAAAUCUAAAAACCAAACUUGUAACAUCCACUUAAAAAGUUGGAUUUUAAUAAAAAGAGUAGGAAUAUAAACCCAAAAAGUGGUGGAAAUAAGAAUUAAAGAACUUAACCUAAAAGUAAAAAAUAAAUUACCAAGAAUUUGACAAGUUUCAACGAGAAAUAGAAAUCUAAAAAGUAAAAUUGAAACAUCCACUUAAAAUGUUGGAUUCUAAUACAAAGAGUACGAAUAUAAAACUAAAAAGUGGUGGCAAGAACAACCUCACCCAAAAUUGGGAACAACUCAAUCAGAAUUUGAGUAAUUUCAACUGUAAGUAUUUUUUUUUUAUUACGAUUUCAACUGUAAGUUGAGAUACCAAAAGUAAACUUGAAAUUUCGAAGUAAACUAUUAAAAUUCAACAAAAAGAGUAUAAAUAUAAAACUAAAAAGUGGUGGAAAUCAGAGUUAAAGAAUUUAACCUAAAAGUAUAAAUAAAUUACCAGAAAUUUGAUACAUUUCAACUAGAAGUAGGGAUAAAAAAAGUAAACUUGAAACAUCGACUUAAAAUAUUGGAUUUUAAUACAAAGAGUAAAAAUAUAAAACCAAAAAGUAGUGGCAAGAACAAUCUCACCCAAAAUUCGGAACAACUGAACCAGAAUUUGAGUAAUCUCAACUGGAAGUUGAGAUUCCAAAAGUAAACUUGAAACCUUGACCUAAAAUAUUAAAAUUCAACAAAAAGAAUAUAAAUAUAAAACCAAAAAGUUGAGCAAAUAAGAGUUAAAGAGGUUAACCUAAACGUUGAAAAAACCUUACCAAGAAUUUGACAAAUUAUAACGAGAAGUAGAAAUCUAAAAACUAAACUUGUAACAUCCACUUAAAAAGUUAGAUUUUAAUAAAAAGAGUAGAAAUAUAAACCCAAAAAGUGAUGGAAAUAAGAAUUAAAGAACUUAACCUAAAAGUAAAAAAUAAAUUACUAAAAAUUUGACAAAUUUCAACGAGAAGUAGAAAUCUAAAAAGUAAACUUGAAACAUCCACUUAAAAUGUUGGAUUUUAAUACAAAGAGUAGGAAUAUAAAACACAAAAGUGGUGGAAACAAUAGUUAAAGAACUUAACCUAAAAGUAGAAAUAAAUCACCAGAAAUUUGAUAAUUUCAACGUGAAGUAAGGAUUUAAAAAGUAAACUUGAAACAUCCACUCAAAAUGUUGGAUUUUUAUAAUAAUAGUAGGAAUAUUAUACCAACAAGCGGUGGGAAGAAAACCCCAACCGAAAUUUGGAACAAGGUCAUAGAAUUUGAGUAUCUUCAACUGAAAAUUGGGAUACAAAAGUAAACUUGAAACUUCGACCUAAAAUAUUAAAAUUAAAAAAAAAGAGUGUAAAUAUAAAACUAAAGAAUGGUGGAAACAAGAGUUAAAAAUCUUAACCUAAAAAUAAAAAUAAAUUAUCAAUAAUUUGACAAAUUUCAACGAGAAGUAGAAAUCUAAAAAGUAAACUUGAAAAUUUCACUUAAAAUGUUGGAUUUUAAUACAAAGAGUAGGAAUAUAAAACCAAAAAGUGGUUGGAAGAAAAAUCUAAUCCAAAAUUGAGAACAACUCAACAAGAAUUUGAGUAAUUUAAACUGGAAGUUGGGAUACAAAAAGUAAACUUGAAACUUCGACUUAAAAUAUUAAAAUUCAACAAAAAGUGUAUAAAUAUAUAACUAAAAAGUGGUAGAAAUAAGAGUUAAAGAACUUAACCUAAAAAUAGAAAUAAAUUACCAGAAAUUUGAUCAAUUUUAACAAGAAAUAGGAAUCUAUAAAGUACACUUGAAAUGUCCACCUAAAAUGUUGAAAUUCGAUAAAAAUAGUAGAAACAAAUAACUAAAAAGUUGUGGCACAAGAGUUGAAAUUUCGACUUAAAAGUUGGAAUAACUUACUAAGCAUUAAAUAAUUUUUAAUGAAAAGCAGGGAUGUAAAAAAUUAAGCGAAAAUACUCACCUAAAAUGUUGGAAUUUAAUAAAAAGAAGAGGAAUAUAGAACUUAAGUGUGAUGAGAAGAUGAGUUGAUAAACAUAACCUAGAAAUUGGAAUAACUUACACAUAAAUUAACAAAAAAAAAAAAACCAACAAGUAGAGAUCUAAAAAUAAACUUGAGACUUCCACCCAAAAUAUUUGAAUUUUUUAAAAAGAAUAGGAAUAUAGAAUUUAUAAGUCGCAGGAAUAAGAGUUGAUGAACUUAACCCAAAAGUUGGAAUAAGUUAUAAGGUAUUUGGUAAAUUCCAAUGCGAAGUAGAGAUCUAAAAAGUAAACUAAAAACAUUUAUCCAAAAUAUUGAAACUCAAUGAAAAUAGUAGGAUUGUAAGAUAUAAAAGUUGUGGGAAAAUGAAUAGGAACAACUUACUAAAAAUUAGAUGAAGUUUAAUGGAAUGUAGGGAUAAAAAAUGUCAAAUUGAAAUAUCUACCUAAAAAGUUAGAAUUUAAUGAAAAGAGUGGAAAUAUGAAAGAAAAGACUAGUAAAAAAUGAGUUGAAAUAAGUUACGAAAAUUUAGAUAAAUGAUAAUGAAAAUUAGGAAUUUCAAAAGUAAACUUGAGACAUAUAAUAUAAGUAUUGGAAUGUAACAAUAAAAAGUCGGAAUAUGACUAUUUUGUGAUAUUUUUAUAAUAUUUUUAUAAAUUUUUAUGUUAUUUAUAAAUUUAAAAUUAUUACAAUUUUUUUUUAUCUCAUUUGAAGGAAAUUUUUUAAUUUUUCCCUUUUUUUAAAUAAAAUUUUCACAUUAAAAACAAUUAAAAUUUUUAAUUUGCAUUUAUUAACCGGUUGAAAACUGGUUGUACCGGUACCAUGCAUGCGCUGCAUGAGAUGCAGCACUGCAUGGUAGGUUGACUCGUCUUUUCUUUCCAGAAAUAUAUGAUCUUCUCCUGGCCACUUCGUGUUCAAAAUAAACAAUAAAAAAUAAAGUGAUGUUAUAAAACAUUCUAGGCUCUUCCAUCUCCAGGAUAAGUCAUUGCUUCCGUCACAAUCGCGCAAGCACCCAACUAAAUUUGUUUUGGAUAAAAGAUAUUCAUCUCAAAUUUUAUUGUAAUUGAUAUGUUAUUCAUUAAAUAUUGAUAAUUUUUCAUAAUAAUUACAUUAUCUUAUUAAUUAAUUGUUGAAUGUUAAUUGAGAUAGCUUUUGUGAUAAAAAUUUAGGUUGUGUAGCAUUAUUCAUUUUUUCACAAUAUUUUCUUUAAUGAGGAGGGCAACAACCAUUACUUAAUCAAAAUUUCAUUCCAUGAAAUUUAGAUGGCAAUUUAAGGGCUAAUUUGAUAGUAAAGUAGUUUUUAAAAUAUUUAUUGUUAGUUCUAUUAUAAAAAUAAUUAGUUAUAAAUAGAAUCAACUAACAUUUAGUUUUUUUUUUAAAUUAAAAUUUUAUUAAUAGAAAAAUGAUUACAGUGAUUUGUCUUUACAUACAGUUGGAACUUCUUCUAACCAAACUUUUUCGAUGGAAUUACAAAGAGCUAAUUUAGCGAGAUGAUGUGCAGCUCCAUUGUAAGACCGUGGAGCAAAUUUCACUUGGAAAGAACUCUCAGAGGAAGAUAAGUGAUGAGCAUAAUUUUUAUAUAUAUUACCUUUUAUUGUAUAUUUACUAGUAUUUUUAUUUAUUAUUUUUAAUUAAUUGAAUUGUUUUACUGAAUAGGGAAUUAAUUUGAGAUUAUGAAUAAAAAAUGCAUAAAAGAUCCAUAAAAGAAAAGAAUUGAAGAAUUAAAGAUUAUAUUCCAAAGCUUCUACGUGAGCUUAAGAUAAUUAAAGAAAGAUUUUAUUUAGCAAUUUGGAAUGCAUGGGCUGGGCAUUAAAGGAAGAAAUCAUUAAUUGGCCUUUUGCUUUGGAAGUCAAACAUGUGGCUAGAGCAAAACAAAUAAAAAGCCAAAGCCUUUUGGCUUUAGAAUUGAAAAGGCGGGGCCUAUUUUGAAGACUAUAUAAGCAAGCUUUUGUCUUUUGGACCAAAAAAGGGGGAAGGCGCCAGAUGAAAAAGGAAACAAAAGGAGACGCGAUUCAGGAGAGAAGUCAUGAGUGAUAGCAGCUGUUCAGUUUUUAUGGCUGGUGUUAUUUAUUUUGUUACUCUCAAUUCAAGUAUAUUUAACUAAUUUUCUUAUAUUGAGGUUAAGAAUGAAAUUCUAUUAAAUAAAAUAAUUAUCUCUUUAUUUAAUUAAUUUUCUACAUGUGUGUUUUAAUAUUUAUAGUUCUUGUUUCACAUGAUUAGUUGGAUGUUAUUAAAUUCUUUUCACCAACUCUGUCAUGUAUUAUUGAUUGUGAAGAUUAAUAUUUGACUAAAUCUAUGUUUAGAUCUAUAAAGUUUAUAUAUGAUUAUCUUUGAUUUUAUGUUUUUCAUUAAAUUAUUUAUAUAAAGUGCUUAUGAAAACUUUGACUCUUUAUUAUUCAAUAUGUUUACAUGGGAUGCUUAGAUGUCAUACUAUCAAGCAGAAAAAGAACAUACAUAAAAUUAAUUUUAUUUGAGCUUAAUUGUUAUAUUUAUGAGAUGAUAUAGAUUGAUUUCGAGUUGUCACUCUAAAAUUGGGAAUUAAUUAAUAUUUAAAUAAUUACUAGUUGAAUAGUGCUGGAUUUUGAAACCUUGGUAGUUUUUGUCUUAUGGAAUUCUCAUUUGCUUUAAUUGUUUUCUUAGUUUAAUUAGUUUAAUUUUCUUAAAAACUCAAUUUGCUCAACUAGAUUUGAAUUAAUAUUAAUUUUAGAUUUAAAUUAGAUUUUUCAAUUUAUAACAAUUCACGUGGGUUCGACCUCGUUACCACUAUUCUAUUUCUAGAUUCGUGCGCUUGUGAGUAUUUUAAAUUUUUCACAACAAGUUUUUGGCGCUGUUACUGGGGAUUGUGCCAGAAAGUUAGUUUAAUCUAAGUUGAUUUGAUUCUUCAACUAGUUAUAAUUUAGGUUGUCUUUUAUUUAUUUAUUUAAUUUUUUUAUAAAAAACACAAAAAAAUUAUUAUUUUUUACUUUGAAUUCUUGUUUGGUUAUUUGAUUUCUUUUAAAUUUUGUUUAUUUUUAUUAUUGUUGUUUUAUUUUUCUUCUUUGUCUAGUUAGUUUAUGAGUGUUUGGAAACGCAAUUCAACAAAUCGUUAAGUAAAAAAAGAGUCUAAAAUUGAUAGUAGUCAAGCUAGUUCUUCUCAAGUGAUGGAUGACCCAAAUAGAAUAUUGCCAAUACUACCACCAGUGCAAGCAUAGAAAACCCCUAGAGAUUAUUUUUCACCACUUACAGCCAAUCAACCAUCUGGUAUUGUGUUGCCACAAACUACAGCAACACACGUUGAACUUAAGCCCUCUGUCAUUCAACUUUUACCAUCUUUCAAAGGGUUAGAGAAAGAGGAUCCAUUUUUUCAAAUUAAGGAAUUUCUUGACAUAUACUCUACAUUUCGUUUUCAAAAUUUUAAUGAUGAGUCAAUUAGGCUUCAUAUGUUCACUUUAUCAUUAAAAGACAAAGUGAAAGCUUGGUUGAAUUCACUUCCUGAUGGGUCUAAUACUAUGUGAGAUGAAUUGAGUAAUAAGUUCCUCACCAAGUUUUUCUCUAUGUCUAAAACAAAUGCCCUUAUGAGAGAGAUAAGUGGUUUUUAUCAAAGAGAGAGUGAGCAAUUUUAUGAGUGUUGGGAAAGAUUUAAUGAUUUAUUCCUUAAGUGUCCCCACCAUAGUCUUGAGAAAUGGAGACUUAUACAAUACUUUUAUAAUGGUUUAACCAUGUCAAAUCGUCAUAUGGUGGAGUCUAUGAAUGGUGGGAGAUUUUUGAACCUACAUGAAGGGGCUGCAUGAGAUUUCUUUAAUUCACUUUCUGAAAAUUCUCAACAGUGAAAUUUUUCAAAUCAAAGGGAAAAAUCAUCUCAAGUUUCAAAAAAGGGUUUAUAUGAAGUUAAAGAUGAUUUUGAUGUGAACGCCACUCUAGCUACUCUUUCUAGGAAAGUAGAUGUCUUAGCUCUGAACCAAUCAAUGAAUCACCAUCCUAGUGUAGCUAAUGAGAUUUGUGCUCUUUAUUCUAACUUAUCUCAUACAACACAUAAUUGUCCAUCAUUACCAGCCUAUCCAAAUGCUUAUUCUGAGCAGGUACAUGUCUUACAAUCGUAUGAAAAAUCAUUCAAUAGUCCAUAUUCAUCCACAUAUAAUCCUAAUUGGAGGAAUCAACCUAAUUUUUCUUGAAAACAAAAUCAACCUUUGUCGAACCAAGGAGGGCAACAAUUUAGCAUGCCCAAUCAACAAUUUUUCCCUUCUAACCAACUAUAUCCCCUUGCCUAACAGCCUAUGUCUCAAUUUGUUGCACCCCAACAAAGAAAACCUUCUUUAGAGGAUACACUUCAAAGUUUCAUUCAGUCUAUCCAACAAGCCUUUCAGUCAAACACUCAAGCUAUUCUAAAGUUUGAACAUCAAUUGGGUCAAUUAGCAACUACUGUGGCUGAGAGAGAAAAAGAAAAAUUCUCAAGUCAACCAAUUCCUAAUCUUAAAGGAGUGCAUGAAGUUGGAUCAAGUUCAAGCCAUCAGCAUGAAGAAGCAAAAUCUAUUAUGACCUUAAGAAGAGGAAAAUUAUUUGACAACAAGGUGGAGGUUCGAACAAGAAAGACAUUUGAACAUACUUAUGUAGAUUUAGUUCCAUCACAAGCUUCAUCACCUAAUGAUCAAGAAGAAAGUGGCCCACCAACUUACAUUCCUAAGGCUCUUUUUCCCCAAAGGUUAACAAAGGUAAAGAAAGGGACUUCAACAGGUGAGAUUAUGGAAAUCUUUAAGCAUGUAAGUAUAAACAUCCCUUUACUCGAUGCUAUUAAGCAAGUUCCCUCAUAUGCUAAGUUUUUAAAAGAUUUAUGCACUAAAAAGAGAAAUUUGCAUGUCACCAAAAAGGCAUUUUAAACUGAACAAACUAGCAAUGUACUUCAAUGUAAAAUGCCACCAAAAUUUAAGGAUCCAAGUUCCCUUACUAUCUCAUAUGUUAUAGGGAACCAAUUGUUUAAUAAAGUAUUGUUGGAUUUAUGAGCUAGUGUUAAUCUCUUACCUUAUUUUGUUUACAAGUAACUUGGAUUAGGUGAGUUAAAGUCAACUUCUAUUAUUUUACAACUUGCAGAUAGGUCAAUGAAAAUAUCUCGUAAAAUUAUAGAGGAUGUGUUGAUACAGAUUGAUAAAUUUUAUUAACCUGUUGAUUUUAUUGUUAUUGAUAUUCAGCAUGUACAAGAUCCUAAGAAACAAACCCUAAUUAUUCUAGGUCGUCAUUUCUUAACUACAGCCGAUGCUUUUAUUAAUUGCAGGAGUGGAAACAUGCAACUAUCCUUUGGUAAUAUGACCAUGAAAUUUAAUAUUUUUAAUGUUACCAAGCAGCCACAAGAAGAAGAUGAAUUUGUCGAAGCAAAUAUGAUAGAAGAAUUAGUAGAAGAUUCAUUCAUUUCCAACCACACUGAUGAUCCAUUAGAGGCAUGUUUAACUCAUUUUGAUUUAUCUUCUAAUGAUGACAGUGUAAUUGCAUAAGUCAACGCCUUACUUGAUGUACCUCUAAUUAUGGACACAACUAAAUGGAAGACAAAGUUAGAACCACUGCCUCAUUCUGAGAAGAAGAUUAGCCCAUCUGAGGAGACAAUACCAAAAUUGGAAUUCAAAGCAUUGCCCGACACACUGGAAUAUGCAUUCUUGGGAGAAUCUGACACUCUACCUGUUAUUAUUUCUUCUUCCCGAUCUUGAGCAAAAAUAUAAGUUGUUGGGUAUUCUAAAAGAGUACAAGGAGGCAAUAGAAUGGACUAUUGCUGAUAUUAAAUGUAUUAAUCCAGUAAAUUGCAUACAUCAUAUUAAUCUUGAAGAAAAUGCUAAGCCUAUUAGGGAGAUGCAACGUAGACUAAACCUUAACAUAAAAGAAGUGGUAAGAGCUAAAGUAAUAAAAUUAUUAGAUGCAGGAAUUAUUUAUCUUAUUUCAGAUAGUUCUUGGGUUAGCCAUGUGCAAGUUAUUCCUACGAAAUCUGGUGUUACAGUAAUUACUAAUGCUAAUAAUGAAUUAAUUCCCAUUAGAGUAACUACAGGUUGGCGUGUUUACAUUGACUAUAGAAAAUUGAAUUUAGUCACAAGACAAUAUCAUUUUCUUCUUCCAUUUAUUGAUAAAAUGUUUGAUAGACUUGUAGGUCAUGAUUUUUAUUAUUUUUUAGAUGGAUAUUCAGGUUAUAAUCAGAUUCCUAUAGCUCUAGAGGACCAAGAGAAAACUACUUUUACUUUUCCAUUUGGAACUUUUGCAUAUAGGAGAAUACCAUUUGGUUUAUGCAAUGCACCUGCUACCUUUCAAAGAUGCAUGCUUAGUAUUUUUUCUGAUAUGGUUGAGCGAUUUCUUAAAGUAUUCAUGGAUGAUUUUUCUGUUUAUGGAGAUUCUUUUGAUGAAUGUUUGCAACAUCUAACAUUAGUUUUGCAAAGAUGUAAAGAAAAGAACUUGGUUCUAAAUUGGGAAAAAUAUCACUUCAUGGUAAAACAAGAUAUUGUUCUCGAUCAUAUAAUUUCCAGUAGAGGCAUAGAAGUCGACAAAGCCAAUGUGGAUUUAAUUUCUAAUUUUCCACAUCUCAAAUCCGUAAAAGAAGUAAGAUCUUUCCUUAAACAUGUUAGUUUUUAUAGAAGAUUCAUUAAAGAUUUUAGUAAAAUUUCUAGACCCUUAUGCAAUUUACUUAUUAAGGAUGCACCUUUUAUCUUUGAUGAAUCUUGUCUUGAUACUUUUGAAAAGCUUAAGAAAUUGUUGACUUCUUCACCUAUCAUUCAACCACCUAAUUGGAUUUGCUUUUUGAAAUUAUGUGUGAUGCAUCUGAUUAUGUUGUAGGAGCAGUUUUAGGACAAAGAUUAGAUCGUAUGCCUUAUGUGAUUUAUUAUACUAGUAUGAUACUCAAUGAUGCACAGUUGAACUAUUCAACUAUAGAAAAAGAAAUGCUAGUUGUGGUGUUUGCACUUGAUUAAUUCAGAUCUUAUCUUAUAGGUUGUAAAGUGAUUAUUUUUACUGAUCAUGCUGCUUUGAAAUAUUUGCUUACUAAGAAAGAUGCUAAGGCAAGAUUGAUUCAUUGGGUGUUACUUUUACAAGAAUUUUACAUUGAAUUUAAAGAUAAAAAAAGUUCUGAAAAUGUUGUGACAGAUCAUUUAUCUCGCAUUGAUCUUAAAUUUAUUUCAGAAUCUUUACCUUUGAAUGAGUCUUUCCCAGAUGAGCAACUUAUGAGUGUAAAUAUUGUACCAUGGUUUGUGACACGACUCAAAAUUGUAGUACUCCCAAGUAUAAGAGUGUCUAGUUAUAAUAUAACCCGGUGAGUCCGGGGUCGAAGCACAUGGAAUUUUAAAUCUAGUAGUCAAUUUAAAACUAAGAAAAUUAAUUGUGGGGAAAAGAAAUUAUUUGAAAUCAAUUUAAAAAUAUGCUAAGGUUCGAGAUCCACUCUCUGUAUUCAAACUAUAAUUUUAAUACUCUCUUAUUUAUAUUUUGCCUCACUUUUACCAGUUAAUUAUUAUAUCAUUUAAUUUUAUGUGUGUGGAUGAAUAUGAAAUAAAGUACCUAAUGUAUCACAACUAAUUUAAUGUGUCGAUAUUAUGUCAAAAUACCAUACAGAUUCAAGAAAAAUUAUAAAUCAACAUGACAUAAAAAUAACUAGAAAAUAAUAAAAUAAACUUAAAAACUCAUUUGAGAAAAUAAUAAAUUUAAUAGUUUGAAACAUUGAGCUUCACCUUUCACCCCAGCUUAGUAAAAUUAGCCAGUCGUAUCGAAAGAAAAGAUAACACUUUUUUUAUUUGAUAAACUUUUGAAAUAUGUUACAAGGAAAAUUGAUACAAAAGGAAACAAGAAAAGAAAAGAAAAGAAAGAAAGACAAAAAUUCUUCAGUUCCCUAUUGGCUACAACUAUUUCUCUCGGCUUAAAAAUCUCAAAUCCCCUCGCGACUCUCUGCUCAAGCUUCCUGCAUUUCCUUGCCUUUUAUGGGCAAGGAAUGCAUUAUCUUUAUUUAUUUAUUUUAUUAUUAUUAUAUAUGUGUGUAUAUAUAUAUAUAUAUGUGUGUGUGUGUGUGUGUGUGUGUGUGUGUGUAAUGGUCAAGUGGCCAUCAUGGCCACUUGACCAUUACGAGAAUGAGCAAUUUGGUUUUUGUUCUUUUGUUCUUUUGUUCUUUUUUUAUUUUUUUUAUUCAUUUGAUUUAUUUAUUUACAUCUCCUCAAUAAUGCUUCCAAAUUGCUCCAGCAGUCCUUUUUUUAUCUCGCUUUCAAUUCUAAUUUAUUCUUGAAAAAUAUUUAUAAGAUAAAAAUUAAUAUAUUGCGAAUUAAUUUAACACAAAAAUUUAUUUGGAGAAUAUUAAGAUAAUUUAGAAAUAAUGAGCGCAUUAAUCUACACAAUAAGUGUAAAACUAAUAAUUUUAUUUUUGUUACACGUACACUUUUUAGUGUUAAUCACACCCCCCAACCAGCUUAUUGCUAAGCUCUAACAAAUCGAAAAAAAGUUCAGUAAAAUUUCAAACUCAAAUUGAAAAUUUUGUUUUUUUUUUUGUUUUUUUUAAAGGAUUGUGUUUACUUCUUUCAUCAUAUUAAUGACAACAAUCAAAUAAAAGUAUAAGCAUUAUCUUCAGCCUAAAGAAAAUCACACCCGCACAAAAUAGUCUAGUAAAAUCCUGUAAAAUGAUCAAUUAUCAGAGCUACAUUAAUCAAGUCACUUUAAAAAUGAUAUAUCAAACCCCAAAACUUCACGAUUAAGAGUGACUUUCUCAAAAGAAAAUAUAUCCCAAAUUAAACUGUCACUCUAAAAAAAAUGGUAGAUUUUAGAGAAUAAUAAAAUAAUAUCACACGCUCUCACCAAGAUGAAAGAAUAAGGCCCACAGCUUAGAAAUAAAAUGAUCUUAACUCAAGGAAUUAUUAGCAAAAUUUAUUUUUAUUUUUAUGCAUCACCACAUCUUUUAGUCUAUAUUACUAGCUUUUACUUCAGACUAUAGUUCCCUAAAUCAAGAAGGACUUUUAUUAAGACGUAAUGUAGGCUAUGGUUAUGGCUAACAAAAAAAGUAAUAGGGAAAACAAAAAUAUAUGUUUGAAAAAUAGGGGACUUUUUGGAGAUUACAAGGUGCUUUUUUUUUUUUGCUUGGAUUUUUUUUGCUCUCUUUUUUAUUUUAUUUAUUUAUAUAUACAUAUCCUCUUUUUUUUUAUAGCACCAUUAUUAGGAAUACAUAAUCAUCCCUAUUUUCAAACAUAAUUGGGUGGUGGAAAACAUAAAAUAUAAGGUGAUGCUCCACAUUGGAGUGGGAUAAGAUAAUAGGUUAUCAAAGAAAUUUUUUUUUUUUUAAAGACUCAAAGAGGUUAACUAUGGAUUCUUUAUAAUAAGGUUGACUAGAAAGACUUAAACGGGUCAAAGAUGGUCUUCUGUCAUCUUUUAGUGCUUUAAAUAAUCUUUCAUAUCCACUAGUUCAAUAGACUUUUAGAUGUGGUUGCACAAACUUUCUCUUUUUUUUUACUCUUUUUUUUUAAAGAAAAUAUUGAGAUCUUGUACAAUAAAUUGUGAAGUUGUAUUGGCAAACAUGGUUACUCUCCAAGGAUAAUAGGCUCAAAAAACUCACUUGGACUUUUUAUAACAUGUACAUUCCUCCAAAUGGCUUAAUCAAUUUCACUCAUUCAAUUUGUCAAUUUACGUUUCAAAAUGCAAAGGGAAAAACAUAGUGUAACAUAACUCAAGGCCAAAGAUAAUACGAAUACCAAAAUUUGAAAAUCAUCAUGUUAUCCAAUGUUAAAAGAUCACACCAAAAAAGAAAUUUUUUUUUUUAAGAAAACACUAAAAAAUUGGGACUAAUUGCAGAAACUUAAGGGAGAUGAUUAAGAGAAAAAGAGAAAUAGACAAAAAACAAAAAGUUAGAAAAUAAUUUUUUUUUAGAAAACACACUAAAAUUAAGAUGCGUUUCUAGAGACACUACAUUCUAUAUUCUGCCAUCUUCGACUCAAAUUUUUAUCUAAAGUUAGUCUUUACAACAAAAAUUAGUAAAAACAUCACCAGGACUGAGACAUUCCACAAUUAUCAACUAUUCCCUUCACCAACCCGAAGGAGACAUUGUCCUCAAUAUCUAAAGAAAUGAGUAGAGUUUAGAAGAUAUCACCUGGCCACAGCUGGAAAUAUUUACAAACGGCGAGUUAAAUCUAAUUUAUACUUUUUGCGAGAGUUACUGCCAUCGUCCUCAGUUGCCCAAUCCAAUGCCAAAGUCACGGGAUCUGGCUCUGGUUUAUAAGCUUGCAAAAGAUCAAAUAACUCAUUAUCAGUAGGAGCACAAAUGAAGAGUUUUUUCGUUAAGGAUGGAAUGAAGUAAUUUUUUAUUGCAUGAUUAAGAAAUAUUAUUGAGCCAUCAUAAAAGUUAUUAACAUUUAACAAACCGAUGAGUUUUUUAUGAAUAUUCAAAUGGGCCCAAGAAGAAAAUUUAAUUAGUGUCUCUAAAGUUGCAAGAUCUCCUGGUAAGAAAAUGAAAGCGUCAGCAUGAUUUAACAUUUUGGAUAUUCUUUCUUGCAUACCUGAGACAACUAACUCUUCUCCAGUUGGUGGGUCUGGUAGACAUCCUAAAGGUUUUAAGGCUUUUGGAAUGAUGCCUAGCACUUGGCUUCCUCGAAUAAAGGCAGCUUCAAAGACAAGUUUUGAUAACCCUUGGCCACCUCCUCCAUAUACAAGAUGUAGUUUCCUCUCUGCUAUAGUACGACCAAGAUCUAUGGCUGCUUGAAUGAACUCCUUAUACUUUCCAUAGCGAAAUCCAGAAAGUACACAAAUGUUUUUAAGUUGACUGCUUGAAGUUGCUGCCAUUAGAACAAUUCUAAAAAGAAACAAUUUGUGAGUGCUUGAAAAGAAGUUCCUAUUAAGGAUCUCGGUGACGGACAUAAUGAUAUAUGUAAAUGGGUAGUGUGUUUGUCAAAUGACGCGUGAAGCUUUUAGCUUAAUAAUUCAAAGGUAAAUAGUAAAAAGAAAAAACAAACAGUGAUUAGAUAAAAAAAACACACAAUAAUAAUAAUAAUGCAAAAGAUAAAAGAACAGUAAAAUAAAAGGAUAUUUACUGGUAGUUAUGAUUGUGGCUCACAUCUUCCUCUGGUUUUACGUCCAGUAACGACUUGAACGCCCUCUAUGGGUCGAGGAUAGGCUUCCCAUCCAGUUUUCUUAUAAACUGGCAAACAAGGUCUUUUAGAGUCAGAUUUCCAAGACUAAACUGUACACUUUCCUUUUGGAACAACUUCCAUAAAUUUUAAAUUUCAUGUUGAACAUAUCCGUUCGGAUGCGUCUUAAGAGAUCGUAAGAUAUCAUCCAACGAUUCUUUACUUAUGCCAUCCUUAAUGAAUUUGAUUUUAUCUUCACAAUUUACAGAAACCAUUCCUUACAACGUGGCUUUUUGUAAGCAAGUCUUACAUAGUGAGAACAUUAAGAGCCAAGUCGCUUAGCUCUUUUUUUUUAUAACAAAUGUACUUUUACCAAGACCAGGCAUGUAAGAAAUGAAUGGAUAAGAAAACUCACAUGCCAGUCAGACCUUUGCUUCAAUUAACUAGCGAAUGUUAGUAGGAAUCCCAUUGAUCAUUAACAAACGCAGUCGUUCACAACGAGUUUUGUAAAUCUUCGUAAGAGCAUUUUGAGGGAGAGAAGGAAAAAGUUGAUGCAAUUUUCAUUGUAUUUCUUCCAUGCUUGACAUUGAGGUUUCAGUUAUUGUGGGAAACUGAGAAUAUCGACUUAAAAAGUCACGGAGUACCGUUAUUCGCCAUUUAUACGGAAGAGUGAAUCAAAACAAAACGAAUCAAAUCUGCAAAAUCAAAUCAAAAGUGAAGAAGAACAACAAAAUAAAAUAAAAACACACAAGGAAUAUAACUCACCUUCAUCCUUUUAUUGAAUUUACCUCCAGUUCCAAUAACAUAUUAUAAAUACCAUCCUCUAUUUUCUUGAGUUGUCUUUCUAGAUCUUUCACGUGGGAUACUAAUUCUGGUGGUUGUAGCUCCCAAAUAGGAUGUGAUUUACAAAAUCAGAGUAAUUUCCUCAGGUGAAAUUUUACAUGUAAAAGUGCUUUAAGAUGAUCGAAAAGGAAAUUUCUCAUGGAGGUAUUCAUGACAAGCAUAAAAAUUUGGUGAGGUAAAUCACAAUUGUCAAACAACACACAAUUAAAACAAUGCAAUGUACUCUAUUCAAGACAUAGGGAAAAGGAAAAAGAAAAAAAAUCAGUUUGUCCUUUUAUUGAAUUUACCUUCAGUUCCAAAUGCAGAUUAUAAAUACCAUCCUCUAUUUCCUUGAGUUGUCUUUCUAGAUCUUUCACGCGGGAUACUAACUCUGGUGGUUGUACAUCCUAAAUGAGAUGUGAUUUAUAAAAUCGGAGCAAUUUCCUCAUGUGAAAUUUUACAUGUAAAAGUUCUUUAAGAUGAUCGAAAAGGAAACUUCUCAUGGAGGUACUUAUGACAAGUAUAAAAAUUUGGUGAGCUAAAGAACAAUUGUCAAACAACACACAAUUAAAAACAAUGUAAUGCACUCCAUUCAAGACAUAGGGAAAAGGAAAAAAAAUAAAACAAUUCAAACGAUAAAGUAAUAGUAAAUCAAAUUCACAAAAAGUUAAAAUGAAAAGGCUUAAUUAAAAUUUGGUGGGUCACUCAAAUUGAUUUCGGUAUCUGCUUCACGUGGUUGGUAUUUCAGAUAUAAUUUUAACUUUUGACCAUUAACUUUAAAUGUGACACCAUCCUUUAGAUUCUCAAUUUCUACGGCUCCAUAUGGAUACACAAUUUUUACAACAAAUGGACCAUUCCACUUUGACUUUAACUUCCCUAGAAAUAAAUGAAGACGAGAAUUAUAAAGCAACACUUUUUGACCAAUUUCAAAUGUUUUCCGAAAAAUUCUUUUGUCAUGAAAAAAAAAUUGGUCUUGCCUUAAUAAUUCUGUAAUUCUCAUAUGCAUCAUUCCUUAAUUACUUAAGUUCAUUUAAUUGCAAUUUACACACAUUACCAGCAUCAUCAAGAUUUGAAUGAAAACCUUUAAUGGCCCAAAAUGAUUUAUGUUCAAGUUCAACUGGUAAGUGGCAAGAUUUUCCAUAAAUAAGCCGAUAGGGUGACAUUCCUAAAGAUGUUUUAAAAGUAGUACGAUAUGCCCAAAGUGCAUCAGUUAGUCGAAGAGACCAAUCUUUACGAUUUGGAUUAACUGUCUUUUCUAAAAUUUGUUUUAUCUCCCUAUUUGCUAAUUCAACUUAACCACUUGUUUGAGGGUGAUAAGGGGUAGCAACCUUAUGUGUAAUUCGAUAUUUCUUCAUUAAUGACUCAAAUGGCUUAUUACAAAAAUGCUUACAUCUAUCACUGAUAAUGGCUCGAGAUAUUCCAAAUCUGCUCAAAAUAUUUUCUUUUAAAAAGCGGAUCACAAUCUUGUGAUCAUUGUGCCGACAAUGAAUUGCCUCGAUCUAUUUUGAAACAUAAUCAACAGCAACCAAAAUGUAUACAAAUCCAAAUGAUGAUGGAAAAGGGCCCAUAAAAUCAAUUCCCCAACAAUCAAAUAUUUCAAUGACAAGGAUGGGGUUUAAAGGCAUCAUGUUUCGUUUUGAAAUAGACCAUACCAUUUGACAAUUCUUACACAUUUUACAGAAUGCAUGUGAAUCUUUAAAUAAUGUAGGCUAAUAGAAUCCACACUGAAAUAUUUUUGCAGCUGUCUUUUUUGAAGAAAAAUGGCCGCCACAUGCUUCAGAAUGACAAAAUUGAAUGACCCUACUUACCUCGUCGUCUGGUAUGCAUCUUCGAAAAAUUUGAUCAGAGUAGUAUUUGAACAUGUAUGGAUCAUCCUAGUAAAAGCUUCUCACUUCUGUUAAGAAUUUCCUCUUGUCUUGGGAAUUCCAGUCACAUGGCAUUUCACAUGUCGCAAGAUAAUUAACAAUAUUAGCAUACCAAGGCAUUUUGUUUAUAGAAAAAAAAAAUUCAUUAGGGAAAGAAUCAUUGAUGGGUGUUGUUUCAAUUAAAGACUCAUUUGUAAUUCUUGAAAGAUGAUCUGCAACAACAUUUUCAACGACCUUUUUGUCCUUGAUUGUCAAAUUAAAUUCUUAAAGUAGCAAAAUCCAUCGUAUCAACCUUGGUUUGGCAUCCUGUUUUGACAUUAAAUAUCUCACAGCAGCAUGAUCAGAAUAAACACAGUAGAUGAACCAAUUAAAUACGAAUGAAAUUUAUCCAAUGCAAAUAUUACAACAAGUAGUUCUUUCUCAGUUGUAGUGUAAUUCAUUUGAGCACUAUUCAAAGUUAUACUUGGAUAAUAGAUGACAAAGGGCUUACCUUCCUUUCUUUGACCCAGAAUAGCGCCAACGACAUAAUCACUAGCAUCACAUAUUAACUCAAAAUGUAAAGACCAAUCAAGGGGUUGCAUUAUUGGGGCUGAUGUCAAAAGAGUAGUUAUUUUUUCAAAAGCUUGUUGACAAUCUUUAGUCCAUUCAAAAUGUGUGUCUUUAUUAGGAGGUUAUAAAGUGGUCUAGAUAUGACACUAAAGGCUUUUAUAAACCUCCUAUAAAAUCCUGCAUGUCCUAAAAAGGAACGGACUUCUCUAAUUGUCUUUGGUGAGGGUAAUUUUGAAAUGACUUCAACUUUAACUUUGUCAACUUCAAUUCCUUUUGAAGACACAACAUGGCCCAAGACAAUUUCAGAAGUGGUCAUGAAAUGACAUUUUUCCCAAUUUAAAACUAGUCCUUUCUCUUUGCACAUUUUCAAAAAAAUUUCUAGAUUAUCAAGACAUGUAUCAAAAGAAUUACCAAAUACAGUUAAAUCUUCCAUAAAAAUCUCUAGAUAAUUUUCAACCAUGUCACUAAAAAUGCUUAGCAGGCACCUUUGAAAUGUUGCAGGAGCAUUACAAAGUCCAAAGGGCAUUCUCCUAAAUGCAAAUGUUUCAAAUGGGCAUGUGAAUGUGGUCUUUUACUGGUCUUCUAAGGCUAUAAAGAUUUGAUAAUAGCCAGAGUAGCCAUCAAGAAAGCAGUAGUAGGGAUGUCCAGCUACUCUUUCGAGAAUUUGGUCUAGAAAUGGAAGGGAAAAAUGAUUUUUCUAGUGGCAUCAUUUAAUUUUCUGUAAUCAAUGCACAUCCGCCAACUAGAUGGAAUUCGUGUUGAGAUUGGUUCACCUUUUUCAUUUUUUACAACAGUUAUUCCAGAUUUCUUUGGUACUACUUGUGUUGGACUUGCCCAUUUACUAUAAGAGAUAAGAUAGAUAAUUCCUAGAUCUAGUAGUUUAAGGACCUCAUUCUUUACCGCUUCUUUCAUAUGAGAGUUUAGUCUUCUUUGUGGUUGACGGGUUGUUUUGGUAUUUUCCUCUAAGUGUAUUCGGUGUGUGCAAAUUAAAGGAUUAAUGCCUUUUAUGUCUUUUAAGGUCCAACCAAAUGCAGUUUUAUGCUUUUUUAGUAUAGAUAACAACUUACCUUCUUGAUCAUGCGUGAACUGAGAAGAAAUUACCACCAGAUAUGUCUGUUGUUCUCCAAGAUAGACAUACUUCAAUUCUUCUAGUAAGGGCUCUAAUUCGAGCUAUGGUGUUUCCUCUUCGUUUGGUUCUUCGGGUUGUAUCGUAUCUUCAAAGUCCGAUUGGUCAUCGUCACCUAUAGGGACCUGCAUUGAAUCAAGUGUACGACAUAUGUUAGCAGUAUCAUAAUCUAAUUCCUUACUUGAUUCAAAAGAACCAGCAAAAUAAAUUUCCGCAAAGUUUGUAAAAUUCUCAUCAUGAAUGUGUUCCUCAAUGAUUAGCUCGAUGAGAUCAAUCUCCUCAUUCUCAUUAUCAUCAUCUUCUUGGUGGUGAGGUUGUUUACACAUGUUGAACACAUUAAGUUCCAGUGUCAUGUUGUCGAAAGAUAAAUUCAUUAAUCCAUUCCUACAAUUGAUCAAAGCAUUAGCAGUAGCUAAAAAUGGUCGACCCAAUAUAAGAGGAAUUUGUUUGCAUUCAUUAGCAAUUGGUUCCGUUUCCAAAACAAUAAAAUCCACAAGAUAUAUGAAUUUAUCGACCUGGACUAAUACAUCUUCAAUUAUUUAUUUUGCAAUCUUAAUCGAUCUAUCAGCAAGUAAAAGAGUGGUAGAAGUUGGUUUUAACUCACCGAGAUUGAGUUGUUGGUACAAUGAGUAAGGAAGCAAAUUAACACUGGCACCAAGAUCAAGUAGAGCAUGUCCAAUUUUAUGAUCCCCAAUAGUGCAAGAAAUAGUUGGACAACCAUUAUCCUUGUAUUUCAAAGUACUAUUGGUUGAGAGAAUUGAACUUACUUGUUCUGCUAGAAAAGCUCUCUUUUGCAUCUUAUGUUUCCUUUUCACCGUGCACAGAUCUUUCAAAAUUUAGCAUAAGAAGGUACUUAUUUAAUGACAUCCAGCAGAGGAAUGUUGACCUUUACUUAUUUAAAAACUUCACAAAAUAAGAAACGGUCCCUCCAACGCAUAAAUGGUUGGGAGUUCACGUUCUCAUCAUCUUUGGUAAAGUCAAGUCCACCACGUAGACAUUCAUAAACCGCCCUACCAUAAUUCUUCGCGGAUAACCCCAGUUUAGGUUUAAUAGUGCUUGAGGAAAUAGGGGUACAGGAGGAGAGUUGGUUAUUUCUUAAUGGGUUAAAGGUUCGACAGACUCUUCCCUAUUUUCUGAAAUUGAAUCUUUACUGGUUUCACGAGGGUCCACAAUAUGUUUUCGACCACUUUACCACCACGAAGGGUUAUAACCAAUUUGACUUGACUCAUAAUUUGGUUUCCUGAAUUUCCCAUUUGCGGAUGUUGUUGACUCUUGGGGUUUAGUUCAGGUUGAGCAAUAAACUUUCCUUUUUCAUACAUGGUCAGAGUAGAUGUAAGUUUGGAGAUAGUUUCUGUCAAAUUAGUUAAGGUUUGCAUCGUUUGGUUAUUGAUUGACUCUUAUUUUUCAAUAAACGAAUGCAAUGUGUCUUCCAAAGUUUUUCUUGGUUGUGGAACAUAUGGUGGGUAACUCUGGGAGUUUUGAAAAUUUUGACGUGGAGGAAUUGGUUGUAAAGGUUGUGUAUGAUUGUCAUUUCUCCAACUAAAAUUUGGGUGGUUUCUCUAACCAGAGUUGUAAGUUUGGGAGUAUGGAUUUGGAUUUGGCCUUUUGAAAUUGUCAACGACAUUUACUUGUUCAUGCAAACUUUGUCUCCAAGCUGGCAAAGUUGGACGGUCCUGCGUAGAAUGGUCAGUAGAAUCGCAAACAUAACAUGAAAUAUUUUGAACAGAUUUUACAUGAUCAUUCUUUUUCAACUCUAAUGCUUCGACUUUUCUAGCUAAUGAUGUAAAUUUGGCUUGAAAAUCAUGGUCUUCCCUAAGGUUAUGCAUGCCUCCACCAGAUGGAGAUGACUGAGGUUUACUUGAUGACUCAUAAGAACCAACUGUAUCCCAGUGUUGUGCAUUCUCUGCCAUAUAGUCAAGAUAGUCUAAUGCAUCUUCAAGACUUUUAUCCCUAAACUCACCAUUACACAUCAUUUCAAUGACUUGUCGGCCUUGGGAUGUUAAUCCCUCGUAGAAAUAAGACACUAAUCUCCAUGUUUCAAAAUCGUGGUGUGGGUAAAUGUUAAGUAGUUCUUUAAACCUAUCCCAACAUUGGUAGAGGGUUUCUCCUGGUUUUUGAGUGAAUGUGGUGAUUUGUCUUUUGAAAUAAUUAGUUCUGUGGGGUGGGAAGAUUUUUUUCAAAAAUUGUGCUUGCAUUUCAUCCUAAGUUCUAAUGGAUCCUGACUUAAGAUUUUUGUAGCCAAGUUUUAACUUUAUCAUUUAGUGAGAAAGGAAAAAACUUAAGUAUGAUUAUAUUCAUGCUACAAUUUUGAUCAGUACAUGUGUUACAGACUUCCUCAAAUUCCCUUAAAUGCAAAUAUGAAUUUUCAAACUCAAAAACAUGAAAAGCAAGAAGAAGUUGAAUGAUACCAGGUUUAAAAUUAAAACGUGAUGCAUCAGGAGGGAAAACUAUGCAUGAUGAUGACCCUGUUCUAGUAGGAUGCAUGAAAUCUCUUAGGGCCCUAGGCUGUUGAUGAAGAUUUUGCAAGGCUUGGUCAUUUUCAUGCUCUGAAAAAUUUUCAGCUCCUGUGUCAAGUAAAAGAGUGGUAGAAGUUGGUUUUAACUCACCGAGAUUGAGUUGUUGGUACAAUGAGUAAGGAAGCAAAUUAACACUGGCACCAAGAUCAAGUAGAGCAUGUCCAAUUUUAUGAUCCCCAAUAGUGCAAGAAAUAGUUGGACAACCAUUAUCCUUGUAUUUCAAAGUACUAUUGGUUGAGAGAAUUGAACUUACUUGUUCUGCUAGAAAAGCUCUCUUUUGCAUCUUAUGUUUCCUUUUCACCGUGCACAGAUCUUUCAAAAUUUAGCAUAAGAAGGUACUUAUUUAAUGACAUCCAGCAGAGGAAUGUUGACCUUUACUUAUUUAAAAACUUCACAAAAUAAGAAACGGUCCCUCCAACGCAUAAAUGGUUGGGAGUUCACGUUCUCAUCAUCUUUGGUAAAGUCAAGUCCACCACGUAGACAUUCAUAAACCGCCCUACCAUAAUUCUUCGCGGAUAACCCCAGUUUAGGUUUAAUAGUGCUUGAGGAAAUAGGGGUACAGGAGGAGAGUUGGUUAUUUCUUAAUGGGUUAAAGGUUCGACAGACUCUUCCCUAUUUUCUGAAAUUGAAUCUUUACUGGUUUCACGAGGGUCCACAAUAUGUUUUCGACCACUUUACCACCACGAAGGGUUAUAACCAAUUUGACUUGACUCAUAAUUUGGUUUCCUGAAUUUCCCAUUUGCGGAUGUUGUUGACUCUUGGGGUUUAGUUCAGGUUGAGCAAUAAACUUUCCUUUUUCAUACAUGGUCAGAGUAGAUGUAAGUUUGGAGAUAGUUUCUGUCAAAUUAGUUAAGGUUUGCAUCGUUUGGUUAUUGAUUGACUCUUAUUUUUCAAUAAACGAAUGCAAUGUGUCUUCCAAAGUUUUUCUUGGUUGUGGAACAUAUGGUGGGUAACUCUGGGAGUUUUGAAAAUUUUGACGUGGAGGAAUUGGUUGUAAAGGUUGUGUAUGAUUGUCAUUUCUCCAACUAAAAUUUGGGUGGUUUCUCUAACCAGAGUUGUAAGUUUGGGAGUAUGGAUUUGGAUUUGGCCUUUUGAAAUUGUCAACGACAUUUACUUGUUCAUGCAAACUUUGUCUCCAAGCUGGCAAAGUUGGACGGUCCUGCGUAGAAUGGUCAGUAGAAUCGCAAACAUAACAUGAAAUAUUUUGAACAGAUUUUACAUGAUCAUUCUUUUUCAACUCUAAUGCUUCGACUUUUCUAGCUAAUGAUGUAAAUUUGGCUUGAAAAUCAUGGUCUUCCCUAAGGUUAUGCAUGCCUCCACCAGAUGGAGAUGACUGAGGUUUACUUGAUGACUCAUAAGAACCAACUGUAUCCCAGUGUUGUGCAUUCUCUGCCAUAUAGUCAAGAUAGUCUAAUGCAUCUUCAAGACUUUUAUCCCUAAACUCACCAUUACACAUCAUUUCAAUGACUUGUCGGCCUUGGGAUGUUAAUCCCUCGUAGAAAUAAGACACUAAUCUCCAUGUUUCAAAAUCGUGGUGUGGGUAAAUGUUAAGUAGUUCUUUAAACCUAUCCCAACAUUGGUAGAGGGUUUCUCCUGGUUUUUGAGUGAAUGUGGUGAUUUGUCUUUUGAAAUAAUUAGUUCUGUGGGGUGGGAAGAUUUUUUUCAAAAAUUGUGCUUGCAUUUCAUCCUAAGUUCUAAUGGAUCCUGACUUAAGAUUUUUGUAGCCAAGUUUUAACUUUAUCAUUUAGUGAGAAAGGAAAAAACUUAAGUAUGAUUAUAUUCAUGCUACAAUUUUGAUCAGUACAUGUGUUACAGACUUCCUCAAAUUCCCUUAAAUGCAAAUAUGAAUUUUCAAACUCAAAAACAUGAAAAGCAAGAAGAAGUUGAAUGAUACCAGGUUUAAAAUUAAAACGUGAUGCAUCAGGAGGGAAAACUAUGCAUGAUGAUGACCCUGUUCUAGUAGGAUGCAUGAAAUCUCUUAGGGCCCUAGGCUGUUGAUGAAGAUUUUGCAAGGCUUGGUCAUUUUCAUGCUCUGAAAAAUUUUCAGCUCCUGUGUCAGCCAUAUCAAAGGGUGGUGAAGGCGAUCUUCUAAUUAAUCUGCCACUAUUUGUAUGAGACCAAUGACGCAUAGAAGAUAAAUAAAAUAAAUAAAUUAGGUGGUGAAACCAGCCAUAAACAAAGGAAUUAAAAGAAACAGUUUAGGCAGUAUUUUAAAACCAGCCAUAUAAUAAAACAUAAAAUUAAAUAAAUUAAUGUACAAGAAUAAAUAAACUGAAAUUAAAAUGCUAGGAGGUAGAACCGACCAUAUAAGCAAAAAUACAUAAAUUAACAAAAUUUAAAUAACAGUCACGCGGUAGAACCGACCAUUUAAAAUAAAUGUAGAAAGUAAAUUGCAGAAAUUUAAAGAAAUAAAUUCGAUUUGGGGACUGAUUUGCAAAUGUUUAUGGGCUAAGAUGAAGUUUCUCACAAAUUUUAUAGAUAAUGUUAAAGUUUAAAAAGAGGAGGGGUGCUAACUGAAGUUUUGUAAAAAGAGAAUAAAAUAGGAUCACGGAAAGAUAGUAGGACAAAAAAUAAUAAUAAUAAAAUAUUAAAAUAAAAUAAAAAUAAAGUAAAAACAAACUAAUGCAAAAUUUAGAAAACUCCCCGGCAACGGUGCUAAAAACUUGACAUGACUCAAAAGUAUAUUACUCCCAAGUAUAAGAGUGUCUAGUUGUAAUAUAACCCGGUGAGUUCGGGGUCGAACCACAAGGAAUUUUUAAAAUCUAGUUGUCAAUUUGUUAAACAAAGAAAAUUAAUUGUGGGGAAAAGAAAUUAUUUGAAAACAAUUUAAAAAUAUGUUAAUGUUACGAGAUCCACUCUUGGUAUUCAAACUAUAAUUUUAAUACUCUCUCAUUUAUAUUUUGCCUCACUUUUAGCAGUUAAUUAUUAUAUCAUUUAAUUUUAUGUGUGUGGAUAAAUAUGAAAUAAAAUACCAAAUGUGCCACACUAUAUUAAUGUGUCGACAUUAUGUCAAAAUACCAUACAGAUACAAGAAAAUUUAUAAAUUAACAAGGCAUAAAAAUAACUAAAAAAAAAUAAAAUAAACUUAAAAACUCAUUUGAGAAAAUAAUAAAUUUAAUAGUUUGAAACAUUGAGCUUCACCUUUCACCUCAGCUUACUAAAAUUAGCCACUCAUAUUGAAAGAAAACACAACACUCUUUUUAUUUGAUAAACUUUUGAAAUAUGUUACAAGAAAAAUUGAUACAAAAGGAAACAAGAAAAGAAAAGAAAGAAAGAUAGAAAUUUAAGUUCCCUCGUGGCUACAACUAAUUCUCUCGGCUUAAAAAUCUCAAAUCCCCUCGCGUCUCUCCGCUCAAGCUUCCUGCAUUUCCUUACCUUUUAUAGGCAAGGAAUGCAUUAUCUUUAUUAUUUAUUAUUAUUAUUAUUAUUAUUAUUAUUAUAUAUGUGUGUGUGUGUGUGUGUACAUUGAAAUGUGUAAUGGUCAAGUGGCUAUGAUGGCCACUUGACCAUUACGAGAAUGAGUAAUUUGGUUUUUGUUCUUUUGUUCUUUUUUAUUUUUUAUUCAUUUUUAUUUUUUUAUUUAUUUACAUCACCUCAAUAAUGCUUCCAAAUUGCUCCAGCAGUCAUUCUUUGUUCCUGCUUUUAAUUCCAAUUUAUUCCUGAAAAAUAUUUAUAAGAUAAAAAUUAAUAUAUUGUGAAUUAAAUUAACACAAAAUUUAUUUGGGAAGUAUUAAGAUAAUUUAGAAAUAAUAAGCGCAUUAAUCUACACAAUAAGUGUAAAACUAAUAAUUUUAUCUUUAUUACACGUACACGUUUUAGUGUUACUCAGUUUGCUGAUAUAGUUAAUUACCUUGUUAUAGGUCAAAUCCCAAAACAUUGGACCAAGCAAGAUAGAACAAAGUUCUUAUCCAAAGUGAAGAAUUUAUUUUGGGAUGAUCCCUAUUUUUUUAAAUAUUGUGCUGAUCAGAUUAUUAGGAGAUGUGUUCCAGAGAAUUAAAUUCAAAGUGUCAUCUCUUUUUUCCAUGAACAAGCUUGUGGAGACCAUUUUAAUGCUAAAAAGACAGCAACAAAAUUUUACAAUGUAGGUUUUAUUGGCCUACUCUUUUUCAUGACGCUUAGGUUUUCUGUUCUUUAUGUGAUAGGUGCCAACACAUGGGUAGCAUUUCAAAGAGGAAUAUGAUGCCACUCAAUCCUAUUCUGAUUGUUGAGAUCUUCGAUGUAUGGGGUAUUGAUUUCAUGAGACCUUUUCCUCUAUCUUUUGGUUAUUAGUAUAUAUUGGUUGCAGUGGACUAUGUGUCGAAAUGGGUUGAAGCUAUUCCAUGCAAAACCAAUGAUCAUAGUGUUGUAGUGAAAUUCUUGAAGAGUAAUAUUCUGUCUCAUUUUGGUUUCUCUAAACAAUCAUUAGUGAUGGUCGUACCCAUUUUUGCAAUAAACCUUUCAAAAAUCUUUUGAACAAAUAUUCCAUUAUACAUAAAGUUGCCACCCCAUACCAUCGUCAAACUAAUGGCCAAGUAGAGAUUUCUAAUAGAGAGAUCAAGCAAAUUCUAGAAAAAAAACAGUUAGGCCAGAUAGAAAUGAUUGGUCUUUGAGACUUGAUAAUGCAUUGUGGGCAUAUAGGACAGCUUUCAAAACCCCAAUUGGGAUGUCACCUUAAAGAAUUGUGUAUAGAAAAGCAAGUCAUCUGCCAGUAGAGUUGGAGUAUCGUGCAUAUUGAGCUAUCAAGAAAUUCAAUUUUGAUAUGCAGCAGGCUGGUUCUAAGAGAAUAUUACAACUAGCAGAACUUGAAGAGAUCAGGAAUGAUACAUAUGAGAAUGCCAAGAUUUAUAAACAACGAAUGAAAGUCUUUCAUGACAAGCACAUUUUGAGAAAAUCAUUUAUACCAAGUUAGAAAGUACUUUUAUAUAAUUCCUGACUGCAUCUCUUUCCAAGUAAGUUACGCUCUCGAUGAUCGGGUCCUUUUAUACUUCGUACUGUCUUUCCUUAUGGAGGAGUUCAGAUUGAAAAUCCUAAAAAUAGUGAUUUAUUUAAAGUCAAUGGUCAAAGAUUAAAACCAUUUUUAGAGUUAAGAACACCAGAAAUUGAGGAGAUAGUUUAGAUGAUUCUGUUUAUCAUGAUUAAUUAAUUCCAUCUUUACAUUCUUUUUAUUUAUUUAAAUAGUAGGUUUUCUUUUCAUUGUUUGUUUUUAUUUUCUAGUAUUUUUCUUUUCUAACAUUUUCUUUUUAUUUGUCAUUUUUUUACGCUUUUCCAGCCUAUUCAGGUGUGUUCUCUCCAACUUUUUCUUUUAUUAUUUAUGUUUUUAUUUAUUUAUUUAUUCUCAUAUUUUUGCAUGCAUAUCUUUUGUUUGUGAAACAUUGAGGACAAUGUUCCGAAUAAGUUUGGGGGUGGGAAUAGUGUGUGCUUUGUUUGUUAUUAAAAAAAAUUAAAAAUUUUCAAAAAUUCAAAAAAAAUUUGUGUUGUCUUUUUUUGUUUUUAUGUGAAAAGCCAAUGAUAAGAACUUGAUUGACAAUGACUAUGGUUCUUAGAAAUGGUUGAAUAUUGUCUGAGUUUAUACUUGAUUCUUGUGUUAGUUCAUCUUGAUUGAGAUUCUUUAAACUAUGAGCACUAAUAUUAAUUUUUUCUGACUUGAAAUAUGAGAUUGACGCAGCCUGAAUUGAGAAUUUUAGAUAAAGUAAAUGACUGUUUGUCUUGAUUCUUAUCUCCACAGUACAAAAUAGUAUACACAAGCGCCGAAGUUAGAAAUAGCUACCUAUAACCCUUAAGAGUGAAGCUAUCCUUGAGUAAUUUGAGUCUAUGUACCACAAGUAUGUAAAGGAUAAUCUACCAUGAGAAGAAAGCUACCUUAAGGGGUAGAGUGAAGCUCCUGACUAUGGUUAAAAAAAAAAAGAAAAAAAAGGAAAAAAAAUCAAGUGCAUGUGUUGAAAUGAAAAAAAUCAAAAGAAAAUGCACAUAAAAGCCUGUAAAAAAAAAUUGGAGAUUAACAUGAUAAGAUUAGUUUGACCUAUUCUUUUCUUUAUUCAAGGCAAAGGUCGUUGAUAUUAAAGAUUUUGGGAAUGGAUUUGAUUGAAUUGAUUCACACACACACUACAAGAAUCAAAAGAGAGAUGAGAUUGACUAAUGAAUUAAAGUUAGAACUUUUCCAAUAUUUAAAAUUUUCUUUGAGCUAUAUAAGUUAUGCAAUCAUUGAGGCUAUCUUUAUAUUUUAUAUAAAGUUUUUUGUUCUUUUUAUUUUAUUUUAUUUUAUUUUUAUUUUUUUAAAUGAUGUUUGUGGGUAUCAUCACUAAAGCUUUCAUGAGACUAUAACUCGUCCAUUAGGGCUGCCUAGGGGUUUAAAAGCUUGUUGGAUAUGCUAAAUGCAAUCGCAAUCACCUGCGAAAGUGGUUUAGUUAGGAUUUACUUUUUUGUUUUGUUACUUUUAUUUUUGUUUUUAAGAUUUAGUUUUGCUCGAGGACUAGCAAAAUCUAAGUUUGGGGGUAUUUGAUGAGCAUAAUUUAUAUAUAUAUUUUACCCUUUAUUGUAUAUUUGUUAGUUAUUUUUAUUUCUUAUUUUUAACUAAUUGAAUUGUUUUAUUGAAUAGGGAAUUAAUUUGAGAUUAUGAAAAAAAAAGUGCAUAAAAGAUCCAUAAGAGAAAAGAAUUGAAGAAUUAAAGAUUAUGUUCUAAAGUUUCCGCAUGAGCUUAAGAUAAUUAAAGAAAGAUUUUAUUUAGCAAUUUGGAAUGUACGUGUUGGGCAUUAAAGGAAGAAAUCAUUAAUUGGCCUUUUGCUUUGGAAGUCAAACGUGUGGCUCGAUUUCCAAUUUUAAUAAGGAAAUAAUAUACAAAGGAUUUGGCGUGUGGGAGCAAAACAAAUAAAAGGCCAAAGCGUUUUGGCUUUAGAAUUGAAAAGGUGGGGCCCAUUUUGAGCUAUAUAAGCAAGCUUUUGCCUUUUGGACAAAAAAUGGGGGAAGCUGCCAAACGCAAAAUGAAGCAAAAGGAGACACGAUUCAAGAGAGAAGACAGGAGCGGCAACAGCUGUUUAGUUUUCAUGGCUGGAGUUAUUUAUUUUGUUGCUCCCAAUUCAAGUAUGUCUACCAAAUUUUUUUAUACUGAGGUUAAGGAUGAAAUCUUAUUCAAUGAAAUAGUUAUCUCUUUAUUUAAUUAAUUCCCCACAUGUGUGUUUUAAUGUUUAUGGUUCUUGUUUCACAUGAUUAGUUGGAUGUUAUUAAAUUCUUUUUCACCAAUUCUGUCAUGCAUUAUUGAUUGUUAAGAUUAAUAUUUGAUUAAAUCUAUGCUUGGAUCUAUAAAGUUUAUAUAUGAUUAUAUUUGAUUUUGUGUUUUUCAUUAAAUUAUUUACACAGAGUACUUAGGAAAACUUUGACUCUUUGUUAUUCAAUAUGUUUACAUAGGAUGCUUAGAUGUCAUACUAUCAAGCAGAAAAAGAACCUACGUAAGAUUAAUUUUAUUUGGGCUUCAUUGUUAUAUUUAUGAGAUGACAUAGAUUGUUUUCGAGUUGUCACUCUAAAAUUGAGGAUUAAUUAAUAUUUAGAUAAAUACUAGUUGAAUAGUAGUGGAUUCGGAAACCUUGGUAAUUUUUGUCUUAUUGAAUUCUCAUUUGCUUUAAUUGUUUUCUUAGUUUAAUUAGUUUAAUUUUAUUAAAACUUAAUUUGCUCAACUAUGCUAGAAUUAAUAUUAAUUUUAGAUUUAAAUUAGAAUUUUCAAUUUAUAACAAUCUCUGUGGGUUCGACCUCGUUACCACUAUUCUAUCUCUUGAUUCGUGCGCUUGCGAGUAUAUUAAAAUUUUUUACAACAGUAAGACUUCUUGAAUGCUGAAGACUAAUCACCCCACUUCACAUCUGCUGUGCAUUUUGUUACUAAUAAGAUUAACGACAUUGAGAGAAUCUAACUCAAUUAUAGCAGGAGCCAACCCGAUAUUCAUCACCAAUUGAAGGCCUUUGUGCACAGCAACAACUUCCACAAACUUUAUAUCUCUGGAGAAAAUCACCCUACAAAUAAAAGCUGCCAUAACCUCUCCUAUGGAAUUACGAACCAAUACUCCAAUACUAGCACGAUCUUCUGUAGAACUUAUAGCCACAUCAACGUUCACUUUGUACCAUGACGAGGGAGGACUUUGGCAACACGAGCUGGGAGUAUUGGGUUUAAUGCUCUUGCUGGUUCCACAUUACAACGUGUCUGCUCUAAAUGAGUUCACGGCAUUCGCAGCUCGGACGACAAUUGCUUGAGACUUAGUGAUAACUUUACCAUAAAUCAAAUGAUUCCGAGCUAGCCAAAUUGACCAACAUAAGACCACCAAUUCUUCAAACUCAUCUUUUGUUACUAUAGAUGUUAUGUGAGUGGUCAAAUUGGAAAACUCCACAGGCCUUGUAAUCUUUAGACAUGAAUAAAAUCUCGUGAGCUUCCAUACCUUCUUCUCUUGUUACACACCACUAGAGCAUGAUACUGAUCCUCAUAAGUAAAGCCACAACAAGGGCAUGAAGGAGCAACUUGAAUUUUCCUUUUAUGCAGAUUUAAAUAAUUGGCUAGAAUAUUGGAAAAGGCUCGCCAAUAAAAGAUUUUAAUCUUGGAUGGUUGAGACAAAUUCCAGAGAUAUUUCUGCCACCCUGUGUUAGUACUAGAACUGGAAGGCCAGUCCUUGAGUUUCAAACGAAAGGCCACAUGGUAGCCACUCUUUACGUUAUAGUGGCCUCACUUAUCAUAUGUCCAGACCAGUUGAUCCUCCAAUGGCUUUUUGGGUAAUAGGAUUUUCAAAAUCUGAGUUACAUCUUCUUUGAGAAAAUUAGUUCUUAUUAACUAUUCUUUCCAGCAUCCUUCUUCGUCAAUCAAGAUGGCUACUCGAGAUUGAGAAAGUAGGAUCUGAGGAGAGAAUGAUUUGAAUGUGCUAGGACGAGGAAGUCAUCUGUGGUGAUAAAUAGAAACAGUUUUACCAUAUCUAAUUCUCUAUCUUGAGGCAGCCUCAAUGACCUCUUUCCCCCAUAAGAUACUUCUCCAUAUAUAUGAAGGAUUACUACCCAAUUUACUCUCCAUGAAGUUGCCUCUUGGAUAGUAUUUAGCUUUAAUAACUUUGGAGACUAGAAAGUGUGGAAAAGAAAUUUAUCUCCAGUAUUGUUUUGCUAUAAGAGCUUUAUUAAAAGAGCUCAACUCUCUAAAACCAAGGCCCCCAUAUUCCUUUGAAAGGCAGAGUUUCAAAGAGGCAACCAGUGAAGGCUUUUGGAGGAUAAAUUCUGACUCCACCAAAAUUGGCGAUUAAUUUUUUCAAAUCAUCACAAAAGCUGAGAGGGAACUUAAAGACACUCAUCGCAUAUGUGGGGAUAGCUUGAGCAACAACUUUGAUCAAUAUCUCUUUACCGCCGCUUGAGAAUAAUUUGGCUUUCCAAAUCUUUAAUCUUGUCCCAAAGCUGGGUCUUUAAUGUAUUAAAGAAGAAUUUUUUACUUCUGCCCAGCUUCAAUGGGAGACAAAGAUAUUGCUUAUGAUGAGAGACAACAUAAAGGUUGAAGACAUGUUUAAUUGCCUCUCUGAUGUUUCCUGGAGUAUUUGGACUGAAAAAUAAAGAUGAUUUUUGAAAAUUGAUGACUUGGCCAGAUGCAUUACUAUACAGAUCAAACAACUCUUUGAGAUGGUUAUAUUCUGCAAUCGUUGCUUUGAAGAACACCAAGCUGUCAUCAACAAAAAAUAAAUGAGAAAUAGUAGGGCCCUGGACACCAAACUUAAUGCCAUGAAUGAAUUUAUGAUUUUCGGCAUAGACCAAUAAAAAAGAUAAAGAUUCUGCAUAUAGAAUAAAUAGAUAAAGGGAAAGAUGACAUCCUUAUCGCAACCCUCUCUGGGGAUUGACGAGACCUCAAACUUCGCCAUUAAGAAGGAAGGAGAAUGUAGAUGACAUGUGCAUUUAAUUGUGAGACUCACCCAUCGAUUUGAAAAUCCUAGCUUACGCAUAAUGCCUUCUACAAAACACCAUUCAAUCCUAUCAUAAGCUUUGCUAAUGUCAAGUUUUAUAGCAACCAACCCCUAUUUUUCAUGUUUAUUGCAUCUAAUCUUAUGGAGACACUCAUAGCCAAUUAUGAUAUUAUCUGUGAUCAGUCUUUGAGGAAUAAAGUAGGGAUGGCAAAAUCUGGGUCCGGGUCCGGGUUUGGCCUUCCCGGUUCCGGACCCGGAUACUAAAAUGCUAUACCGGACCUGGAUUUAAACCCGAUUUUUGUGACACCGGGUCCGGAACAGGUUAAACCCAGAUUAUUUCGGGUUUCUGGAUUGCGGGUUUUCAACCCGGAUCACAUACAAAUAAAAAAAAAUCAAAUACACUUUACAAAUUUGCAAAACCAGAUCAACAUAAAUCAAAUACAAAGUAAUAAACCAUUUUAAUUUUACAGAUUUUUAAUUUCAAAACAAUAAACCAUUUGCAAAUACAGAUCGAUGACAUGACACUCACAAAAUACAAAUCCAUGUCUACAACUCAAAAUCGUGAUUCACGGAUUUGGUUCACAAACUUCAACAAUCGGUGUCCGGCGAAGUAACGAACAUCGGUGGCUGAUGAUAUGAUGAUGAUGAACACGUCAUUGCUGCGAGCGCGAUUCGCAAAAGGCAGAUGAACGGCAGCUAAAACCGAGAUCGCAAUGGACAAACGACGGCCAAAUGAAGGCUGGUGAUGAUGAUGAAUGUGAACACAACGAAGCGAAGCGAUGAGGAGUGACGACGAUGAUUUGAUGAAAAGAAGAACUGAAGAGAAAAAGGAUGAUUUGAUGAAGAGAAUAAGUGAAUGGGAACGGAAAUGAUGAUUUGAUGAAGAGAAAAGAAAAAGGUAGAGAGAGGCGAUUGUGAAAGUGUGAAAUGAAGAGAAGAGAAAAUAAAGAGGACGAAAAGGAUGAUUAGGGCAUCAACAUUUUUCCCCUUUUUAUAUUAAAAAAUAAUUUAAAUAUUAUGCUAAAAUAAGAAUAUCCGGUUCCGGGUUUUGGAUAUACGGGUUAUCUCAAACCCGGAACCGGACCCGAAUCCAUUCGGGUUAUUAAAAUCUAUUCCGGACCCGAAUUUUUUUACAUUCCGGUACGGAUUCAACCCGUCCUGGAUUAUCCGGGUUCAUCCGGGUCCGGGUUAUUUUGCUAUCCCUAGAAUAAAGGCAGAUUGGCUAGAAAACCAAAUUAAAGUGGCGGCUAGGGUUUUCAAAACUUGUAAAGUUUUGAUUUUUUUUUUUUUUUUUGGUGAUGGAUUUGGUGGGAAGAGAUGUGGGUAUCCAGGAAAGCUGUACGAUUCACACAGAACCGCUCUCAUACCAAUUGAUGGAGCGGCAUAGCAGAAGCAGAAAUUGAUAGGAUAGGAAAACUAGAUAUCAUUCUAGCACUGGACCAAGCCAACCUGAUUAGCUUACGCUCUAAUCGAAGCGUGAUUAGAUAUCAUUCUAAUCUAGACGAUUCAAUGAGAUUUUUAAUAACGCAUAAUGCGAGAUUAGAUGACGUUCUAAUCCAAAUGACUUUACGAGAGAGAUUUUGAUAGAUAAUUUCAGAGGGAAUUAUAAAAUAGGGUUUUUUUUAAUAGAGUAAACCCGCUUUUUUUUUUAUAUCUAUUUUUUUUAUAAAAUAGAUAAUUUUUGAAGUUCUGAAAACAAUAACAAGACAUCUCUAUUUAUAAUAGAGUAAACCCGCUUCCCUAAGUUAACUUAAAAAGAGAAAAUAAUCACAAUUAUAAUGAAAAUAAAAUAUACUUUUCCUAAGUUAACUAAAUCUCAUACCUUAAUUGUCUCUAAUAAAAACAAAAAGUCCUAAAAUAAUAAAAUACCAUAAUUGACUCUAAUUAAAAUAAAAAUUCCUAAAAUAAUAAAAUUCUACAAUCUUAAAAUUCCUAAAUUAACCUAAAUUAACUUCCUACAUCACAAGCUAUUAAUCCUCCCAAGUACGAUCUGUUGGCUCCACCAUAUUCGAGAACAAUACCAUAUAUAUGAAUAAUAUUGUGUACAUAAAUAGUACCGUAUACGUGAACAAUACUAUCUACACCAACUACAAACCGUCGGCUCUAAUACCAUUUGUUGUUCGCGAAAUACAGAAUCAAAUGCACCAAAUAAUCACAGAAAAAUAAAGAACACAAGAAUUUAAAGUGAUUCGACAAUUAUGCCUAUAUCUAUGGGAGUAAGGGAUAAUAAUUGUAUUACUAAUAAUUAUUUAAGUACAAUAUUUAAGUAAAGAAAUUUCUCUUCUUAAAACCUAAAUACACCCAGUACUCUCAUACAUGGUUAAAAAAAAAAAAUCUUUCAAUUGCUCACUCUCAGCAAUUCUUCACUUGAAUUAUUUAUAUCAAAUUUUAAGAUGAUGCCUUCAAACUUGCACUAUUACACCUAACCCUUUAAUUGCAUUUCAACAAUUUCGGCCACUAAUUUGAAAAACUCUUUAAUUUCAUCCAAAAAAGUCUUCAUAAUUUUGCAAAAGUCUUCAUGCCCUUUUUUAUUUUAACAUAUUAAUGGUAAUCCAUACGGAAGGGUAAAUUAGUCAUGAGACUUCACAACUGAACAAAAAAUAAUACAAGAGAAAUGAUUUUAACUCAUAAAGCGUGGUAGAUUGACUCCACAGAAUAUUCCGAAGAGAAAAACAAAAUAGUAAUAGACAAAAUUCAUUGUCAUCAACCACCAGAGAAUAGCAGGCAGCACGGUUGUGCUGGUUUGACUUUUCUCAUCUUCUAGCUAUACCCCUUUCCUCUACUCAAAUCUAAUUUUUUUCCUCAACAAAACAAAUUUUAGCACAUAAUUUUUUCUAAUAUAUCACUUUAUCACUAAAAUUUGUUGCCAAAUACUUUUCUUAACUUAAAAUUUUAAUUUCUUUCAUUUUACCAUCAAUCCAUAAAAAAUAGCAGGAUUUUUAAUAGAAAUUAGGGAAAAAGACAUUAAUACUCUCACGAUUUGAGGAAAUGGUCAAUAAAACUCCAAAUUUUUAAAAAGAGAUACUAAGACCCCCAUUUAACCAUUAUACACUAUAUCUUAUUAUCCAAAAAAUUAACUUUAAUUUAUUAUUUAUCUGCUGUACGGCCAAGGCGGAUGUACGGUACAGCAGAUAAUAAAAUAUAUCUAUUAGAUUGUAAAAUAUUAAAAUAUUCAUAAAUAUUGAAAUUAUUUUAAAAUAUUUAUAUUAUCACAUUUAGUUUAAUGUUAUUAUAAUACAUUAGAGUUCAUUUUUUCGCGAUAAUAAAGAUAAAAGAUAUUAUAGUUAAAAGAGAAUUUUGGUGCCCUCUUUUCAAGACUUGGGGAUGUAAUGACCAUUUUUUCUAAAUUUUAAGAGUGUACAUAUCAUUUUCCCUAAAAGUUACAGUAAAAGUUUAUUUUCCCUAAAAUGUGCAAGUACAAUUUGACCGCUGAAUUUAAAAAGUAAAAUAUUAAUCAAAUACAAAAAAAUAUCACUUUUAUAAAUUGAUUAUUUUAAAUAUAAAUAUUAUAAUACUUUUGACUCAAGGAUUCCACAUUAGCCCCAAGACGUUGGUCUCUAACCAGAAAAGUAAAUGUUUGAGCUUGAGAAGCUUAUGGUCCAAUGGGACCAUAAAACUCACUAGGAUAAGUGGUAUUAUUAAACCAGACAAAACAACAAACAAUGAAACCAAAAACAGAUAAAGCACCUAAAUUAUAAGACAAGUUAGCCUCCCUAGACCCUACAAGUGCAUGGUGAGCCCAUGCAAAAAGCUUGGUUAAAAUAUGCGAGAUUCCAACAAAUAUACAAAUGAAACCUAACCAUACCUGACCUCCAAAAAUAUCUUCCAAAUCAUCCACACUAACAAUCCACCAUUCUCCUCCAAAAAGAGAAUUUUCGCAAAUAACUAAAAAUAACACAGGGCUAAGGGUCAAGUUGGAAGUUGGUAAUUUUUCUUCCAUCCCCCCCCCCCCCCCCCCCUCUCCAAGUGAGGUAGCACAUGAAUUAUGCUUGCCCCCAAAAUAAAGAACCUUGAAUGCUUGAACAAAUUUCUUAAAAUAUUCUUAUGACAUCAAUAAUUUCUUAAUGCGUUAAUGAUUUAGUUGUAAAAUAAUAAAAACUAAAACAUUAGAUAUCAAAAAAUAAUUAUUAAAAAAAUUGGGUUCAUAAUAAUUUAGAAAAAAAUUAAGUAAUAAAAUGAUAACGUCCAACAAAAAAAAAAAACUUAUAAUUUAAUAUCAAGCCUAUUUUCACGCAACUUUUAUUUUAAGGUUUUGAAUCCCAACCUUUUGCUAGGACUUGCCUUCUCAUUCCACAUUAUUACAGAGUAAAUGUGUCUUCCACAAAUAUAAAAACAAUAAAUACAAUUUAAUAUCGGGGACACUGGACGUUUACAUAAAGGGAAAAAAGAGAGAGACAACUAAAAAGAGAGAACGAAUACACUGAUUUAUUAACAUACUUGAACCAAAAUUUCUUUUUUUCUCCAAAAUUCUUAAUAUUUCCGAACUUUUCAUGGGAUUCUUGCUCUUUUUCUUGGGUCAAUAACUUUCCGCUCACCAAACACGAAAGAAUCAAGAAAAACAGGAUGCGAUGGUAAGGACAUUGGACAAAAUCCAUUGUAGUUUAUUUAGAAGGGAAAAUGACAAAAGCAUCUUCAAGGAAGAGAUACCCAACCCAAUACAAAUAGUCACAUCAUACGAACACAAGUAAGCCAAACAACAUCAAACCCCUUAGAUUAGCCAAAGAAAACUUCGUAGAAAUAAAUUUGCAGAAAAUAAUGUGAUAAAAAGGUUUGGCUGAAAAAUAAUAACCGCUAAUUAAAAUAAUUAUAUGAACUAUCCAAAUAAUUUUAUCCAAUAUCCAAUCAAUUUCUAUACGUGAUAACAUUUUAGAUAACCAUUAUCAACGUUGUGAACUUUGUGAUUACGAUACCCCAAGAUAACAACAGUAGGCGAAAAAAUUAAUUUUCCUUUAUUGCAGCUUAUUUUACAAGGGAAAUACAAAAAAUCGAAAUACAAACACACAAUAGGAAAACAACUAAAUUACCCUUAAUCCAUAUAAAGAUAAUAAAAUAUUUUAUAAAAAUAAUAAAAUAUUUUAAUAGACUUAUGUGUACAAAUUUUAAAAACUAAUAUUUCCUUAUAAUUUUCAAAAAAAAAUGAGGAACCGCAACGUUAAUAAUCAAGUGAUUAAAUUCUUACUGUUAGAAUAAUUUUUACAACUCUUAGUUGAAUCUAAUGAUUAAAUCACAAAAAGACAAAAAAUAAACAUCAAAUCACAACCACUCGGGCAGUAGCCCGAGUGGCCAGGGCUGCUGCCCUCCAACUUGGAGGGCAACAGUUCGAACCCCUAUAAAAAUAUUGUGGGGGUAUUUCCUUCUUCAAUUAAUUUGAGUGAAGGUAGUCUUAUUCCUUACCUAUGAGUGAGGAGUAGACAUCCCUCGAAUAUUUGUGAGGGUUAAAAUUUUGGCAGAGCUCCAUUAGCAUUGAUGUCAGUUGGUCCCAAUAAUAGUCUGAUUUAUAAAUAUCAGUAAUAAUCUCAUGUAUAUAAAUUAUAAUCUGAGCAAUAAUCUCAUCUAAUAAAAAAUAAAUAAACAUCAAAUCACGGUUGCAUAAUAACUGAACCCUAUCAACGUUGUAAACUUCGGCCAUGUUUGGCAGGCCGCAUUAUGCUGUAUCAGGGCUCUGCAUUGCAUUAAAUUAUCACAAUACGGAGCUGGCUAAGUUACAGAUUCUGUAACUUACACAGAUCCAACUGUAGCCAACUCCUAUUGCCUGCAUUUGCACAAUGUUUCUCUCUCCUCAGAACACGUGUGCUGUUUCCCUUUGGGUGUGUACGUUACAGAUUCUGUAACGUAGAUUGGUCCAUCACAAUACAAUAUUUGGCACUUCUUCGUUAUUGCAUUAAGAAAAAAAAAUUAAUGCAGGAAACCCGCAUAACGGAAACCCGAGUGAGACUCGGGUUUUUACCGUAUUAGCUUCUUCUUCUUCAUCUUCUCUAUUUCUCUCUCUUUCUUUUUCUUUUAUUUUUUAUUUUCCUUUUCCCCUCUUAUUCUUCAUCUUCUCUGUUUUUCUCUCUUUUUUCUUUUAUUUUUUUCCUUUUGCCCUCUUCUACUUCGUUUUCUCUGAUUCUCACUCUCUCUUUUUUCUUUUAUUUUUUCCCUUUUCCCCUCUUAUUCUUCGUCUUAUCUGUUUCUCUCUCUCAUUUUUCUUUUAUUUUUAUUUUUUCCUUUUCCCCUCUUCUUUUUCGUCUUCUCUGUUCCUUCUUUUUCUGAGGUUCUUGUUUGUCAUCUUCUCCAUUUCUUUCACCAUCUUCAUAUAACCACUAAUAGGCGCAGCCGCUGCCUCCCUUAGUUGCUUUAUAUGUUUGAUUCAGGGGGUUUGAUUUUUCAGAUUGGUUGAAGACGACAAUGAUGGAUGAAAUUUGUUUGAGAUGAGAUUGAAUGCCUUCACAAAAUUUUUAUUUUAUUAUGCUACACGAACCAUUAUUGAUAAUUAUUUUUUUUAAGAAUUUUGUUUAUAAAAAAACAAUUGUUCAGAAUUUUGUUUAUAAAAAGACAAUGGUUGUACAACCCGUGUUGAUAACUAAAUUUGAGUUUACAAAUUUGUUUAAAAAAAGACAAUUGUUGUCAUCAUUUAUCAAUAAAAUUUAACAUUUAUACUAAAAAAAAUUGUUAAAAUUUUUAAAAUUUAAGACCUCUAUUUUUUUAAUUUUUUAAGUACUAAUAAUUACUAUUUUUUAAAUAUAUAAUUUAAAUUAAUCACAAAAAUUAAUACAAUAUAAUAUAAUUAAAAAUUAAUAUAAUACAAUAUAACACCAAAUACUAUACAAUAUUAUUAUAAUACAACAUAAUAUAAUACACAUAUAUUAAAAUAAUACAAUAAAAAUAUACAAUUCAAUAUACUAAACACACUCUUCGUGAUUACCAUACACUAAGAUAACAACAGUAGGGGACAAAAUUAAUUGUCCUUUAUUGGAUUAUUGGAGCUUAUUUUUACUAGGGAAAUACAACAAUCCGAAUACAAAAACACAAUAGGAAAACAACCAUCACAAGCCAAACCAACAUCAACCACCUAAAGAAUAAGCAGGCAGCACGAUUGCGCUGCUUGACUUAUUCUCAGCUCCAAGGUAUGUCCCUUUUUCUCUCUACUCCAAUCCUAAAUUUGUCCUCAUCGCUGAAACAAAUUCAAACACUUUCUUCCCAUCAGGAAGUGCCUUGGCAACAGUCUCCCUCUGCAAGCAUCUCUUCACCCAAGCUAUGAACUUGGGGCACUCAGCCUCGACGUUGAACUUUCCACAUGUCUCAUACGUGUAAAACCAACAAUAGAAUGGGAUCAAACUUAAAUCCACAUACCCAAAAUUGUCUCCUCCGAAGAAAGGCUUGUCUCCAAGCUGCCCUUCCAAAGUCUUCAGAACUUCAAAGAACUCCUUCUUAGCUGCCUCCUGCUCUUCUCCCUUUGUGGUCCAUGUCUUCCUCAAAGAAUCGUACAUCUGCAAUUUACUUUCAAUAUUGUAUCAGAAAAUCUGUCCGAAAAUGGAUAAAAUUUAACACAUUCAGGUUCAGUAUCCAUUUCAAGACAACAAAAUCAGCAACAGGUAGGUUACAGUCUUACACUUAGCUGCAAAACUAUGUAGAGGCCAAGAAACAUCCAGAAAAAUAAAGGACUGAAUUGAAAUUUUACUAACUUCUACGCAUAUCUUAAGAUUUUCAAGACUAGAUUUUACCAUCUCAAAAAUAUAGAACCCACAGACAUCCAGCUAUUCCUUAAAAAAAAAAAAAAAAAAAAAAUUUUUGUAAACUCACACCCUCUAAAGCUAAAACCAAGAGCUAAACAUUAAGAAGGCCACUACUUACUACCCUUACUACUGAAACUAGACUUUUAACUGCAAAUAUUCAGCCUACUCUAGUUUAUAGUAUUCUCACUAUGAUCCUCAUCGUUGGCCUCUCAGAUUUACUGACUUUUUGCUACAACCUACUAAAGUUUAUAAUAUCUGCAUCAUAGUCCUGUAACAACCAAAAUCUUCAACUCUGUAGGGGACAUCUUUUCCCCCUCCGUUCAAUGCAACCCCUGUUUAUUUGUAGUCAAACAACAAAUCCAUGACAUCUACUCGACAAUGAAAUAUUUUAAUAACAAAAUUUCGGCUUCUAUUUUAAUAAAAUUACAAUUAAAUCUAAAAUUGAAAAAAUACCCAUAAACAUACUUCAGAAAAUCAACAACAAAGUUACCUUCUUGUCAAUGAAAUCUACCCAGAACCUAGCUUGAGCUCUCUGGUAGGGAUCAGAGGGAAGCAAUGGAGCCUUGUCCUUCCACACUUCAUCAAUGUACUGAACAAUGAUGGGUGACUCACAGAACGGUCUGCCGUUGUGGAUGAGAACCGGGAUCUUCUUGUGAACGGGGUUCAUCUGCAGAAGCAGGGGGCUCUUGUUCUUCAAGUCCUCUUCCUUGUACUCAUACUUGACGCCUUUCUCCGCCAGAGCAAUCCUGACCCUUAUCCCAAACAUGCUGGGCCAGAAAUCCAACAGAACCACUUCGUUCGCCAUUGUGACAGAAGCUUACUAAGAGUCAAGAGUGAAUAAAUGAAAAGACAAGACAAACACGCCGAAAGUAAAGUUACGAGAGUGAGAAUUUAUAUCGAAAUGUUGGCACUAAGUGGGUUUGGACUUAUCAAAUGUUUAAGAUGACGUCUCCUAAAAAGACAAAAAAAUGUUGGAGAUGACCGUACGUGGCUAAUGUGUGGUGUCUUUUCUUCGCCAGAAAUAUCUGAUAUUCUCCUGGCCUCUUCGGGUUCAAAAUAAUAAAUAAUAAAUAAAGUGAAGGUGUAAAACAUUCUAGGCUCUUCCAUCUCCAGGAUAGGUCAUAGCUUCCGUCACAAUCACGUCCUAAUUUUGUUUUGUAUAAAAAGAUACUCAUCCCAAAUUUUAUUGUAAUUGAUAUGAUAUUUAUUAGAAUUUUGCUACCUUACAUGUGAUAUAAAGUAUAGUCUCUCAUAAGACUGUAGGCUCAAAUAGAAUUCAUAAUUUAAUUUGUGAGAGGUUGUACCUUACAUUACAUGUAAGAUAGUAGCUCCCUAUUCAUUAAAUAUUGAUAAUUUUUUAUAAUGAUCAUAUUAUUUUAUUAAUUAAUUGUUGAAUGUCUUAUUAAUUGAGAUAGUUUUUGUGACAAAAAUUUAAGUUUUGUAGUAUUAUUCAUUUUUUUUCACAAUAUUUUUUUUAAUGAGGAGGGUAACAGCCAUCACUUAAUAAAAAUUUCAUUUAACAAAAUUUAGAUGGCAAUUUAAGAGCUAAUUUGAUAAUACUGUAGUUUUAUUAAUAUUUAUUAUUAAUUGUAUUAUAGAAAUAAUCAAUUAAAAAUAGAAUCAACUAAGUAGUUAGUAAAAUUCAUUUUUAAAAGUGUUGUAAAUUUUAGUUAGUAAAAUUUAUUUUUAAAAAUGCUGUAAAUUUUAAAAUCAGUCGUAUACGUUUUAUAAAUUUUAUUGUUGAAUUAUUAUAAGAAUAAAUAUAAUUAAAAUAAAAAUAAUAUUAAUAAAAUUUAUUUGUACAUUUAAGAAUAUGUAUAUAUGUGUUGGUGGUAAAAUGUAGACUAGAGUUAUUGAGGGCAUGACAUAUGGGGAGUAUGACUCAGGACCCGAUAAACGAUGUUGAAAAGGUGAGAUGAAAUAGGAAAAUCUUGAAGAACUAGCCUCAACCAUCCAAAUUGUCUAAGAGUAAUAGAAAAAUGCAUUCUACAAGACCACAAGACAGUGACAGACAUGCCACGGUGCCCAUCUGGAUUGUCUCUAGAAUAUCUCCUUACAAGUUGCCAAAGUCAGAAUUAAGAAAGAGGAACGACACACAAAACCACUUGCACCAUCUCAAGUGAAGUUAGGUGCUUCUCAGGCCAAUUGGUUAAUUCAAAAUGGGCCAAUUAGGGUUGGGACAUGCUGUCAGCACAGACUGUCACCCAAUGGACAACUAUCUAAUCCAAGCAAGCUUAAAAGCCUAUAUAAGAGGGACCAAAUUACCUUUAAGACCCUACCUAAGGAGGAAAAUCACUAAUAACGGCUCACCACAUGUCCAAAAGAACAUAAAGAUGCUCUCAUGGGCACUUUACUUUAAAAAGUCAGGUAGGUUUCUCAAAGGGAGUAAGUUCACUCACUUACAAAACACUAAAUAUUUAUUAUUAUAGGGUUUCUCUAAAAACUCAUAACCUCCUUCAACCUCCUCCUAACUUGACCAUCAAAGUGUCGUCGCCAACAACCACCGGCACCGCCUCUAACAACUGGUUUCUUUGUUUUCAUGUUCGUCUCAGCGUUACUGUCCCCAAACAAUUGUUUCCAGACAGCCUAAUCUUUAUCUUUACCAAAAAACCAAUUUCUACAGAGAAGCUCUCAUAGUAUUUUGGGCUAAACCAAAAUCAAACCAAAACAUUUUGGAAUUGUCUGCAUGGGAUCGAACAAAAGGUUGUUAUUCCAUCCUUUAUUGACAAAUAGAGCUCCUCAUCUUCUAGGAAAUUCUCAAAAAGGUCAAAGAAUUGAAGAAAAGCGUCAUAGGAGUAGAAAGCGAGGAGAUUCUCAGAGAAGAGAACCCAAUGGUUAAUGGCUUAACAAGAAAUGUGUCCAAAUGAGAGGUCAUCUUCCCCAAUAUUGUCGUUGUGGAAAGAGUACUCAAACACUGCAUCUUCGGGGAUCAUCUCCUUGAGGUGAACUUUGUGGUCAUUGAGGGAUCUUAGAUGGACUCCAUAGUCAAUUAGUUGCAGAAAGGGGUUGUCCCCAAGGAUAAAAACAAGGCUUGAGGACUCAAAAUCUCUCAAGGGAUUGUCAUUGGCAAUGGGACUCAAUUUAAUAAUUAGAGUUUUCGAGAUUUUUGCACUAAUCUAAGGAUCGCCAAUUGAUUCGUCUUUCCAGCCCAUUGCCAAUCAAAUGGGCAAGUAGGGUCGCCAAUAAGGCCGUCAAGCACUUAUAAAGAAGAAACUAGACAAUUAGAACGUUCAUCCUUAUGCCUUCAUUGAAGAAGAUCUAAUGCUCUGCCGGGACACCUAGAACACCAAGGAUAUUAGGGAAGACAAUCUCAGUGCGAACUAUGAGGGACCCAGUAUGGUCAAAUGAGUGCUUAAAUCUAGCGCAUACAUGUUGCUGCACCUCGAUGGAAGAAGAGUCAAACACCCCUAGAACAUUGCCACGCUCCGAAAUUGUUAUCAGUAACCUAGGGGAUUAUCUUCACAGCCAAUCUCCGAAAAGGGGCUGGUAUAUCUAUUUACUCUUGCAGUUUUACUUUGCUUUUAUUUCUUAUUUUAUACUAUGAUGACAAUCCAAGAGGGAGCCUUUUAUGACUGAGGGAUCCCAUUCAAUUGGAGAACUACUAAUUUUGUAACCAUUCAGAUGAGGUGCAUGCAUCGCCUCUUUAUUAACAAAAAGUAUUAUUCAAUAGAUAUAUAUGUGUCAAACUACUAAUUUUAUCUUGUAACACAGCUAUGACACUAAAAAAAGGUAUUUUCUAUAAACCCUCGAGAUCUUUAUAAAUUGAAAAAAUAGGUAUCACACAUGGAAAGGUAAAUCCCCGUAUCACAGAGGCAUAUUCUAAAAUACUAUCUAAGCAACCCAAAAGGGGGGUUGAAUUGAUAUUUUAAAACUUAAGCUAAACAAAACACAUAACAAUUCAAUCUAUUUCCUUAAUGAAAUAAAAAUAAAUAAAUUUAAUAAAGCAUAAUAAUAAAAGAUAAAGGAAGAGAGAACAAAGACAACGAUCUUUACGUGGUUCGGUAAUCCCCGCCUACGUCCACGCUUCCAAGCUCGCAAGACUUGAGGAUUUCACUAAGCAAGCUUCUAAGGCUUCAAAUGCUUACAAUUGACUUCCAAGGUAUCAUUGGAUCUUCACAACAAGAGAUUAUCCCCAAUCUCUUAACCCAAAUGUAUCCCAACACUUACAAUCUCUUAACUUGAUUUACAAAAAAGAUUACAAAUGAAUUUCUCUCACACAAUGUGUUUGAUCACAAAUGAAAGCUCAAUGUGUGAAUGAAUGAGAUGAAUAUAAGAAUUUGAAAGUUGUAUGCUCAGUAUUUUGCUCAAUGAUAAUUGUUGGAAUUGUUGAAGUUUGAAUUUGAUUGAGUUUAUUUAUAGUUGGAGCUAAAAACUAGUUGUUAUUGACUUUCUGCUCACUGUCGGAUCGCCGUUAACUAGAUGUCGGCUCGCCGUUAGUGUUUAGAGGGUAAGCUUCAAUUCUGUUCGAUGUCGGCUAGCCGUUAUCAAGAUGUCGGUUAGCCAUUUGUACAGUGAACUAUUUUCUAAAAUUUAUAGUUUGGCCCUAAAAUUUUAUAAAAUUAUAUUGUGGCCCAAAACUAUAUGAAACGUUUCACAUAAGACCUUCUCUAGAAUUCCAAGCAAUACUUAUUGAUUUCAAAGUUCUCAAAACUCUUUUAAUUAGACCAUGAACUUGAAAAACAAUCAAUUUCGUAAAAUCAUUUUUCCAUUAAAUAUAAAACUUUUAUAAUAUGAAAAUAAUGAUUUAUUUAAAAUGUAUAAAAAAAUAUUUUGAACUCUUAAAAACUUAAUAAUUCUUAAUUUUGUUUGUUAUCAUCAAAAUUAACAUUAUGGACACAUAAAUGUUAACAAUCUCCCCAUUUUCUUAUGAUGACAAACAUUUCAUGUAUUUAAAGAAUGAUUCCAUAAAUUACUCCCCCUAAAUGUAAGUUUCUCUUACAAUUUAACAAAUCUUUCAUGUAUUUAAAGAAUGAUUCCACAAAUUACUCCCCCUAAAUGUAAGUUUCUCUUACAAUUUAGCUAAAUUAAAAAAUUUUAAUACAUGUAUUUUCUUCCCCUUCAUCAUAAAAAAGAAAACUUAGUGGAAAAGAAAAAAGAGUAGCAAAUUUGUUACCCAUGUUGUCCGAGUAGAAAUUUCGAUAGAAUCUCCUCCUAACAACAAGCAUUACCUCAAAUACAAGUUUAAUAAUAUUACUCCCAAAUUAUUAUAAAUCAUGAUACAAGCCAAUUCCAUAUACAAAUCAUCACACAAUCCAUCAACCAUAAAAUGAUUAUGAACCAUUAGUCCAUCAAUUACCAAAUCAACAACUCAUAACAUAAAAUUAUCAUAUAAAAUAACCAUGUAAUCAAAUCAUCAUCAUAUCCCAAAAUCAUCAAAAUCAUCACAAUAAUCACAUAUCAAUCAUCAAAACAAUACUCAAAGUGCAUAUUAUUCUCCUCCUUUUCACAACAUCGAAAUGAUAUAUUACUUUGUCUCCCCUUUUGGACAACAAAAAAGUUCAAAACGCAUAUUAUCUAAAAUCAUAUUGUAUGCUCCCCCUAAAUAUAUGGUCAAUUUAAAAUUUUAACCAAAAUGAUUUUAUCCAAAAACUUAUCAUAUUUAUCUCCUCCUUCAUCGUAAAAAAGAAAAGAUAGAUAGAUGCAAUUUGAUUAACACUAAAAAGUAUACGUGUAAUAAAGAUAACAUUAUUAGUUUUACACUUAUUGUGUCGAUUAAUACGCUCAUUAUUUAUAAAUUAUCUUAAUACUCUCCAAAUCUAUUUUUAUGUUAAAUUAAUUCGCAAUAUGUUAAUUUUUAUCUUAUAAAUAUUUUUCAGGAAUAAAGAUGAAAUUGGAAUUGAAAGCGGGAACAAAGAAGAACUAUUGGAGCACAAUUGAGGAGAUAUAAUAAAAAAAAUUAAAAAGAGCAAAAGGCAACCAUGCUUUGGUUGCCUGUGAUGGUCAUGAGGCUAUCACACCUCCUGGCCAUCACACUUCACAACAUUCAUUUAAUUUAUAAAAAAAUAAAAUAAUAAUAAAUUAAAUAAGAAUAAAAAGAAUGAAGAGGUGGCGAUUGUUGCCUAUAAAAGCCGACGAAGCGAGGAAGGGAGGAAAGAGCCGAUUUCUGAGAGAGAAUAGCCAAGGGUGUAGUUGAAGAAUUUCUUUCUUUCUUUGUUUCUUUUCUUGUUUCCAUCUGUAUCAAUUUUCUUUGUAACAUAUUUUCAAAAGUUUAUCAAAUAAAAAGAGUGUUGUGUUUUCUUUCAAUAUGAGUGGAUAAUUUUAUUAAGCUGAGGUGAAUUGUGAAGCUCAAUGUUUCAAAUUAUUAAAUUUAUUAUUUUCUCAAAUGAGUUUUUAAGUUUAUUUUAUUUUUUUCUAGUUAUUUUUAUAUCAUGUUAAUUUAUAAAUCUCACUGGAUUUUAUGGUAUUUUGACAUAAUGUCGACACAUUAAUUGUGGCACAUUAGGUACUGUAUUUCAUAUUUAUUCACGUCUUUUAAUCUUAGUAAAUAUUUAACAUUUCAUUUGGUAUCAUAACAUUAAGUGCAUUAACAUGAAGUGGAUAAGUUUAUCUUGCCUAUUUAUUAUGUUGAGUGGAUCAUGAUAAAUGGAUAAUAACUUGAAUUUGUGAAAGUAUACUUGUAUGUUUACAUGAUUGAAUUAUCAUUGUGUUUAACAUUGAGUCUGCUGUACCGUACAUCCGCCUUGGCCGUACAGCAGUUUUAUAUCAAUGUCAAAUAAUUUCUUUGCCCCGCAAUUAAUUUUCUUUGUUUUAAAUUGACCACUAGAUUUUAAAUUCUCUGUGGUUCGACCCUGGACUCAUCGAGUUAUAUUAUAACUAGACACUCUUAUACUUGGGAGUAAUAACACUUUUGAGUCGUGUCAAGUUUUUGGUGCCGUUGUCGGGGAGUUUUCUAAAUUUGGUGUUAGUUUGUCUUUACUUUAUUUACUUUAUUUUAUUUUUGUCGUUACUAUCUUUUGGUGAUUCUAUUUUAUUCUUUUUGUGUAAAACUUCAGUUAGCACCCCUCCUCUUUUCAAACUUUAAUAUUUUCCGUAAAAUUUGUGGGAAACUUCAUCUUAGCCCAGAAACCUUUGCAAAUCAGUCCCCAAAUCGAAUUUAUUUCUUUAAAUUUAAGCAAUUUACUUUCUGCAUUUAUUUUAAAUGGUCGGUUUUACCGCCUGACUAUUAUUUAAAUUUUGUUAAUUUAUGUAUUUUUGUUUAUAUGGUCGGUUCUACCGCCUAGCAUUUUAAUUUCAGUUUAUUGAUUCUUGUACAUUAAUUUAUUUAAUUUUAUGUUUUAUAAUAUGCCUGGUUUUAAAAUACCGCUUAAACUGUUUCUUUUAAUUUCUUUGUUUAUGGCUUGUUUCACCGCCUAAUUUAUUUAUUUAUUUAAUUUCAGUUUGUUUAUUUUUAUUUUUCAUUUUUAUUUUGCUUAUUUAAUUUCCAGUUUAUUUUUAUUUCUGUAAUUUUCAUUUAGCGUUUUAUGCAUCAUUGGUUUAGCACACAUCAUUAGCAUUGCAUGUGUCGUUGGUCUCGUACAAAUAGUGGCAGAUUAAUUAGAAGAUCACCUUCACCACCCUUAGAUAUGGCUAACACAGGAGCUGAAAAUUUUUCGGAGUACGAAAAUGACCAAGCCUUGCAAAAUCUUCAUGAACAGUCUAGGACUCUUAGAGACUUCAUGCAUCCUACUAGAACAGAGUCACCAUCAUGCAUAGUUUUCCCUCCUGAUGCAUCGCGUUUUAAUUUCAAACCUGGUAUCAUUCAACUUCUUCCUACUUUUCAUGGUUUUGAGUCUGAAAAUCCAUAUUUGCAUUUAAGGGAAUUUGAGGAAGUCUGUAACACAUGUACUGAUCAAAAUUGUAGCAUGAAUAUAAUUGGGCUUAAGUUUUUUCCUUUCUCACUAAAGGAUAAAGAUAAAACUUGGCUAUAAAAUCUUAGGUCAGGAUCCAUCAGAACUUGGGAUAAAACUUUAGUACCACAUCUAGACCACUUUGUAACCUCCUAAUAAAAGACACACCUUUUGAAUGGACUAAAGAUUGUCAACAAGCUUUUGAAAAAAUAACUACUCUUUUGACAUCAGCCCCAAUAAUGACACCCCCUGAUUGGUCUUCACCUUUUGAGCUAAUGUGUGAUGCUAGUGAUUAUGUCGUUGGCGUUGUUCUGGGUCAAAGAAAGGAAAGUAAGCCCUUUGCCAUCUAUUAUGCAAGUAGAACUUUGAAUAGUGCUCAAAUGAAUUAUACUACAACUGAGAAAGAAUUACUUGCUGUAAUAUUUGCAUUGGAUAAAUUUUGUUCGUAUUUAAUUGGUUCAUCUACUGUUGUUAAUUCUGAUCAUGCUGCUGUGAGAUAUUUAAUGUCAAAACAGGAUGCCAAACUAAGGUUGAUACGAUGGAUUUUCCUACUUCAAGAAUUUAAUUUGACAAUCAAUGACAAAAAUGGCGCUGAAAAUAUUGUUGCAGAUCAUCUUUCAAGACUUACAAAUGAGUCUUCAAUUGAAACAAUAUCCAUCAAUGAUUCUUUCCCUGAUGAAUUUUUGUUUUCUAUAAAUAAAAUGCCCUGGUAUGCUAAUAUUGUUAAUUAUCUUGCGACAGGUGAAAUGCCAUGUGACUGGAGUUCCCAAGACAACAUGAAAUUCUUAAUAGAAGUGAAAUGCUUUUACUGGGAUGAUCCAUACUUGUUCAAAUACUACUCUGAUCAAAUUUUUUGAAGAUGCAUACCAGACGACGAGGUAAGUAGGAUCAUUCAAUUUUGUCAUUCUGAAGUGUGCGGUGGCCAUUUUUCUUCAAAAAAGACAGCUGCAAAAAUGUUGCAGUGUGGAUUUUAUUGGCCUACAUUAUUUAAAGAUUCACAUGCAUUCUGUAAAAUGUGUAAGAAUUGUCAAAUGAUAUGGUCUAUUUCAAAGCAAAACAUGAUGCCUUUAAACCUUAUCCUUGUCAUUGAAAUAUUUGAUUGUUGGGGAAUUGAUUUUAUGGGCCCUUUUCCAUCAUCAUUUGGAUGUGUAUACAUUUUGGCUGCUGUUGAUUAUGUUUCAAAAUGGAUCGAGGCGAUUUCUUAUCGGCACAAUGAUCACAAGAUUGUGAUCCGCUUUUUAAAAGAAAAUAUUUUGAGCAGAUUUGGAAUACCUCGAGCCAUUAUCAGUGAUGGAGGUAAGCAUUUUUGUAAUAAGUCAUUUGAGUCCUUAAUAAAGAAAUAUGGAAUUACACAUAAGGUUGCUACCCCUUAUCACCCUCAAACAAGUGGUCAAGUUGAAUUAGCAAAUUGGGAGAUAAAAUAAAUUUUAGAAAAGACAGUGAAUCCAAACCGUAAAGAUUGGUCUCUUCGACUAACUGAUGCACUUUGGGCAUAUCGUACUGCUUUUAAAACAUCUUUAGGAAUGUCACCCUAUCGGCUUGUUUAUGGAAAAUCUUGCCACUUACCAGUAGAACUUGAACAUAAAUCAUUUUGGGCCAUUAAAGUUUUUAAUUCAAAUCUUGAUGAUGCUGGUAAUGUAUGUAAAUUGCAAUUAAAUAAACUUGAGGAAUUAAGGAAUGAUGCAUAUGAGAAUUCUAGAAUUAUUAAGGCAAGAACCAAAUUUUUUCAUGAUAAAAGAAUUUUUCGGAAAACAUUUGAAAUUGAUCAAAUAGUGUUGCUUUAUAAUUCUCGUCUUCAUUUAUUUCUAGGAAAAUUAAAGUCAAAGUGGAAUGGUCCAUUCGUUGUAAAAAAUAUGUAUCCAUAUGGAGCUAUAGAAACCGAGAAUCCAAAGAAUAAUGUCACAUUUAAAGUUAAUGGUCAAAAUUUGAAACCAUAUCUAGAAUACCAACCACGUGAAGCAGAUACCGAAAUCAAUUUGAGUGACCCACCAAAUUUUAAUUUUAACUUUUUAUGAAUUUGAUUUACUGUUACUCUAUCAUUUGAAUUGUUUGAUUUUUUUUUUCUUUUUCAUUUUCUCUCUGUCUUGAAUGGAGUGCAUUGUAUUGUUUUAAUUGUGUGUUGUUUGACAAUUGUGAUUUAGCUCACCAAUUUUUUAUACUUGUCAUGAGUGCCUCCAUGAGAAAUUUCCUUUUUGAUCAUCUUAAAGUGCUUUUACAUGUAAAAUUUCACCUGAGGAAAUUGCUCCGAUUUUGUAACUCACAUCCUAUUUGGAAUCUACAACCACCAUAGUUAGUAUCCCACGUGAAAGAUCAAGAAAGACAACUCAAGGAAAUAGAGGAUGGUAUUUAUAAUCUGCAAUUGGAACUGGAGGUAAAUUCAAUAAAAGGACGAAGGUGAGUUAUAUUCCUUGUGUGUUUUUGUUUUAUUUUGUUGUUCUUCUUUACUUUUGAUUUGAUUUUGCAGAUUUGAUUCGUUUUUGUUUUUAUUCACUCUCCCGUACAAAUGGCGGAUAAUGGUACUCCGUGACUUUUUAAGUCGGUAUUCUCAGUUUCCCACAAUAACUGAAACCUCAAUGUCAAGCAUGGACGAAAUACAACGAAAAUUGCAUCAACAUUUUCCUUCUCUCUCUCAAAAUGCUCUUAAGAAGAUUUACAAAGCUCGUUGUGAACGACUGCGUUUGUUAAUGAUCAAUGAGAUUCCUAUUAACAUUCGAUGGUUAAUUAAAGUAAAGGUCCGAUUGGCAGGUGAGUUUUCUGAUCCGUUCAUUUCCUACAUGCCUGGUUUUGGUAAAAGUACAUUUGCUAAGAAAAGAAGAGCUAAACGACUUGGCUCUGACUGUUCUCACUGUGUAAGACUUGCUUGCAAAAAGACAUGUUGUAAAACUUUAAGAAUGGUUUCUGUAAAUCGUAAAGAUAAAAUCAAAUUCGUUAAGGAUGACAUGAGUAAAGAAUCGUUGGAUGAUAUCUUACGAUCUCUUGAGACGCAUCCGAGCGAAUAUGUUCAACGUGAAAUUCAAAAUUUGUGGAAGUUGUUCCAAAUGGAAAGUGUAUAGUUUAGUCUUGGGAAUCUGACUCUAAAAGACCAUGUUUGCCAAUUUAUAAGAAAACUGGAUGGGAAGCCUAUCCUCGACCCAUAGAGGCGUUCAAGCCGUAACUGGAAGUAAAACCAAAGGAAGAUGUGAGCCACAAUCACAACUACCAGUAAAUAUCCUUUUAUUUUACUAUUCUUUUAUAUUUUGCAUUAUUAUUAUUAUUGUGUGUUUUUUUAUCUAAUCACUAUUUGUUUUUUCUUUUUAAUGUUUACCUUUGUAUUAUUAAGCUAAAAGUUUCACGCGUCAUUUGACAAACACACCACCCCAUUUACAAAUGUAUAUCAUUAUGUCCGUCACCAAGGUCCUUAAAUAAGAACUUCUUUUCAAGCACUCACAAAUUGUUUCUUUUUAGAAUUGUUCUAAUGGCAGCAACUUCAAGCAGUCAACUUAAAAAUAUUAGUGUACUUUCUGAAUUUUGCUAUGGAAAGUAUAAGGAGUUCGUUCAAGCAGCCAUAGAUCUUGGUCGUGCUAUAGUAGAGAGGAAACUACAUCUUGUAUAUGGAGGAGGUGGCUGGGAUUAUCAAAGCUUGUCUUUGAAGCUGCCUUCAUUCGAGGAAGCCAAGUGCUAGGCAUCAUUCCAAAAGCCUUAAAACCUUUACGAUGUCUACCAAACCCACCAACUGGAGAAGAGUUAGUUGUCUCAGGUAUGCAAGAAAGAAUAUCUGAAAUGUUAAAUCAUGCUGACGCUUUCAUUUUCUUGCUAGAAGAUCUUGCAACUUUAGAGGCGCUAAUUACAUUUGCUUCUUGGGCCCAUUUGAAUAUUCAUAAAAAAACACAUCGGUUUGUUAAAUGUUAAUAACUUUUAUGAUGGCGUAAUAACAUUUCUUAAUCAUGCAAUAAAAAAUUACUUCAUUCCAUCCUCAGCGAAAAAACUCUUCAUUUGUGCUCCUACUGCUAAUGAGUUACUUGAUCUUUUGCAAGCUUAUAAACCAGAGCCAGAUCCCGUGACUUUGGCGUUGGAUUGGGUAACUACGGACGAUGGCAGUAACUCUCAUAAAAAGUAUAAAUUAGAUUUAACUCUCUGUUUGUAAAUAUUUCGAGCAGUGGCUAUGUGAUAUCUUAUAAACUCUACUCUUUUCUUUAGACAUUGAGGACAAUGUCUCUUUCAAGUUGGGGGGAGGGAAUAGUUGGUAAUUAUGGAGUGUCUCAGUCCUAGUGAUGUUUUUACUAAUUUUUAUUGUAAAAACUAACUUUGAAUAAAAAUUUGAGUCGAAGAUGGCAGAAUAUAGAAUGUAGUGUCUCUAGAAAUGCAUCUUUCUUAAGUUUAGUGUUUUGUUUCCAAAAAAAAAAAAAUGUCUUCAAACGUUUUGUUUUCUGUCUUUUUUCUCUUUUUCUCUUAAUCAUCUCCCUUAAGUUUCUGCAAUCACUCCCAAUUUUUUUUAGUGUUUAUUUAACAAAAAAAAAGUUUUAUUUUUCAGUGUGAUCUUUUAACAUUGGAUAACAUGACGAUUUUUAAAUUUUGGUAUUUGUAUUAUCUUUGGUCUUGAGUUAUGUUACACUAUGUUUUCCCCUUUGCAUGUUGAAACGUAAAUUGAGAAAUUGGAUGAGUGAAAUUGGUUAAGCCAUUUAGAGGAAUGUACAUGUUAUGAAAAGAUCAAGCGAGUUUUUGAGUCUAUUAUCCUUGGAGAGUAACCUUAUUUGCCUAUACAGCUUCACAAUUUAUUGUACAAGAUCUCAAUAUUUCCUUUAAAAAAAGUUAAAAAAUAAAAUUUGUGCAGCCACAUCUAAAAGUCCAUUGAACUAGUGGAUAUGAAAAAUUAUAUAGAGCCCUAAAAGAUGACAGAAUGUCAUUUUUUAUCCGUUUGAGCCUUUCUAGCCAACCCUAUUAUAAAGAAUCCAUAGUUAACCUCUUUGAGCCUUUAAAAAAAAAAAAAAUUCUUUUGAUAACCUAUUAUCUUAUCCCACUCCAAUAUGGAGUAUCACCUUAUAUUUUAUGUUUCCCACCACCCAAUUAUGUUUGAAAAUAGGGAUGAUUAUUUAUUCCUAAUAAUAGUUUUAUUAAAAAAAAAGACGAUAUGUAUAUUAAAAAAAAAAGAGAAAACAAUUAAAAAAAAAUACCUUGUAAUCUCCAAAAAGUCCCAUAUUUUUCAAACAUCUAUGGACUAAAAGAUCUGGUGAUGCAUAAAAAUAAAAAUAAAUUUUGCUAAUAAUUCCCUAAGUUGAGAUCAUUUUAUUUCUAAGCUGUGCACCUUAUUCUUUCAUCUUAGUGAGAGCGUGUGAUAUUGUUUUAUUAUUCUCUCAAAUCUACCAUUUUUUUUAGAGUGAUAAUUUAAUUUGGGAUAUAUUUCUUUUGAGAGAGUUACUCUUAAUCGUGAUGUUUUGGGGUUUGAAGUAUCAUUCUUAAAAGUGGCUUGAUUAAUGUAGCUCUGAUAAUUGAUCAUUUUACAUUAUUUUACUUUACUGAUUUAUGUGAGUGUGAUUCUCUUUAGGCUGAAGAUAAUGCUUAUAUUUUUAUUUGAUUGUUGUCAUUGAUCCGAUGAAAGAAGUGAACACAAUUUUUUUUUAAAAAAUCAAUUUGGUUUUGAAAUUUCUCUAAAUUUUUAUCGCUUAAAUUGCUAGGGACUAGUAAUAAGUUAGUUGGGGGGUGUGAUUAACACUAAAAAGUGUACGUGUAAUAAAGAUAAAAUUAUUAGUUUUACACUUAUUAUGUCGAUUAAUGCGCUCAUUAUUUUUAAAUUAUCCUAAUACUCCCCAAAUAUAUUUUUAUGUUAAAUUAAUUCGCAAUAUGUUAAUUUUUAUCUUGUAAAUAAUUUUUAGAAAUAAAGAUGGAAUUGAAAUUGAAAGCGGAAACAUAAAAGAACUAUUGGAGCACAAUUAAGGAGAUGUAAUAAAAAAAUAAAAAAAUAAAAAAAAGAACAAAAUGACAAAAGAGCAAAAGGCAACCAUGCUUUGGUUGCUUAUGAUGGUCAGGAGGCCAUCACACUUCUCAACAUUCAUUUAAUUUAUAAAAAAAAUAUAAUAAUAAUAUAAUAAUAAAUUAAAUAAGAAUAAAAAGAAUGAAGAGGUGGUGAUUGUUGCCUAUAAAAGCCGACGAAGCGAGGAAGGGAGGAAAGAGCCGAUUUUUUAGAGAGAAUAGCCAAGGGUGUAGCUGAAGAAUUUCUUUCUUUCUUUGUUUCUUUUCUUGUUUCCGUCUGUAUCAAUUUUCUUUAUAACAUACUUUCAAAAGUUUAUCAAAUAAAAAGAGUGUUGUGUUUUCUUUCAAUAUGAGUGACUAAUUUUGUUAAGUUGAGGUGAAGGGUGAAGCUCAAUGUUUCAAACUAUUACAUUUAUUAUUUUCUUAAAUGAGUUUUUAAGUUUAUUUUAUUUUUUUCUAGUUAUUUUUAUAUCAUGUUAAUUUAUAAAUCUCACUGAAUUUUAUGGUAUUUUGACAUAAUGUCGACACAUUAAUCGUGGCACAUUAGGUACUUUAUUUCAUAUUUAUCCACACACAUAGUUAGUUGAGAAUUAAAUGAUAUAAUAAUUAACUGGUAAAAGUGAGUCUAAAAAUGAGAGGGUAUUAAAAUUACAGUUUGCAUUCUGAGAAUGGAUCCCGUAGCCUUAGCUCAUUUUUAAAUCAAUUUCAAAUAAUUUCUUUGCCCCGCAAUUAAUUUUCUUUGUUUUAAAUUGCCUACUAGAUUUUAAAUUCCUUGUGGCUCGACCCCGGACUCACCAGGUUAUAUUAUAACUAGACACUCUUAUACUUGGGAGUAAUAACACUUUUGAGUUAUGUCACAAUCGAAACAAGAUCAUAAAAAAUAUUUCGAUGAAGAUACUACCCAUUUUGUGCGAGCAAAAAUUUCAGCAGAAUCUCCUCUUAAAAAUAAACAAAUCCUCAAAUACACAAAAUGAUUAAAAACACUUCCAUAUAAGCUUAAACAAUUAUAAAAAAUUAACAACUCCAUCAAUUCAUCAAGCAACGCACAUAUAAUUAUCAAUCAUCAAAAUCAUCAAGAAAUCAAAUCAUCCUAAGUUCGUGCUGAAUUUUUUAAAAAUAUUCUUCGCAAAGAGGUUUUGAUUUGUUUACCAAAUUGGCAUGCAAAAGCUAUAAGAACAUAUUAUCAACUAUCCGAGCUCCAUAAUUACUAAUCACAUUUUAGAAAUCAAGACAACUAAACUCAUCAAAGAUCUAAUGGGACAUUUCAAUAUCAACCAUCCGAGCUCCAUAAUUACUAAUCACAUUUUAGAAAUCAAGACAACUAAACUCAUCAAAGAUCUAAUGGGACAUUUCAAUAUCAACCAUCCGAGCUCCAUAAUUACUAAUCACACUACAGUUUGCAUUCUGAGAAUGGAUCCCGUAGCCUUAGCUCAUUUUUAAAUCAAUUUCAAAUAAUUUCUUUGCCCCGCAAUUAAUUUUCUUUGUUUUAAAUUGCCUACUAGAUUUUAAAUUCCUUGUGGCUCGACCCCGGACUCACCAGGUUAUAUUAUAACUAGACACUCUUAUACUUGGGAGUAAUAACACUUUUGAGUUAUGUCACAAUCGAAACAAGAUCAUAAAAAAUAUUUCGAUGAAGAUACUACCCAUUUUGUGCGAGCAAAAAUUUCAGCAGAAUCUCCUCUUAAAAAUAAACAAAUCCUCAAAUACACAAAAUGAUUAAAAACACUUCCAUAUAAGCUUAAACAAUUAUAAAAAAUUAACAACUCCAUCAAUUCAUCAAGCAACGCACAUAUAAUUAUCAAUCAUCAAAAUCAUCAAGAAAUCAAAUCAUCCUAAGUUCGUGCUGAAUUUUUUAAAAAUAUUCUUCGCAAAGAGGUUUUGAUUUGUUUACCAAAUUGGCAUGCAAAAGCUAUAAGAACAUAUUAUCAACUAUCCGAGCUCCAUAAUUACUAAUCACAUUUUAGAAAUCAAGACAACUAAACUCAUCAAAGAUCUAAUGGGACAUUUCAAUAUCAACCAUCCGAGCUCCAUAAUUACUAAUCACACUUUAGAAAUCAAGACAACUAAACUCAUCAAAGAUCUAAUGGGACAUUUCAAUAUCAACCAUCCGAGCUCCAUAAUUACUAAUCACACUUUAGAAAUCAAGACAACUAAACUCAUCAAAGAUCUAAUGGGACAUUUCAAUAUCAACCAUCCGAGCUCCAUAAUUACUAAUCACACUUUAGAAAUCAAGACAACUAAACUCAUCAAAGAUCUAAUGGGACAUUUCAAUAUCAACCAUCCGAGCUCCAUAAUUACUAAUCACACUUUAGAAAUCAAGACAACUAAACUCAUCAAAGAUCUAAUGGGACAUUUCAAUAUCAACCAUCCGAGCUCCAUAAUUACUAAUCACACUUUAGAAAUCAAGACAACUAAACUCAUCAAAGAUCUAAUGUGACAUUUCAAUAUAACUUAAAAAAUCUUAUAUGCUGAAAAUUCUUGAAGUAUAUGUAUUUUUCCCCCUUUCGAUAUCAUUUAAAACAAGUUGCACAUUCAACAAUACAUCGAUAAAGUACAAAAAAUGCAUCUAUUCGCCAAUCAUAGAUUGCAUAAGAUCAAACUUCAUCAAAUACAAUGUAAUCAUCAAAGCACAUUCUUUAUCAUCAAAACUUAAGUAAAGCAUAAGUACAUAAUGACAAUAUAUAGAUCAUCAAAAUAAACAUAGCUAUUAAGAAAAGCCAUCAUUAUGAGUAAAGAACAAGUGAUCAAAUCCAUUAUUACAAAUGCUCACAUAGGCCAAUUUAAUGAAUGAUGAUAUAAUACAAUAAAUGACAUAUGAAUUCACACAUACAUAAGUGAUGAACAAAUAAGGAAGAUGAAUAAAUAACAUUAAACAUGAUGAUAGACAAUUUAAAAGAUGAAACCAAGGAUCAUACAAUCAUCAAAAUCAAACAAAGGCAUCAUGAUAAGUUGGCAAGCUACCAUCAUGUAUAUCUAUCCAUGCAUCAUAAUUACACAGAAUAAUAAUUCUGUUAUGCAAACGUAUGGGCAUGCUUUUGCAAAUUCAAGCUAUUAUCCAUCCAUCAUGAUCCAUUCAAUAAAAUCAAUAUGGUAAGAAUUAUUACCAAAACAAUUAAAUCAUCUUACUAAUCAUUUUCUCUUAGAUCAUGAUCUAAUGAUUAUUCUCACAAGCUUUCAUCAAGAAAUUCUCUAUCAUUUCUUGAUUAUGGUACCUACAAAAAAACAAAUAUUCAAGUUGUGCUUUUUGGUACCCAAAUACUCUUGGGUCCUUGAGUUUUAGAUUUGGUUCCUUUUGGAACCCAAAUACAUUUGACUCUAUAAUAUACAUUUCUCUUAACUGGACAUCUAAAACUUAUAUGACCAUUUUGAUUGCAAUAAUGACAUACAAUUUGAUCAUUAAUGGAGGUACUCUUCAUAAAAUAGUUCUUAUAAUACUUUUGUUUCAAAUUAGGCUUAUAGCCAAUACUUCCUUUGUCAAACACAUAUUUUUGUAAAUUAAGCAAGUUAUCUAACAUCUUUUGCCCAUUUGUAAAUUUUAAGACAAUCUCAUUUAACUCAUUGCUCUUCUUCUUAAGCACUUCAUUUUCUUUCAUUAAUUCAUCAACAUGUGAUUUCUCGUGCUCAUAUGAAGUACUUUAUUUAUAUUUAAAUGAUGCAAUCCUAACAUGUAACAUUUCAUUAUCUAAUCUAAUUCUUUGAUCUUUUCAUUUAAUGAAACAUUGCAUUUUUACAGGGCGUCUUUUUCAUUUUUCAAGUCAUCUACAUGUGAUUCUAGAUGCUUGUACGAAGUGCUAGGUUUCUCAUUUGAUAAUGCAACUCUAUCAUGCAAUGUUUUAUUUUCUAAUUCUAGGCAUGUAAUCUUUGCACUUAUAGAUUCAUUUUCAUUUGUGAGCUUUAUCAUUUUCUUUUUAAGACAUACAUUCUUUUUACCAAUUUCUAUCAAAUUAUCAUGCAAUUCCUUAAAAGCAUCAUAUAAUUCAUCAUAGGUAGGAUCACCUAUUUCAUCGAGUUCGUCAUCUCCUAUUACUAUAAGUGUUGGGUUUGACACUUCUUGCGAAUCUUCUUCAUCACUCGAUUCUUCAUCGAUAUCGUCCCAAGUAGCCACUAUGACUUUCUUAUUGAGUUUGUUGAGAAGUGGACACUCCGAUCUUAUAUGACCAUGCUUUUUUGCAUUCAAAACAAACAAUUGCCUCAUUCUUCCCUUUCUCCACCUUAAGGUUUUCUCUCAUGAGAUCUUUAAAGUUUCUUCUCUUGAUUUGCUUCUUAAAGAUCCUUCUAAACUUUCUAGCAAUCAUCUCAAUGACCUUCAUCUUCAAAGUCACUUCCAUCAUCAUCACUUUCAAUUAUAGAAGAUUUAAAAGCAAAGCUCUUCUUCUUUUUAUCUUCAUCAAUUCUUUCAUUAGCUAUAUCUUCUUCAUAUGAAAUAAGUGAACUAAUAAGAUCAUCAAGUGAUAAAGUAUUAAGAUUUUUUGCUUCUUCUAUGGUCGUUCUCUUUUGUUAUAGGCAUGCAUGGUCCAUCACAAAUAACUUCUCAAAUUUCGUAAUUUAAGGCUUACAAAUAAAUUCUUAUCCUAGGUUUCCAAUAUGGGUAGUAAUUACCAUCAAAGAACAGUAGUCUAGUUGUGGAUUGUCUUUCUCUAAAAGUUGAGUCAUUUUGGGUUGCCAUGAAUCUUUUACUCUAGACGGUUAAAUCUACACAAGAGCACCUUGCUCUGAUACCAAAUGAAGUACUAUUUAAGCAACCCAAGAGGGGGGUGAAUUGGAAUUUUAAAACUUAAGCUAAACAAAACACAUAACAAUUCAAUCUAUUCCCUUAAUGAAAUAAAAAUAAUAAUAAAUUUAAUAAAGCAUAAUAAUAAAAGAUAAUGGAAGAGAGAACAAACACAAUUAGUUUUACGUAGUUCGGCAAUCCUCGCCUACGUCCAUGCCUCCAAGCUCACCAAGCUUAAGGAUUUCACUUAGCAAGCCUCUAAGGUUUCAAAUGGUUACAAUUGACUUCCAAGGUAUCAAUGGACCUUCACAACAAGAGAUUAUCCCCAAUAUCUUAACCUAAGUGUAUCCCAACACUUACAAUCUCUUAACUUGAUUUUACAAAAAAGAUUAUAAAUGAAUUUCUCUCACACAAUGUGUUUGAUCAUAAAUGAAAGCUCAAUGUGUGAAUGAAUGAGAUGAAUAUAAGGAUUUGAAAGUUGUCUGCUCAAUAUUUUGCUCAAUGAUAAUUGUUGGAAUUGUUGAAGUUUGAAUUUGAUUGAGCUUAUUUAUAGUUGAAGCUAAAAACUAGCCGUUAUUGACUUUCUGCUCACUGUCGGAUCGCCAUUAACUAGAUGUCAUAUCGUCGUUUUAACUGGUCAAUAUAACCGUUGAGCUGAAUUUUCAAAUUGUUGGAUCACCGUUUUCAAGAUGUCGGAUCGUCGUUAGUGUCCAGAGGCUAAGCUUCAAUUCUGUUUGAUGUCGGCUAACCGUGAUCAAGAUAUCGGUUAGCCUUUUGCUACAGUGACUGCUAUAGUGAACUAUUUUCUAAAAUUUAUAGUUUAGCCCCAAAACUUUAUAAAAUUAUAUUAUGGCCCAAAACUAUUUGAAACGUUUCACAUAAGACCUUCUCUAGAAUUCCAAGCAAUACUUGUUGAUUUCAAAGUUCUCAAAACUCUUUUAAUUACACCAUAAACUUGAAAAAAAAUAAAUUUCAUAAAAUUAUUUUUUCAUUAAAUAUAAAACAUUUAUAAUGUGAAAACAAUAAUUUAUUUAAAAUGUAUAAAAAAUAAUUUGAGCUUUUAAAAACUUAAUCAUUCUUAAUUUUGUUUGCUAUCAUCAAAAUCAACAUUAUGGAUACAUAAAUGUUAACAUAUUCUUCAAUCUCUAUUGUCUCUAUUAUAAGGGCCCAUUAAUGAUGAGAUCAACCCUACAUGGCGGUGAAGGGACUCGGCAAUCUCUAUUAUAAGGGCUCAUGCAUUAUAGAAUCAACCUUACACAGCAAUGAAGGGACCUGGCAAUAUCUAUUAUAAGAGCCUAUGCAUGACCUAACCCAGCAUAGCAGUGAAGAAACCCGACAAUCUCUAUUAUAAGGCCCAUUCAUGAUUUGAUCGACUCCACAUGGCGUCCAAAGUACCCUAUAAUCUCUACAUUACGGGGCUACACAUUAUGAGAGCAACCCCACAUGGCAUUCAAGGGACUCCACGAUCUCCGAUAUCUUCAUGGUAAAGACCCACGCUUAAUGAGGAUAGCCCAUUGGCCAUGAAGGGACCUAGUGAUCUUUAGUAUAAGGCCCAUGCCUAGUGAGAUCAACCCCAUAUGGCGAUGAAUGAACCCAGUGAUCUCUAGUAUAUAGGUCCACACAUGGUUAGAUCAACCCCAUAUAACGAUAAAGGAGCCUAGUACUUUCCUAUAUAAGGGCCCAUGCAUGGUGAAAUCAACCCCACAUGGCAUUUAGGAGACCCCACAAUCUCCAACGUCUCCAUCAUAUAAAGGGUCUGAAAUACUAACUAGGCAACCCAAGAAGAGGGUGAAUUGAGAUUUUAAAUUUUAAACUAAGCAAAUCACAAAACAAUUUAAUUUAAUGCCUUAAUGGAAUAAAAAAAUAAUAAAUUCAACAAAGCACAAUAAUAAGAUAGUAAGGGAAGAGCAAACAAACACAAUGAUUUUUACAUGGUUCGGCAAUCUCUGCCUAUGUCCACGCCUCCAAGCUUACCCAGCUUGAGAAUUUCACUAUCCAAGCCUCCCAAGGCUUCAAGUUCUUUACAAUUGACUUCUAAGGCGUCAAUGAACCUUUACAAUCAAGAGAUUAUCUCUACAAUCUCUUCACCCCAAGUGUUUCUCAUACUUGUACACUUAUAAUUUAAUAAGAAAUGAAAAUUACAACAAACAACUCUCUUUUAGAGUGGAUAUACAAAUGAUAGCCCAAUAAAGAUUUAAUCUAUCAUGAUUUGCAAAAUUGAAGCUCAAUAUAUGUUGUGUGCACUUGUUUAUGCUUGCAAAGAUUACCAAAGAUGAAUUGGAUUUAAGUUUAUAUAGUUUAAGCUCAAAAACUAGCCUUUAUAGACUUUUUGGUGAUAACCAGCUUGCUGCUUUGUGAAUUCGGUUAACCGCUUUUAUGUUACUGUUAUAGCAAAUAUUUGAAUUUUGAAACAUCUGGCAUGCCGCUUUCGGAAUCCGGUUAGCCGCUUUCAUUCCAAUAAGCUACUGCCUAAAAUCCAAUCUACUGCUUGUCAAAUUCGGUUAGCUGCUUGCAACAGUGACUACUACAGUGAAUUAUUUUUCAAAAUUAUAGUUUUGAUCCAAAACUUUAUAGAAUUAUGCUAUGGCCCAAAAGUCAUAAAAUCUUGCACAAAGGUCCAAUUUCAUAAUUUCUAAAUAAUGCUUGUUAUUUCUGAAACUUUAUGAAAUUAUGAUAUCUCUCAAAAUGCUAUGAAAAUUUUAAAAUAAGUCCUCCUCCAAAAUUCCAAGCAAUACUUGUUGAUUUCAAAAUUUUCAAAACUCUUUCAAUUAGACCAUAAACUUGAAAAACAACCAAUUUUAUAAAAUCAUUUUUCCAUUAAAUACAAAACCUUUAUAAUGUGAAAAUAAUGAUUUAUUUAAAAUGUAUAAAAAAUAAUUUGAUCUUUUAAAAACUUAAUCAUUCUUAAUUUUAUUUGUUAUCAUCAAAAUCAACAUCAUGGAUAUAUAAAUGUUAACAGGGCCUACGCUGUUAACAUAUAUGUUUCCAUAAUGUUGAUUUUGAUGAUAACAAACAAGAUUAACAAAAAAAAUAUUUUAAAUAAAUCAUUUUUUUUCACAUUAUAAAUGUUUUAUAUUUUAAUGGAAAAAUGAUUUUAUGCAAUUGAUUGUUUUUAUUCCUUUUGAAUAAAUCAUUAUUUUCACUUUAUAAAUGUUUCAUAUUUAAUGGAAAAAUGAUUUUAUGAAAUUGGUUGUUUUUCAAAGUUUAUGGUUUAAUUGAAAGAAUUUUGAAAACUUUGAAAUAAACAAGUAGUGCUUAAAAUUUCGGAUUUGAAAUUGUGCUAAAAUUCACAAAUGGGCAAAACUGCUGUACGGCCAAGGCGGAUGUACGGUACAGCAGUAUGGGAUUAAAGCAUUUUGGACUAAAAUGAAAGUAAUUUUAAAAUCUUUGAUAGUAUUUUAAAUUUCGGAUUUGGACCUAUUUGAAACUAUUUAAAUAUUUUUGGAUCAUUCUAUAAUUUCACAUAGUUUGGGCAAAGUCAUAAUUUCAGAAAGUUGUGGGAUUGAGAAAGCAUUAUUUAAAAUUCUAAAAUUGGACCUAUUUGCAAACUUUUAUAACCUUUUGGACCAUACUACAGUUUUAUAAAGUUUUGGGGUCAAACUGUAAAUAUCAGGAAAUGUUUUACUGUAGCAGUUACUGUAGCAAGCGGCUUACCGGAUACUGAUAAACGGCAGGCCGAAUUCGGGCAGUAAACACCAGAACGAAAACGGCUUACCGGAUUCCGAAUCCGGCAAGCCGGUUAGGCAAAAUUUUGAAUUUUGCCUUAACGGUAACAUAAAUCCGGCUUACCGGAUUCCAUUAAACGGCAAACCGGAUACGCCUGGAAUGUGAGUAACGGCUAGUUUUUGAGCUCAAGCUAUAAAAACUCAAAUCCAACUCAUUUUGAAGCUCUCCAACAAGCAAAAACAAAAGGCACACAUGAUAUCUUGAGCUUACAACUUGCAAAACACAAAACAUUGAAUCAUUCAUUGUUCUUCAUCUUUGAAUAUCUACUCAUUGAGUGAGUUUGAUUGUAACUUUCAUUUCUUCAUUUCAUUUGUAAGAGUUUGAGUGUGUGAGACACUUGAGUGAAGAGAUUGGGAGAUAAUCUCUUUGUUGUAAAGGUUUAUUGACACCUCGAAGUCAAUUGUAAUUGUUAAAGCCUUGGAAAGGCUUGGAUAGUGAAAUCCUCAAGCCCGGUGUGCUUGGAGGCGUGGACGUAGGCGGGGAUAGCCGAACCACGUAAAAAUCAUUGUGUUCGUUUUUCUCUUCCCUUACUCUUUUAAUUAUUGUGCCUUUAUUGAACUUAUUGCUUUCAAUUUUUAUUAAAACAUUAGAUUGCUUGUUGUGUGGAUUUGCUAGGAUAAUUUUUAAAUUUCCAAUUCACCCUCCCUCUUGGGUUGCACACUUAUAUUUCAUUUGGUAUCAGAGCGAGGUGCUCUUGUGUAGACUUAACCGUCUAGAGUUAAAGAUCCAUAGCAACCCAAAUUAGCUCAACCAUCAUGGAAGGCCAAUCUAUCACUAGACCUCCGUUUUUCGACGGAAAUGAUUAUCCUUAUUGGAAAACUAGGAUGAGAGUAUUUUUACAAGCCUUAGAUUAUGAACUAUGGGAAAUAGUUUGUGAUGGUUCAUUCAUUCUUAGGAAGAAUGCUUUAAGUGAGUUGGAUAAGAAAAAUAUGUCUUUAAAUUCCAAGGCCAUGAAUGCUUUAUUUUGUGCCUUAGAUAAAAAGGAAUUUCAUAGAAUUUCUAAUUGUUCUAAUGCUUAUGAAAUUUGGAGAAAGCUUGAAAUUGUGUAUGAGGAGACUACGAGCGAGGAGGAAUUUCAUGAAGUGUCGAAUUUGGCACUUAUGGCAAUUGGAGAUGAAUCGGAUGAUGAUCUUGAUGAGGUAAAUGAUCUUUUUACUUAUGAUGAAUUAUAUGAUGCUUUUAAAGAAUUGCAUGAUAAUUGGAUAAAAAUUGGUAAAAAGAAUGCAUGUCUUAAAAAGAAAAUGGUAGAGCUCAAAAAUGAAAAUGAAUCUCUAUGUGCAAAGAUUACAUGCCUAGAAUUAGAGAAUAAAACAUUGCAUGAUAAAGUUGCAUUAUCAAAUGAGAAACUUAGCACUUCACAUGAGCAUCUAGAAUCACAUGUAGAUAACUUGAAAAAUGAAAAGGAUGCUUUACAAAAAUGCAAUGAUUCAUUAAAUGAAAAGAUUAAAGGACUAGAGUUAGAUAAUAAAAUGUUGCAUGAUAGAAUUGCAUCAUUUAAAGGUAAACAAAGUAUUUCAUAUGAGCAUGAAAAAUCACAUGUUGAUGAGUUGAUGAAAGAAAAUGAAGUGCUUAAGAGAAAGAGUAAUGAGCUCAAUGAAAUUGUUUUGAAAUUCACAAAUGGGCAAAAGAUGUUGGAUAACAUGCUUAAUUCACAAAAAUGUGUGUUUGAUAAAGGAGGAAUUGGUUAUAAGCCAAAUUUGAAACAAAAGUAUUAUAAGAACUACUUUGUGAAGAGUACAUCUAUUAACAAUCAAGUUGUAUGUCAUUAUUGUAAUCAAAACGGUCACAUGAAGUUUGGUUGUCCUAUUAAAAGAAAAGUAUAUUGUGGAGUAAAAUGUGUUUGGGUUCCAAAAGGAACAAUUGCUAACACUCAAGGACCCAAUAGUAUUUGGGUACCAAAGGGCACAGCGUGAAUGUUUUCUUUGUAGGUACCACAAUCAAGGAAUGGUGGAGAAGUUCCUUGAUGAAAGCUUGUGAGGAUAAUCAUUUGAGCAUGAUCUAGGAGAAAAAGAUGAGGCAAGAUAAUUUAAUUGUUUUGGUAACAAUUCUUGCCAUAUUAAUUUUGUUGAAUGAAUCAUGAUAAAUGAAAUUGCGAAAGUAUGCUUGUAUGUUUACAUGAUGGAAUUAUCAUUGUGUGUAAUAUUGAGUGAUUUAUCAUGAUGGAUUUGUUUGAUGUUAAUGUUUAUGAAGUGUUUAAGCAUGAUAGUUAAGUGGUGUGUUUAAUUUAUUCACUUUUGAAUGUUUAUAUGUUUAAUUAUUGUGAAAAUCUCUAGUCUGCACAAGUUGUAAUGAAUUAGUCAUAACUCCUUCUAGAGAACUCAAAAUCCAGCUCUGUAAAAUUUAUUGGAAAGCUAACUUAAUUAUCUUUCCAACGGUAUAUAGCUUGCAUGUUACUUUCUGCCUCAAAUCGGACUACCGGUUAGCAAAACCGGAAAGCCGGAUUUGCAAGGAACGCUUGCUGGACCAAACCGGAUUUCCGGUUCUGUCAAUUCGGAAUUCCGAAUUCGAGCUGCAUUUUGGCAAAUCGGCAAGCCGAUUCUCUCUUGCUAUCUUCUGGAUCCAACCGGCAAGCCGGUUCGUGUUAUCCGGAAAACCGGAUUUGCGUGAAACAUUUGCUAGAACCAACCGGAUUUCCGGUUAAGCUCAUUUGGCAAUCCGGUUUCGGGUGCUAUUUCAACUAUUCAUCUUCUCCCUCUCUUUCGGCUUUCCGUUUCUCUCUUUCUCACUAAAAGCCGAUUACUCCUCACUUGAUUUCAUUCCAAAAUCCAUCAUUCUCAUUCGUUUUCAAUCCAAAUUGAUUCAUAUAAAUUAUUCUCAUCCAUUCUUGUGUCUAAAAUCAUCUCUAAAAUCGUUUUAAUUGAUUCAAACUUACACUUUUUACUCAAUAUCUUAAAAAAUUUGAAUUUGUGCAUUUUGAAUAUUUCAAAUUACCACUUCCAUAGUGUGCUCUCCUUAUGGAUUUUACCAUAGUUUUCUAUUAUAUUAUGCACCUACAUUUUCAUAUGCAUUGUUGCUUUCAUUGUGGAUUGAUGAUGAUUAUUGUUUGAUAUUUGGAUGCAAAUGUUUUAUUUUGAGCACAAAAAAUAAUCUUGGCAAAUUUGAUCCAAAAUUUGAUGUUGGUAUUUCUCUUGGCUAUUCAAACACAAGCAAAACUUAUGGAGUGUAUAUCAAAAGAACUUUGAUUGUGGAAGAAUUUAUACAUGUUAUAUUUGAUGAGUCUAAUUCUUCCUCUAUGGAGAAAGUUGUUGUUGAUGAUAAUGUAGAUGAAAAGCUACAAGAAGAUUAUCAAAUGAUAGCCAAAAGAAUGCACCACUUGAAAAUCAAGAGGAGCAACAUGAAGAAACAAAUGCGGAGUAAAAUGAAAGUGCUUCUCAAACACUCCCUAAAGAGUGGAGGUAUGUUUCUUCUCACCUUAAGAACUUAAUUUUGAGAGAUCCAUCACAAGGUGUAACUACUAUAUCAUCUCUUAAAAAUAUAUAUGAGCAUUUGUAAUAAUGGAUUUGAUCACUUGUUCUUUAACUCAUCAUUAUGGCUUUUCUUAAUAGUCAUGUUGAUUUUGAUGAUCUAUAUAUUGGCAUAUGUUGAUUUUGAUGAUUUAUAUAUUGCCAUUAUGUACUUAUGUUUUUACUUAAGUUUUGAUGAUAAAGAAUGUGCAUUGAUGAGUACAUUAUAUUUGAUGAAGCUUGAUCUUAUGCAAUCUAUGAUUAGUGAAUGAAUGCAUUUUUUGUACUUUAUCGAUGUAUUAUUGAAUAUGUCUUACUUAUUUUAAAUGAUAUCGAAAAAGGGGGAGAAUGAUUUAAUUUGUGUUAUGAAAAUAUAUGCAUGUAUCUAGGGGGAGCAUGUAUGCAGGGGGAGUUUUUAUUAAACUAUUUACAAGAAGAUUAUCAAAUGAUAGCCAAAAGAAUGCACUACUUGAAAAUCAAAAGGAGCAACAUGAAGAAACAAAUGCGGAGUAAGAUGAAGGUACUUCUCAAANNNNNNNNNNNNNNNNNNNNNNNNNNNNNNNNNNNNNNNNNNNNNNNNNNNNNNNNNNNNNNNNNNNNNNNNNNNNNNNNNNNNNNNNNNNNNNNNNNNNNNNNNNNNNNNNNNNNNNNNNNNNNNNNNNNNNNNNNNNNNNNNNNNNNNNNNNNNNNNNNNNNNNNNNNNNNNNNNNNNNNNNNNNNNNNNNNNNNNNNNNNNNNNNNNNNNNNNNNNNNNNNNNNNNNNNNNNNNNNNNNNNNNNNNNNNNNNNNNNNNNNNNNNNNNNNNNNNNNNNNNNNNNNNNNNNNNNNNNNNNNNNNNNNNNNNNNNNNNNNNNNNNNNNNNNNNNNNNNNNNNNNNNNNNNNNNNNNNNNNNNNNNNNNNNNNNNNNNNNNNNNNNNNNNNNNNNNNNNNNNNNNNNNNNNNNNNNNNNNNNNNNNNNNNNNNNNNNNNNNNNNNNNNNNNNNNNNNNNNNNNNNNNNNNNNNNNNNNNNNNNNNNNNNNNNNNNNNNNNNNNNNNNNNNNNNNNNNNNNNNNNNNNNNNNNNNNNNNNNNNNNNNNNNNNNNNNNNNNNNNNNNNNNNNNNNNNNNNNNNNNNNNNNNNNNNNNNNNNNNNNNNNNNNNNNNNNNNNNNNNNNNNNNNNNNNNNNNNNNNNNNNNNNNNNNNNNNNNNNNNNNNNNNNNNNNNNNNNNNNNNNNNNNNNNNNNNNNNNNNNNNNNNNNNNNNNNNNNNNNNNNNNNNNNNNNNNNNNNNNNNNNNNNNNNNNNNNNNNNNNNNNNNNNNNNNNNNNNNNNNNNNNNNNNNNNNNNNNNNNNNNNNNNNNNNNNNNNNNNNNNNNNNNNNNNNNAUUGUUUAAAUACAUGAAAUGUUUGUCAUCAUCAAAAAGGGGGAGAUUGUUAACAUAUAUGUUUCCAUAAUGUUGAUUUUGAUGAUAACAAACAAGAUUAACAAAAAAAAUAUAUUUUAAAUAAAUCGUUUUUUUUUCACAUUAUAAAUGUUUUAUAUUUUAAUGGAAAAAUGAUUUUAUGCAAUUGAUUGUUUUUAUUCCUUUUGAAUAAAUCAUUAUUUUCACUUUAUAAAUGUUUCAUAUUUAAUGGAAAAAUGAUUUUAUGAAAUUGGUUGUUUUUCAAAGUUUAUGGUUUAAUUGAAAGAAUUUUGAAAACUUUGAAAUAAACAAGUAGUGCUUGAAAUUUCGGAUUUGGACCUAUUUGAAACUAUUUAAAUAUUUUUGGGCCAUUCUAUAAUUUCAUAAAGUUUGGGCGAAGUCAUAAUUUCAGAAAGUUGUGGGAUUGAGAAAGCAUUAUUUAAAAUUCUGAAAUUGGACCUAUUUGAAANNNNNNNNNNNNNNNNNNNNNNNNNNNNNNNNNNNNNNNNNNNNNNNNNNNNNNNNNNNNNNNNNNNNNNNNNNNNNNNNNNNNNNNNNNNNNNNNNNNNNNNNNNNNNNNNNNNNNNNNNNNNNNNNNNNNNNNNNNNNNNNNNNNNNNNNNNNNNNNNNNNNNGUUACUGUAGCAAGCGGCUUACCGGAUACUGAUAAACGGCAGGCCGAAUUCGGGCAGUAAACACCAGAACGAAAACGGCUUACCGGAUUUCGAAUCCGGCAAGCCGGUUAGGCAAAAUUUUAAAUUUUGCCUUAACGGUAACAUAAAUCCGGCUUACCGGAUUCCAUUAAACGGCAAACCGGAUACGCCUGGAAUGUGAGUAACGGCUAGUUUUCGAGCUCAAGUUAUAAGAACUCAAAUCCAACUCAUUUUGACUCUCUCCAACAAGCAAAAACAAAAAGCACACGUGAUAUCUUGAGCUUAUAACUUGGCAAACGCAAAUCAUUGAAUCAUUCAUUGUUUUUCAUCUUUGAAUAUCUACUCAUUGAGUGAGUUUGAUUGUAACUUUCAUUUCUUCAUUUCAUUUGUAAGAGUUUGAGUGUGUGAGACACUUGAGUGAAGAGAUUGGGAGAUAAUCUCUUUGUUGUAAAGGUUUAUUGACACCUCGAAGUCAAUUGUAAUUGUUAAAGCCUUGGAAAGGCUUGGAUAGUGAAAUCCUCAAGCCCGGUGUGCUUGGAGGCGUGGACGUAGGCGGGGAUAGCCGAACCACGUAAAAAUCAUUGUGUUCGUUUUUCUCUUCCCUUACUCUUUUAAUUAUUGUGCCUUUAUUGAACUUAUUGCUUUCAAUUUUUAUUAAGACAUUAGAUUGCUUGUUGUGUGGAUUUGCUAGGAUAAUUUUUAAAUUUCCAAUUCACCCUCCCUCUUGGGUUGCACACUUAUAUUUCAUACGCAUGAUGGGUGCUCCUAACAUGUCAUUUAAAGAUCCCCAUACUCUUCAACAAAGCAACUCAGAUCCUACGCACGGGGGACGCCCUGCAUGACGAUGAGUUAAUCCCGCAAGAUCUCUAGGAACCAUGCAUGCUUGGGAUUAAAAUAAAUGUCCUAACCGUUGCGAAGAGCGUUAGGCAGGAUACAUGAAAUAUAUGCCCCGAGUGCAGCGAAGAGCCCCAAGCGCAUGCCUUGACUGCAGCAAAGAGUCUUCGGCGUAGUAAAUGAAAUAAAUACUGUGAGUGUGGCGAAAAGCCCCAAGUGUAACACAUGAAAUAAAUGCCCCGAGUGUGGCAAAGAGCCCCAGGUGCGACACAUUAAAAUAAAUGCCCUAAGCGCAGCGAAGAGCUUCAGGUGCGACAUAUGAAAUAAAUGCUCCUAGCGCGUUGAAGAGCCCCGGGUAUAACACAUGAAAUAAAUGCCCUGAGCGUGCCGAAGAGCCCCUGGUGUGAUAAAUAAAAUAUAUGUCUCAGAGUGCAGUGAAGAGUCCUGACACGACUCAAAAGUGUAUUACUCCUAAGUAUAAGAGUGUCUAGUUAUAAUAUAACCCAGUAAGUUCGGGGUUGAACCACAGGGAAUUUUAAAUCCAGUAGUCAAUUUAAAAAUAUGCUAAGGUUCGAGAUCCACUCUCUGUAUUCAAACUAUAAUUUUAAUACUCUCUCAUUUAUAUUUUGCCCUCACUUUUACCAAUUAAUUAUUAUAUCAUUUAAUUCUCAACUAACUAUGCGUGUGGAUAAAUAUGGAAUAAAGUACCUAAAGUGCCACACUAUAUUAAUGUAUCGACAUUAUGUCAAAAUACCAUACAGAUCCAAAGAAAUUUAUAAAUUAACAUGACAUAAAAAUAACUAGAAAAGAAUAAAAUAAACUUAAAAAUUCAUUUGAGAAAAUAAUAAAUUUAAUAGUUUGAAACAUUAAGCUUCACGUUUCACCUCAACUUAGUAAAAUUAGCCACUCAUAUUGAAAGAAAACAUAACACUCUUUUUAUUUCAUAAACUUUUGAAAUAUGUUACAAGGAAAAUUGAUACAAAAGGAAACAAGAAAAGAAAAUAAAGAAAGACAGAAAUUCUUCAGUUCCCUUUUGGCUACAACUCUCUCUCUCUCUGCUUAAGCUUCUCUACUAGCCUCCUCAUUCGCUUGCAUCCCUUUGCCUUUUAUAGGCAAGGGAAUCAUCUUCUUUUCUUUUAUUUUAUUAAUAAUAUUAAUAUUUUUUUUUAUAUUAUAUAUACAUAUUGAAUUGUGUGAUGGUCAUUUUUAAAAUAAUAUCUCCUCGAUUGAUGAAUUUCAAAUUGCUCCAGGUGUCCUUCUUUGUUCCAAGUUUCAACUCCAAUCCCAUCUUUAUUCCUGAAAAAUAUUUACAAGAUAAAAAUUAACAGAUUGUGAAUUAAUUUAACAUAAAAUAUAUUUGGGGAGUAUUAAAAUAAUUUAGAAAUAAUGAAUGCAUUAAUUGACACAAUAAGUGAAAAACUAAUAAUUUUAUCCUUAUUAGAUGUACACUUUUUAAUGUCAAUCAAGUCCCAAGCGUGACAUAUAAAAUAAAAGGUUCGAGUGCUGCAAAGAGUCCUGAGCUCGAUAAAUAACAUAAGAGCCUCAAGCGCAGCAAAGAGCCCUGAGUGUGGCAAAUAAUGCAAGCCCCUAAGCAUGCAAAUAAAGUAAAGGUCUUAGGUGCAAUAAUAGAAUGCAGAGUUAGCUCUCUUAACUUUAAGGGUGCCACCCAAGAGCUACUAAUUGUGGCCUUUUUCUCCAAUCUCAUGGCUCUCAACGCCAGCAUCCUUACUCAUAGUAAAGUUUCUCGUGCCAGCAUCUCCUGUAUCCAAUUGAUUAGUAGGAGUCACACUGAUGUAGCAGAAGUUUAAUGUUCAAAUAUUUGCAUUGAUUCUUGAGAGUACUGGAAUAAAAAGAACAAUCUUAAUUCAUGUUGAUUUAAAAAGAAUAUUUUGGACUUAGGGGGCUAAAACUCAUCGAUUCCGCAGAAUGCCAAAAAUUAACUAAACUCAAAAGUUCACAAAAAGUCUUGAAAAUUGAUAAUAUUAUUGAACUCAAAUCUCCUUCAAGGGCUACAAGAGAUGAUUUUUAUAUUAGUAGUAAUUAUCCUAAACCAUGAAUUAAAAUGAAAAAAAAAGUUCUAAACUAGAAAGGAAAACAAAGUCUAAAUUUUAGAUAAUAAGAAAAUUAAUUCAAAUAUGAUAAGAAAUCAUAAUCUGCAUCACAUACUUGUAUCACGAUAAGUAUCGGCACAUCCAGGACCAUCCCCUUGGAACUAUAUUGGGAAGAUCCCUCAUUUUUCAUGUAGAUGAUUCGGGGACUCUCCCCAUAUCAUGCACGAAGUGUUCCUAUCACUUGAGCAUAAGACAAAAAUUCGAACCACUUUGAGAUAGUCCACCCCGAUGCAUAACGAUAGUUUAAUGCCAUACACUAAGUCUGCUGCUUCGAAUCAAGUGCUUUCUCUUCAGCCUACUCCUUAGCUCUCUUCUCUCAACCGCAACCAAAAUUCAACAGCUUCUUAAAGGAGCUCCUCUCCUCACGGGACCUCUAUUUAAGAUCUACCACCUCUUUGUGGAGCUUCCUUACUAUUUAAUGUUGGAGAAUAAAUAUUUACAAAGGGUAAAAUCAUCGUUUGGCAUUCUAAGCCUCGCUAACAUUUCUACUUUUAUGUAUUUAAGUCUUUCAAACUUUGAUUGUGUGUGUUUUGUUAUAAUUUGAGUAUUUUAUGCAUUUCAUAGGUAUUUUGGUCUUUUUAAAAUUAACAAGAAAUCGAACAGCAAAAUAGAUUGCAUUUUUAGCUCAAAACAACUGAAAACCUUAGGAAUGGCAUAAAGGGCAAAAUUAUAAAUUUUAGGAUUUUUGUGGGACGUUGACUAGUUGAGGUGGCAUUGACCAGCUGAGAGGAAUGGACCAGCUGAUGUGACAUUGACUUAUUAUGUGGCAGCAUACUAUUGAAAUGAAAAAUGUUGAUGUGGCAUUGAUCGAUAAAGUGGCAUUAACCUAUGACGUGGCAGUAUCCUAUUGGACCGAAAGAUAUUGAUGUGGCGUUGACGGAUGAUGUGGUACCAUAUUACUGGACCUAAUGAUGUGUUUUAACUAAUUAGAUAUUGCCAUGUGGCAUAAUCCUGAGCGUCCAAAUUGUUUUCAUUUGAUGAUUGUAAUUUACUCAUUGUAUCUAUAAAUAAGGGUUUCUCCUGAUUUAAUAGCUCUGAAAGCUUCAUUUUUUUGUAAUUCUCACUCUAUCUUAUAUUUUCUAUGUAUUUCAAUACAAUUAACAUUUUACCCCUAGUUCAAUUAUGAGUGACUAAUUUAAUUUCUAGUUUGAGUUGAAGGUGAAGCCUCCAUAAGAUCCAUGGGCUUAAUUUGGUAAGUUUAUUUUUUUCUCUCUAAUUUAAGUGGUUUUUUUACUCAUUAUCAACAGAUAGUGUAUCUUGUUUUAUUUUGUACGAUAUACAGCUCCCUAGUAAAAGAUCGUUAUUGUUUAGCACAAUGAGCAUUUUACACCAUAUUUAUUGGAAAGAGGCUCUUCUCUAGUGUUUAUGGGUCGUCUGACUUAGUGUUGAUAAAGAGUGCAUUUAAGUUAUUUAGUAGGCGGUCUUGCCACAUUGUUGAUAGAAUGAUUAUUAUCAUCUAACAUAGAGGUGGGCAUUUGGUUUGGUUUUUAACGAACCGAACCGAAUUGAUAUUUUUCGAUUCGGUUCGAUUUGAUUCUAAAGAUAAAAUCCGAAUGAUUUGGAAAUUAAAGAACCGAUUGGUUUGUAUUCGGUUCUUUCUUUAAAAAUAAAAAAUAUUUUAAUAUUCAUAUAUAUAGGUAAAGUGAACAGAAACCUAAAUCCCACACACUCAUCUCUCAAACACAGCAGUAACACACCAUCCCUCACACUCCCACAUUCUGAUAAGCACAUCAUAUUUCUACCACCAGUAACCGCUCCUCUCUGACACCAUACAUGCAGCUGGCAACUACUCUUUUUGCACCACACAACCAUCAUCAACUUUUAGCACAACCACCUAUCAGCCACCGGCCGUUUGUCACAACCCCACAACAGCCGUCCUUCAGCUGCAAUCAUCGCAGGCCGUCGACCACCACACAAAGAUUCAUAGUUUCUUCUUAUUUCUCUCAUAACAAAUAUUAUAGAUCUAGAUCUAUUUCUUUGUCUAAGUGCAGUAACAAUAUUAAAUUUUGAUUUUUUCCAGCUUUGUUUUAGGUAUUUGUAACUGUUGCGGACUUUCUAGCUUUUAAUGUAUUGUAUUUGUUGCUGUUGCCGAUUGGUAGCUUUGACACCCAUGUGUUGGCCUCGUUUGGUUGUUGGAAAAAUUGUGAUUUUGAAGGCCUUGUUUGGUUAUUAAAAAUGUUGAUAUUGAAACCCUAUGUACAGGCCUUGUUUGUGUUGUGGGAAAAUGGUGAUUUUGAAACCCAUGAGAUUUUUGGUUUGUUAUUAUUAUUUUGACAAUGAAAAAAAAAAUAUAUUUUUUUUGUUUUUUGUCGAUUUAUAAUGUGUUGGGGCUUUAUUAUUUUUGCUGAAUUUUAUUUCAUUGUAUGUAAUGUUAAUACUACGUGUAGUUUAAUACAUGAGAAAAUAUAGACUUGAAACCGAAAAGAACCAAAAUAACUCGAACUGAACCGAACCAAAAUUCACAACCGAAACUGAACCGAAUAAAAAAAUUUCAAUUCAGUUUGGUUUUAAAUUUCGAGUUGCGUUCGGUUCUAGUUUGAGAGAAUCGAUUCGUUUUAGUUCGGUUCCGUUUUCUAUCUAAACCGAACCAAACCGAGAUAGAAAAUCGAACUGAACCAUAUAGUGCCCAGCCCUAAUUUGACAUAACAUGUACUUGACAUCAUAUUUAGAGAAAGAUCAUUACCCUCUGACACAUUGAGCGCUUGAUAUAAUUUUUAUUAGAGUGAAGCUUAUGAGGAGUGAAAAUAACCCCUCAUAAAUUAAUUCGAACUAAAAAUGAAUAUUAAGCCCAUGGUAAAGUAUUAAGUGUGAAUCUAGAUACUCAAGUGUUUUAUUUGAAUUAUUCUCAUCAUUAAUUUAUUCCCACCACUUUUAUUUUAAAUUUUAAUAUUGCUAAAAAAUCAUUUCCAGCCAAUUCAUAUACACACGUAAAAAAUUAACCUUGGACAUAAGUAAAUCUCCAUCCCUGUGGGAUCGACACUACUCAUCACUAUAAAUCUAUACUGUAAUAGAUUUGUGCACUUGUAAGUACAAUAAAAUUUGCAUAACACCUACCUCUAACAACAACUAGGAAUUUCAUUCCAAGAUCUCGUUUGUUACUGUCUACGAGUAAUGUUUAUAGUACUAUUCAUCAUACAUAUUCACUACACUGUUCACAUUUACUGUUCAUUCAUCAUAAAUAUGCUAGAAACAGUAAAUUAUAAAAAAUAAAACAUACAAAGGAUUUUUAUGUGGUUCAAAUUACAAUCCUACAUCCAUAAGGACAUGCCUAAAUAAUAAGCUUUACUAAGUAAUGUAAAGAUUACAACUUAUUGAAUUCUCACACAAUUUCAAACACCCUCUUACUCUUAUUGCCACCUUGUUGUAUCUAACUUAGUCAAUCUUGCUUAACGCCUUAAUCUUUAAUUGAGUUUACUAUUUUCUUUGGAAUCCUCUCAACAUAACAAACGACAUCUUCAUCUUGAAGAGACUGAAGUAAAAAUAAAGAAUGUUGAUUAGUGUUAAAAAUUGUAUGUUUAUUAAGGGAUAAAAAUGUUAUUUUGUGCUAUUAAUGUAAUUUAUAUUUGCAAUUGUGUAACAUAUUGUGAAUUUCUAAUUAUUUUUCUAAGUAUUUGAUUUUGUGUAUUUUUGUGUGUUUAUUAGGUAAAAAUAAUAAUUUCAUGCAAUUUGAGGCUCCAAACAAAUGUAUGGAUGUCAAAUGUGGAUUCCAGAAAUUCGAGAAAUUAUGUCAUUGUCGAAGAGGAUCCGAGACUUUUGUUGUAAAUUUUUACGUUUUUACCAUGGUAAAUGCGGUAACUUUAAGAUUAUAAGUUUUUAUUAUAUUAAGUAUUGUAAUUGUUAGUGAAAUGUGUUGGAUAUGCUUGAGUGGAUUAAGUUAGGUUUAUAUUUUAUUAGUGGGAUUAUUAGUGAGACAAAUGUAAGGUUAAGAUGUAAUUAGAUUUUUUUAUUUGUGUGGUGUGGAUUUACCAUGUAUUAGUAUAAAUAGAGAGGUAGUGAACACAGCUCUACACACCUUCUCUUCUCUUCUUUCCCCCCAAAUUCUUCUUCUCAUCUCUCUUUAUAAUAUAUUUUCAAUCAAUAAAAUUAGUUUUAUUUCAAUUUUUAAAUUCCAUUUUUUUUAAUUAUGUGUUUUUCAAUUGAAAUAAUUUCCUUUAUUUCAAAAAUGUUUAACUAAAUAUUCAUAGUUAUAGGAAGGUGAAACUCUUAGUAAAAAAUAUUGUUUAAUCAAAUUCUAUUUUUAAUUUUAUAAAUUAAAUUGUUUUCUAUUUAAUUUUAUCCAUAUUUUAUAUUUUGAAAUUUUGAUUUAGUGUAGACAAAAAUAGGAAUUUGGCACAAUGAAUUCCUAAUAUCUUAGUAUAAAAUAUGGAAAAAUGUUAUUUUGAUUUAGUGUAACAAAUUAAGUUUUGGCACAUUAAAUUCUUAAUCCACAAUAAAAUAAAUGGGAAAAUAAUUUUAAUUUAUACAAUUAAUCUUUUGGGAAAUAAAAUAAAAAUAAAAAGAAUUUGUUAAAUUGUAUUUAUUACUAAGAGUGGAUCCAUAACCCUAAUUAAUUUAAUUUUAUACUUUUCUUAAAUAAAUUACAUAUUUUUUAAAUUUUAUUCUUAUUUGGAUAAAUUUAAGUGAACAAAUUAAAUCGUUUCUCUGUGGAUCGACCUCGAACUCACCGAGUUAUAAUAUUACAAGACACUUUUAUACUUGGAACUAGAAAUCACAUUUAAGUCGUGUCAAGUUUUUGGUGCCGUUGCCGAGGAGAGUUAUUUAUUUUGUUUUAUUUUUCUUUUUUUUGUAAAUUUUCUUUUACCCCCUUUUUCUUUUCUUAAAUUCUGCUCUAUCCCCAAAUCUUUCAUAAUUCUAGUUUCACCCUAAAUAUUCUCGUUUUUGGCUCAUUCUUCUCAUAAUUACAAUUUGACCACACAAUCAUAGAAAACUUUCACAUAGGUCCCUAGCCAAAAUUUCCCAUAAAUCUCAAAUUCGGACCUAUAACUUAAACUUCUUUGGACUUGAUUUGGACUCAAUAAAAAGAAUUUUGACUUUAAAAAUUACGAGGCCCAUUAAUUUGAAUAAAUCACUUAAUUGAUUGGUAAUUUUUAAAAUUAAAAAAAAAAAAGAGCCUACACUUUAAUUAUUUCUCUUCUUUUUUUUCUUCUUUUAUUUAUUUUUGCAAUUUAAUUUUUUCAUUUAUUUUAUUUUUCUUUUUGGUUUUUACUUUGUUUAUAUGUUUGGUUUAUUGCCUAUUUAGUUAUUUUAAUUUUAGUUAAUUAAUUUUUAAUUUAUUUAUUUUUGUCUUGUAUUUUUUUUGUACAUUUAUCUUGUUUAUUUAAUUUUUCUUUUGUCUUUAAUUUGUGUAAUUUUCAGUCUUCUUUUUUUUUAUUUGUUUGUAAAUCAUUUUUUAUACUCACACAUUAUCAUCAUUGCAUGAGACGUUGGUCUCGAAGUUCAAGUGGCAGGUUAAUUCGUAGAUCUCAAUCACCACCACCAAUCAUGGAUGAGAUCCAAGACGAAAAUAUUUUAGGCCAACUUAAUCCUCCAGUUUAUCAAGGACACAAUCAAUCUCAACAUGAUCAGAAUCAACCGAGAACUUUGAGAGAUUACAUAAAUCCAACAAGAAUCGGAGCACUGUCGUGUAUAGUAUUUCCUCCAGAAGCAUCUUGAUUCAACUUCAAAUCAGGUAUUAUCCAACUUUUACCAACAUUUCAUGGUUUAGAAUCUAAGAAUCCAUACUUGCAUCUAAGAGAUUUUGAGGAAGUUUGUAAUACAUACACAGACCAAAAUUGUAGCAUGAACAUAAUUAGAUUAAUGCCUUUUUCCUUUUUCAUUAAAAGAUAAAGCUAAAACUUGGCUACAAAACCUUAGAUCUGAAUCAAUAAGAACUUGAAACUUUUUAUUCGGUCUUUGGAAUCGAUGUGGAAAUUCUAUGGCUCGAAUCUUUAGUAUUCUCUUAUUUAUUACAUGUAUCUACUAUUUAGGCAGAAUAUCCUCACCCAUAACAUGUAAGAACAGUUUUUGAAAAAAUUCUUUCCAUCGUAUAGAACCAAUUCUUUUAAAAGGAAAAUCACUUCUUUCAUUCAAAAAAAUGGAGAAACAUUGUACCAAUGUUAGGAUACAUUUAAAGAAUUGCUUAACAUAUCUCCACACCAUAGUUUUGAAACUUGGCAAUUGGUCACUUAUUUCUACGAGGGCUUAACACUACAAAGUAGACAAGUUGUAGAAAUGAUGUGUAAUGGUGAAUUUAGAGAUAAAAAUCCUGAAGAUGCACUAGAUUACCUUGACCAAUUAGUUGAAAAUGCAUAAAAUUGGGAUAUUUUUAGAACUUUUGAAUUGACUAAUAAACCACAAUCAUCUCCAUCUAGUGGAGGAAUCUAUAACCUUAGGGAAGAUCAUGAUUUACAAGAAAAAAUUUUCAUCCUAGUUAGGAAGGUUGAAGCUUUGGAAAAUAAAAAAAGUGAUCAAGUAAAAUAUGUUCAAGAAAUUGCAUGUGAUGUGUGUAGUUCUAAUGAUCAUUUCACUCAAGAUUGUCCCACUCUGCCUGCACUCAAAGAAUGUUUGCAUGAUCAAGCUAAUGCCAUCAACACUUUUAACAAACAAACCCAUAUUCACAGACUUAUAAGAUUUGGUCAAGAAAUGGUAAUGGAAAAUGAUAUUUUCUAGUGGCUUCAUUUAAUUUCCUAUAAUCAAUGCACAUGCGCCAACUAGAUGUAAUUCGUGUUGGAAUUAAUUCACCUUUUUCAUUUUUAACAAUAGUGAUUCCAGAUUUUUUAGGCACUACUUGUGUAGAACUUACCCACUUACUAUCAGAGAUAGGGUAGAUAAUUCCCGCAUCAAGUAACUUAAGAACUUCUAUUUUUACUACUUCUUUCAUGUGUGGGUUUAAUCUUCUUUGAGGUUGCUGACAUAUUUUAGCAUUUUCUUCCAAAUUAAUUCUAUGCAUGCAGAUUAAGGGAUUAAUGCCUUUAAUAUCAUUUAAAGUCCAUCCAAUUGCAUUNNNNNNNNNNNNNNNNNNNNNNNNNNNNNNNNNNNNNNNNNNNNNNNNNNNNNNNNNNNNNNNNNNNNNNNNNNNNNNNNNNNNNNNNNNNNNNNNNNNNNNNNNNNNNNNNNNNNNNNNNNNNNNNNNNNNNNNNNNNNNNNNNNNNNNNNNNNNNNNNNNNNNNNNNNNNNNNNNNNNNNNNNNNNNNNNNNNNNNNNNNNNNNNNNNNNNNNNNNNNNNNNNNNNNNNNNNNNNNNNNNNNNNNNNNNNNNNNNNNNNNNNNNNNNNNNNNNNNNNNNNNNNNNNNNNNNNNNNNNNNNNNNNNNNNNNNNNNNNNNNNNNNNNNNNNNNNNNNNNNNNNNNNNNNNNNNNNNNNNNNNNNNNNNNNNNNNNNNNNNNNNNNNNNNNNNNNNNNNNNNNNNNNNNNNNNNNNNNNNNNNNNNNNNNNNNNNNNNNNNNNNNNNNNNNNNNNNNNNNNNNNNNNNNNNNNNNNNNNNNNNNNNNNNNNNNNNNNNNNNNNNNNNNNNNNNNNNNNNNNNNNNNNNNNNNNNNNNNNNNNNNNNNNNNNNNNNNNNNUUUUACUUUUUUUUUUUUUUCCCAUCCUGCUGUACCGUACAUCCGCCUUGGCCGUACAGCAGAGAUAAGCAUACUUUAAUCCAUCUGGCAAAGGUUUCAAUUCCAAUUUAAGUGCUUCUUGUUGUUCAGUCUUUUCAAUGAUUCCAAGCUCCUUAAUUUUUGAUUUCCCAUCAUCACUUUGUAAAGUCUGACAACAAUCAAACAACAAAUAUAUAUUAAAAGUAUCAUGUUCAAGUUGUUUAUGUGAUUCAAUCGAAUUAACUAAACAAAUAUCACUAAGUUCAUAAAAACUCCCUUUUUGAAUAUUCUCCUCUAUAUAAGAUUCAAGCAAUUCAUUUUGUUCAUCAAUUUCAUCUUCAAGCAAUUCAUUUUGUUCAUCAAUUUCAUCUUCAUUCUUAUUUUCCUCAUUAGGUUGCCUAGACAUGUUGAAAACAUUCAAUUCCAAAGUCAUAUUUCCAAAUGACAAAUUCAUUAAACCAUUCCUACAAUUAAUUAAAGCAUUAGCAGUUGUAAAAAAUGGUCGACCUAAAAUUACAGGAAUUGGUUUAUAAUUCUUCACAACAGGUUUAGUUUCUAAAACAAUAAAAUCUACAGGGUAUAUGAAUUUAUCAACUUGUACUAAAACAUCUUUCACUAUUCCUUUUGGUACUUUAACUGAUCUAUCGGCAAGCAAAAAUAUAAUUGAAGUUGAUUUUAACUCACCAAGAUUAAGUUGAAGAUAAACUGAAUAUGGAAGCAAAUUAACACUAGCACCAAGGUCUAACAAAGCAUGUUCAAUUUUGUGAUCUCUAAUAAUACAAGAAAUAGUAGGACAAUCAGAAUCUUUAUAUUUUAACUUACUAUUAGUAGACAGAAUGGUACUUACCUGUUCAGCCAUGAAAGCACUUUUUUUUACCUUCAAUUUCCUCUUAACAGUGCAUAAGUCCUUUAAAAAUUUGGAAUAUGAAGGUACCUUCUUAAUUGUAUCUAACAGAGUAAUGUUAACUUUCACUUACUUAAAGAUUUCAUAAAUUUCAGAAGAGUGGUUUGAUUUUCUUGAUUUAUUCAAUGCAUGCGGAAAAUGGCCUAUCAAUAACUUUUCGUAUGUUUACUACUGAAUUGACCUAAAAUUUAUCAACAGAAUAUCCACGUAUUAGGAGUAUUGUCGUUGUUCUGGUGUUCUUUAGGACUCAUGUUUAACUACUUUUUCUUGUCCUUCUAACUAGUUCUUAUAAUUGUUCCCAGAAGGGAAAAAAAAUAUGAAAACUAAUUCUUGUUAGCCUUCUGUGUCAACACAUAUAUGUAUUUACCUGCAUGGUUUUUUUUGGGGGGGGGGGGUUUGUUGUAUCCUAAAUUUAAAUUUAUUCUCUGUGGCACAAUCAAUUUGCUUAUUGGGUCAACAUGCCUUGAAAAAAAAAUGUGUAGCAUGUAUAGUGCCACCAAUUUUAGGAUUGUUUAAGUCAAUGUCUAAGCCACAAAAAUCUUAUGUUUUCUUCACGGUGAUUCUGCUUUGACAGCCAUCAAUCAUCAUUGAAAAUCUCAUUGUAGGCCUGUUAAGUGACGAAAUGUUGUUGCAGAACAGUGCAAUCUUCAAAAAGAAUGUCAUCUCCUUAAUUGUGCCUUUUGCACUCAGAUCCAAUUUUUUGUCAAAUAAUUUCAUGGUGGCUACCAAUACCACAUCAUGAAUAUCUUCUCGCCCAAGUGACAAGGUCACCUCUAGAUUGAACAAGUGAGGUUAUUAGUUCCAACGAAUCAAACCCCAAAACUGUAGAUGUCACACUUUUCCGUCACUUGCACUGUUUAAGCAAUAUUCUGCUCUGAAAAUUAAGCAGCUAUAAAGUUAACAACUAUGUAAUGAAAUUUAAAAAUAGUGAAUAAUGAUUACCAUGUUAGGACAGACCUUUGGCGCCUUUUAUUUUACUUUUUUUUAUUUUUCCCAUCAAAUAAGAUUUUUUGAUAAAUGUACUAGCGAAAGGAUAAAAAAUAGGGUUAAUUAUUUUUGGGUAAUACAUGUUUUGACAAAUUUCAUAAAGGUGACACAUGUUUUAAAAAUAAUCGAGUAGGUGACAUUCUGUUAACUUUUGUCAUUAACUUUAAGCGGCCAAGGGUAAAAUUGAAAAAAAAAUUCCAGUUAAGCCAAAGAGAUAAAAAUAUUAUAUUUAUAUAAUCAAGGGUGGAGACAACAUAUUGAUUAAUUGGGCACUUGGAGACGAAAAGAGUAGUGCGCCAUGUCACUACAUUUUUGGCUUUUGCAUAUGCAAAAGUAAAAAAAAAAAAAUUGUUUAUGAAUUUUCUAUGGCCGUUGGACUAAUGGUGGAAUUGGUAAAUCUAAGAUUAAUAAAAAAAUUAAUGAGCUUGUGCGUUAUUUAAAAAAAUUAAAUUAAUGUUAUUAUUUACAUACUUGAUUUUAGUUUGAAAAACCCAACUCUUUUAAUUUGUAUUUAAAAUUUUUGGAACGAGAAUUUGAGUGUAAAAAUAUAUUGUGGGCUUGAGUAUAAUUUAAUGGGGGUAUUAUGAAAAUUUAUUAAAGACUUUUGGAAAAAUACAAUUAAAUAUUAAAUGAAUUUUUUUAUUUCAGUUGUCCUUCAACAAAUCCGCCCCUGUAUAUAAUGCUUUACAAUUCAUAAGAGAUUUGUUUCUAUAUGCUAACAAAUCAUUUGAUUCAACAAGAAUUUUAAAAAAAAAAAAAAAAGAGUUUGAUUUAACAAAAAAAAUGCUUUGUUAAUUAGACUUAAAUUUAAUUUGUUUAUAUAAUUUUCUAUUUGAAAAAUUAAAAAUGAAUAAGGAUAGAAACAUCAUUUUGUAACAAAUUGUUGGGGUAAGAUCGUUAUUUUGUAAUUAAUUGUAGGGGAAAAAAUAUCAUUUUGUAACUAAUUUACUAUUCCUAUUAAAGUUAACGGCAAAAGUCAAUGGAAUGUCACUUCUUCGAGUAUUUUUAAAAAAUGUGUCACCUUCUUAAAAUUUGUCAAGACAUGUGUCACUUAAGAAUAAUUAACUCUAAAAAAUAUUUAAAAUAUAAAUACAUAAUGCAAAUGAUCAUAUAGCUCAAAGAUAUUUGUGUUCGUGAACAAAUUUGCCGGGAAGGACUGGCGGAUUUUAAAAUUUCCCAAUCUUUUCAUGUUUGAUUCAAAGUUUAAAGUGAGGCUUGCUGGUGAAUCAAACUCAACAGGCAUAAAACGGCAGCGUUUUUGUGUAUUAUAAGCAUUAAAGGUCACGGGCAGAGCACGUGUUUAUCUGCUUAAUAAUCUUAAGCUUCAAAACGGCAGUGCGUCUUUGUCGUUUAAACCAAACUUUAAGUGACACACGUGGUGGUCAUGUGAUCUUGCUUAAGCCAAUUCGGUAAAGCCGUUAUGCAACAUUUCCACAAGCUGUGCAUUCUGGGUUUGUUGGUUUGUUGCUCUGGUAGCUAUAAAGCUGACUGAAGUAACAGUUUUGAUUCGUUCGUUAAUAAAAAAAUUGAGAGAUAUGGAUUAGAGAGAGUAGUUAAACUUGUUCUCUGUAGUCUCUUGUGCAAGCUGUGUAAAAGAUCCUCCAUUGUUGUUCAAUAAAAGCUCUCCAAAAAGCUUCUCCCGUGGAUGUAGGUUGUGCCAUUCUUGGUGCAACUGAACCACGUAAUUGUUCUUUGUGUUGGCUGUGUUUGCUUCUGUUCAUUUUAGUUUCUUGAUUCUUUGUUUAAGAAGAAAUUUCCCGUGUUAAAGAAUUCUUUCUGGGUUUAAUCUUCUCACUGUGCAACUUGAUCAAACCUGAUUAAAGAUCCUGGGAAGUGGUCGUGUCUUGCUUAGGUUAUAACCAGACACAAUCACUACAUUUAAUCCGAUGCGUUUAUUUGUCCUUGUUUUCUGCAAUUUUUAAAUCCAAGAAGUUUAGAUUACAAGAUUGUUGCACUAGUUCAUAAUCACAAACUUGUGAUUUGUUCGUUCGUUCGUUCGUUUGUUUAUUUAUUUAUUUAUUUUCCUCUUCGGAUAUUUCAAUGUUAAGAUUAGAUGUGAUGGAGUUGAUUACCACGUUUUUUUUCUCUUCUCUAAUGAAAUUAGUCACGAAGGCGGUCAUUGUAAUAUCUCUAUGCUGCAAAUUUGAUAAAUCAAGAAGACUGGAUAAAAAAUGGUUGAUGAAAUUGUUUGAAUAUUUCUAAGGUGUGGUUACAGUCAGAAAUCAAUUACCUGACUUUUUGGUUGUGUUUGGCUGUCAAGGAAGUGAAAGAAAAUCAGAGUUAAGAAAAUUAGGACAAAUUUUAUUAGUUUUUGUUUAAUGAGGAAAAAAAAUCUUGUUUAAUCUUAUGUUGCGUGUUAGGAAAUAUUAAUUUGUAAUUUGAAAAAGUGAUAAUUUACUGUGAUCUAAUUUUAAUUUUCCCUGUAAUCUAGUUUUAUUUAUUUGAAAUACUGGGUCAGACAUAAUGUUAAAUAAUUUAUUUAGGAUAUUGCAUCAAAUAUAAUUUUAAAUUGUUUGACUUGAAAACAGUUUUUGGAAUUUAUAUCAAACAAAUUUUUGGAUAUUAAAAAUUAUAAAACAUCGAACUCAGUGAAGGUUAGUUCUAAAUAGCAAUCAAACCAACCUCAUUUUCCUAUUGGCAGUCCAUGCCAAAUUGCAAAUAUAAAAGCUUCAUUCAUUCUGAACAUUAAAUACAUCUUGAUAAUUAAAAGAUGGAGUAUAUUUGAUCAAUAUUAUAUCAAUUUGAUGAACAUUAUAAGGGAUUUUAUUGAAAUAUCCAAAAUACGAACUACUUCAAUUUCACAUUUACAUACAGAAAUACAAAACAUUUGGAACAUUAGGAAAAUUAAAUAUAAUCUUAGGAAAAUUAAAUUUUCUCCAAUAUAUUAUUAAUUUACUUUCUUAAAUCAAUAACAACUACAAAUUCUUAAACUAUGUUUCGCUGAAAACAACUUGCUGUUUUAGAAUAUAUUUAACGAAUGAGCCAACUUGAAUGGUGUGUUGUGCGGCCGGUAUGCUUCAUAAAAAUUGCAUACCAAAACAAACCAAAAAAAAAAAUAAUUCUAGGUCUGUAUGAAAAAAAAAUUAAAAAUAGCAAAAACGUGAAGAAUUUGGCGCAAAAUUGCAUUCAUUUUAAGGGGUUUGAUAUUAGUUUGGGAUUGUAAAUUAUUAAUUCCGGUUUGGCUUAUGUGCAUAUAAUCAUUAAAAUAGAAUGCCUUCAGGCUAUGGCUGAAUGGUCUGUAUAUAAUUCUUAAAAUGGAAUACUUUAAGCCGAAUGGUUUUCAAAUAACUUUAUUUAGUUAAGUUAACUACUUGAAUUCGAAUAUGGGAAAAAGGAGGGGAAAAAAUUAAAAGCUGGUCUAUUGGCGCCCCUCUAAUCGCCUCAGAAAACUCCUUUUUCAAUUAUAUUUAUUUUACUUCCAAAAAUCGCUCUUUUUUUUUCCAAAGACAUUCUUCUAAUUUUUCAUUUAAUUUUUUUUUUGGUUAAAACUCAAAGUAGUAUUGUGUUAUUUUUCAUUUCUUUUACAAAUUUAUUGUUGUUCUACGUACAAAUUAAAAAGUUUUCUAGGUGAUAAAGUUUUGUAUGAACAAAAAUAACACAUUUUUUAUAUUGUAGUUUGAAAGUAAUUUUAAGGACAAAAAUAUUUAAUCAAUAAGAAACAGAAAAAAAAAAUAGAUUGCUCUAAAAUUUGUACAAUUUAUUUUAGUUAGAAAAGAAGUAAUAGGUAGAAAAAAAAUUUUUUAAAAAAGAUUGAUUAUGAAUGUAAGAAAUUUGUUGAAAAAAAAAUCAAUUUGUGUUUAAUUCUUUUUUCUUCCUUAAUUGUAAUUUUAUUUGAAAUGGAGUUUUAUAAAAAUAAUGUAAUGGGUGCCAAUAGCUUCACUCAAAAUUAAUUUGCGCUUUGCUCGCCUGUAGAAAAAUUAAAAAAAUAAAAAUAUUCAUAAAAUUCAUAAACUGGAAUAACAAAUAUACCUCUACAUUUUAAGAAAUCAGUGAACGAGAGAACUUCAAUAUAACGUUUUUAUUGGCUGAGUUUAUCACAAGAAACAAUAAUAAAGUGAAAUCAAUGUGUAUUUUAUACGGCUGUGAGGGCUAAUGUCCGUAUCUAUAACUAGAAAUUGCUAAAUGCAUUGGAGCAUUUCAUAAACUUCUCCAUGGGAAACAAUUUGGAUUAGAGCAAUAAUUUGGAAAAUAGAACUUUCAAAUUGUUUUUAAAUUAGCUUAGGGAUAUACAACAAGAGACUUAAGCUAGAUUCCAGAUAAAAUCAGAACAAUUAAUUCACUUUGCAUAAUCUAUGAGUUACUACCUCAUAAGGUCAAACUGAGACAUCCCGAAGAAUGCAAUCGGUACGAAGAAGAUGAGAGCAUAUAUUUUAUGGUCCUGAGUGAAUCUGGCAGAGCUCAGUAAAUAUGAUUCUGGUCUCCGAGCUUUACGCGCCGUUCUCUUUUGACGACAGAAUGGAGCUUACGGUGCAAUAGAAUCUGAAAUUAUGUGUACUGCUUUUAGUUCUUUGUUUGGUAAUAUAGUCACCAACAGCAAAAUGACUAAUCAACAAUGCAAGGCGCUCUACGUUGUGUUAUGAUAUGAAUGCUGUUUGCUAUGUCUAAUCAAGAUCAGAGGAUGUAACUAGACGAAGAAAUCAUUUUUCUAACCUCUAGAAGAAGCAUCUGCUUCUAAAGGAGUUUCUGAUGUUGGCGAAGACGGGUAAUCACUCACAGACUGCCUAGCAUCAAUCAUCAUUGCAAUGACCUCUCUCAUAGUUGGCCUAUUAAGCGGUGAAGUGCUGCUGCAGAACAAUGCAAUCUUCAGAAAUAAUGUCAUCUCCUCAACUGUCCUUUUUGCGCUCAGAUCCAACCUUUUGUCAAAUAAUUCCGAGGUGGGCACCAUUUCAUGAAUUGAUCUUCUCACCCAAGUGACAAGAUCACCUCCCAGCUCUAGAGAUUGAACAGGAGACUUCCCAGUUAUUAGUUCCAACAGAACAACCCCAAAACUGUAGAUGUCACACUUCUCUGUCACUUUCAUUGUGUAAGCAUACUCUGCAAUGAAAAUCAAGCAAUUUUCAUGUUAGAACUGCCAAAUACUAGGUAAAAUAGUGAAUACUGUAUGUUUGUUUUGACAAUCAUCUUUGUAUUUGAGGCAAUUAUAUAAAUUUUGCAGCAUGAAAUGUGUUAUAGAAUACACAUCAUUUGCACCCAAUUAAGGUAUUGGCCCAGUUCUUUGUCUAAAUUCUAUAUGAAAGAUAUAAAUAAAUCAACUACAAGGAAAAUGAAGUUCACCAAAUUUGAAGAUGUAUACAGCAUUUUAACUGAGCGAAUUACACAACAAAAGAGAAUUCUUCAUAGAGAAAUUACCAGGGAAAUUAAGUUUGAGAGAAAAUUAGGGGGAGAGGGAGGUAAGAUGACGAUGUUACCUGGGGCAAUGUAGCCAUAUGAACCUGCAAUUGCAGACAUGGAUUUUGAGUAGGGCAAGUCAAUUAACUUGGCCAAGCCAAAGUCUCCGACAUGAGCUUGAAAUUCUUCAUCCAAUAAAAUGUUGUUUGACUUUAUAUCCCGGUGAAUGAUGUGAGGCCUACAAUCAUAAUGAAGAUAGCACAGACCCUCUGCUGCCCCAAGAGCAAUUCUAUAUCGAGCAUCCCAGUCCAGCAAACAUGUUUGCUUAUUACCAUGAAGCUGUUCUCCGAGACUUCCAUUUUCCAUGUACUCGUAAAGUAGAAGAUUAGAGUCCUGGUGGUAGCAGAAGCCAUAGAGUUUCACAAUAUUACGGUGUCUAAUCUUUCCGAGGGUUGAUAUCUCCGCAAGGAAACUGUUGUCAGCAGUUGCUCCUUCACCACGCAACUUGAUCUUCUUGACGGCAAUCACCUCACCAUUAGCCAGAGUAGCCUUGUAUACAGUGCCACAAGCUCCCCUUCCUAUAACAGCACCUUCUGAAAAAUUGCCAGUCGCUUCCAAAAGAUUGUGGUAUUUGAAGCCUUCCUUGGGGAAGUAAUAGUUAUCUAUAACUUCAGGAUUUUUCUGUUCUUCCAGUGGAACAAAUGCAGGCUUGCGGCACUUCAUAGCCCAACAAAUGCCUAUGAUAAAAGACAAAGAGAUUAACCCAACAAUGACGGAAAUGAUGCUUACUAAUUUCUCCUUGGUGGAACCCCCUUUUAUCCAGUUCUUUUUAGGAGUAUGAGAAGGGGGCAUCAGUUGAUGACAAUCUGACCCUAGCAUGCACAAGCCCCUAUUUCCAGCAAAAUUUGAGGAAUCUAUCCUUCGAAAUACAGUGGUAUUUGGUACUGUUCCCACCAGGUUGUUGUUUGAAAGGUUGCAGACCAGGAGGCUCAUCUGCUCACCCAUUGAUGCAGGAAUUUCACCAAUAAGCUGAUUAUCAUCCAAGUAGAGAGCUUCCAACAUCUGCAAGUUCCCCAACUCAUAAGGAAUCACACCAGAUAGAUUAUUAUGGGAAAUGUUGAGUGCAAUCUGGAGAGCUGUAAGCUGGCCCAAGGCAACAGGAAUGCUGCCAGAAAAAAUGUUUCCCCCCAUUUGUAAUUCUGUGAGUCGGGCCAGACCUCCUAAGGAACUGGGAAUUGCUCCUGUUAAUUUGUUGUCAGAAAGCUUCAGGAGUUCCAGAUUCACUAGCUGUCCAAGUUCUUCUGGAGCAGAGCCAGUGAACUGGUUUCUACUGAGAUCAAGCCUCUGGAGAUUUACACAAUUUCCCAAUUCAUGGGGGAUAGUCCCAGAGAGGCUAUUUGAAGAAAUGUUAAAUGUAACGAGGUGCUCCAGAUUUCCGACCUCAGAAGGUAUGUACCCAACGAAAUAGUUUUCUGACAAAUGCAACCUCUCUAAAUUCCGAAGUUUGCCAAUCUCUGGGGGUAUUAGUCCAGAGAAUCGGUUCUGAUAAAGUUCCAGAGCAGAGAGGUUUUGAAGAUUAUAAAACUCAAUAGGAAGACUUCCUGUCAGCUGGUUUUGUCCUAGCAUUAGCUGCAUAAGAGACCUGCAGGUUUUUAGACCAGGAGGAAUGUUUCCAGACAAUCUGUUUGAUCCAAGGCUCAAAAAUAUCAGUUUCUGAUACAUGCAAAGAUGUGGAGGUAUGCUACCAUCAAGAUUAUUCAUAGACACGUCAAGUACUGAGAGGUGACUGUUGACCCCAAUGUGAGGCGGGAUAGUUCCCUCGAGAUGAUUAUCAAAAAGUUGCAAAUCCACCAGAUAUGUAAGGUUCUGAAACUCCAAAGGAAUUGUACCCGUCAGAUUAUUUAUGGACAAGUCCAAUUUAUGAAGUUGUGUCAACUGACCAAGCUCUCUAGGAAUGCUUCCCUGAAGCAUGUUUUCAAAUAGUUGAAGCAAGCAGAGAUUAGGAAUCAGACCCAACUCUCUCGGGAUGAACCCAGUCAACUGAUUUUCAGAAAGAUCUAUCUCGACAGCACUUGUACAGUUCCCUAGUUCGUGAGGAAUGGUACCAUUCAACACAUUGGUGUAAACGUACAAUUUUUUUAGCCGGGACAACUUCCCAAGUUCUUUUGGAAGCCCUCCACUAAAAGAAUUUUCAUGCAAGGCAAGCAACUCAAGACUUUGGAUAUUUCCAAUUGUGGGAGGUAUCUCACCAGAUAAAUGGUUUUGCCAAAGGAUCAAAUCAGUAAGAUUCCUAAGUUUCUCAAGCUCACUUGGAAGAAAACCUUCUAAACUAUUUUGUGCCAACCCCAAAACCUCUAAGCCCUCACACUCACUGAUUUCCGGUGGUAUUGGACCAGAAAGGGAAUUAUGGCCUGCCCUGAUAACUCUAAGCUGCCUCAACUUACUGAUCGAUGCAGGAAUUGCACCAGUGAGAUUAUUACUAUAGAUUACUAGUUCUUCUAGUGAAGUUAAAUUUCCUAUCUCCUCAGGAAUUUCACCAAAAAUGUAGUUCUCACACAAAUAAAGCUUUCUAAGAGUGUUAAUGAAGAACAGCUGGAAUGGUAUUACCCCAUGAAGCCUAUUCGUGCAAAGGUCAAGAAUCUCUAAACUACUACAGUUAGCAAGGUCUGUAGGAAUGGAACCAGUGACAAAAUUCAUGGAAAUAUUGAACUCAACUAAUCGAGGAAGAUCACAAAUGCGAGGAGAUAAAAUACCAGAUAAGUUAAGGCCAUGGAGAUCAACAGAAGUUACCUUAAAAUCGGUACACUCUACACCAAUCCAAUUGCAUGGAGUCAUGUCUGAUGAAUUCCAGCUCUCAAGAUUGUUGCUAGGGUCGAUAAGGGAAGCUUUAAACUCCAAAAGGGAAACACCCUCUUCCGUUAAAGAUGUUACUGAGACGUUACUAAAACAAAAUAUCAAUGCAAAGUAAAACAGCUUCUGGGUAUGUGAUGAAAUCCCCUGUCUAGCCAUUUAUGACUCAAAAAAUCAUUAAAUGGGAUAAAAUCUUAAAGAAAAAAUUAAACUUUUUAGAAGAUUAAAGAUUAUUCCUAACUUCCUAAGUGUGAAUGACAAGAUUAGUAAUACUAAAAACAGACUUCAACACUAAUAAUGCAGACGCAUGAGGAAAGUUUAAAUUCCAUGUCAAGUGACCAUUGAAUUGAACCCAAAACCUUAAGAUAUAAGCUAAAGAUUCUAACUAAGCAAUUCAACAAGCAAAGGCCUCAGAAGAAAGUGAAGUGAAGUGGAUUGCAUAAGUGAGAGCUAGAAAUGAACAAGAAUGGAGCCAAAGCUAAAUAAAUGAAAGAUAAAAUGACAGUUAUCCAACAGAGUCAUAAAGCCUAAAAACCUGGAGAGAAAAAUAAACACAACCCAUGAACCGAAACCAUUAAUGAAAGUCUAAGAAGAUAGAUAGAAUAGACAAAGACAGAGAGAGAGACAGCAACCAAAUUUUGCACAUUGAUUGAUUGAUGAAGGCAAGAGACUGAAGAAAGACCACGAGAGUCACGAUCAUUUUAGCAGUGUGUAAAUGCUUUGCACUUUUGGAGUCAACUCUACACUUUACAGAACACAAUAGCGAAGUGGUUCUUUAAUUUCUUUCUUUCUUUUCAUUCUUCUUGUUAUUUGUUAUGCUACUUGCAUUGCAUUUUGGCCAUUUUCAAUGCACCAUUUGAUGUUGUUGGUGGUGGGGAUUUUUUCCUUUUCGUGUUUAUGAUAAUACAAAUGGAUGUGAAAGAGACGAGGCGUUGGAAUUCAGAGGUCAUGAUCUCUGCCAUUGCUAUUGUUGUUGAUGAGUCUGACAAUUUGGGAUUUAAAGCAGUCUCGAAUUUCAUCAUUUGCUUGUGGACUUCUUUUCUUUUUUUCUUUCUAGUAGUCAUCGUAGUCAGUGCGGCUUCUCAAGUGGAUUGACUCUCUCUCUCUCUCUCUGUGGGCUCUUCUUGCCGACUGAUGCUGUAAUUGCUGCUGUUCAGUGAUCACCAGCUGCUGACCAUAUGAAUUCGGCUUUGCUUUUAAUGUUGUCACGUACCCACAAUACAAAUUUCAUUUUCACACGCAACGUGAAGACUUCAGUUUGGUUUUGUCCCGCAUCAUCGGUUACGAACAUGAAUAGUUGUUAAGGGAUGAGGAUGAGUUGGGUACGCUGGCAUAAAAUUUCGUGCCAACGUGUACUUUUAAAAUAUUAUAAAGUAAAAUAAACGACCGCCUAUAAAAUGUAGAGAAAUCUACGGAAUAGGAUUUUUUUUGCUGAUUUGAAUUUUAUUAAUUUUUUAAAGAUUUUUUAUUAUGUAUUUUUUAGUAGUAGUGUAUGAGUAAAAUUUAAUUUUUUUAUUUUUUAUUUAUUAACGAUCAACCAGUAAUUAAAUUAUUUGCUCAGAACAUAAUCAGAUCAGAGAUAAUCUUGAUCCGUAAUUUACACCACAUGCAACUUAUUUGAUAAAAAUGAAUUUAAACAAACUCUUUCUCUUGGGAUUAAGGGUGCGUUUGGGAUUAAGGUGCUGUAGCUUUUAAGCUACAGCUGCUGUGAAAAAAAAGCUGUAAUUAUGAAAUAAAAGUUAAUAAUAUAUAGUAAAUAUAAAUUUUAAAUAAUAAUUUUAUCAAAAUUAUUAAAGAUAUAAUAAAUUUUAUAUUAUACAAGUGAAAAAUUAUAUCAACAUAACUUAAAAGCUACAGCAGCUAGUGUUUACCAAAAACUUUAGUACUGUAGCUUUUAAGCUACAGCUGUCCAACCUCAAUCCCAAACGCACCCUAAAGAACAAGAAUAGGGAUUCAUAUAUUAUUUGAUAUUGAGAUAUUAUAACAUUUAAGUCAUAAUAUUAUAAAAAAAUAUUGCAAUUAUGGAUGGAACUGAUUUAUAUGGAAAGAAGGCGGAUGAACAAUUGAUCCUGUAAAAAAAAAAAUUAGUCUUUAUUUUCAUAUUAACUCUUUUACAAAAUUAUAUUUGAUUGAGGAAAAAAUUAUAAACAAAUAUGGUAUUGGAGUCAAUUUUAUAAAUUAUUGAUUUUUAUUAUUAGUUUUCUCACCAUUGAAUUAAGUUUUAGUCUGCCUCUGCAAAAUAAAAAAAAAAUUGAUAGCCUAGGAUAAAUAUUAUUUUUAAAUAAAAACUUCAACAAAAAUAAUAAAAUUAUUAUAGUUUUUUAUUAUGAAAUGUAGUUAAAAUUAACUUAACAUUCAAAUGGUUAAAAUUAACUUAACUUUUAAAUUACAAUAAUAAAUAUUUAUCAAAUACUUUAAAAUUGUAGCUUAAAAGCUACAUUUACGCACUCUCAAUGCCAAACAAACCCUUAAUCUCUAAUUCACAAGGAUGGGCCCACUAUUUUUUUUUAGGCUAAUUUAUAUAUUAAUUGUGAAUUUUUUUGUGCAGGUGGGUGUUAUAUAAACACCUACAUCAAGUGGGUGACAUCAAAACUCGUAGAAAAAUACAUAUAUUUAAUAAGGAAUGACAACAUUGCAAUAAAUAAGCUUAUAUUAUUAAAAUUGUACAAAAAAUUUUUGUGAAGUUUUUUAUUUUAUUAAUAAAGUAGGCAAAAUAUUUGAAUAAUUUAAUGUACCAAAAGGAAGAAGAUCGACUGAAAAGGAAAUAAACCAUGAAAUUAUCAAAAUGUUAUUAAUUAUUACUCUAUGUCAAUUUGUAUCUUUCUAAUACUAGUGAUGAUGUUAUAAUAAAUCGGUACACUUUUCUGUCAAUUAGACUAAACCAUAACAUUUUUAUGAUAAGUUAAAGUAGUUAAGUUUAUCCAAUAAAUAUAUAAUUUAGUCAUGUUACAAAACAAGUUUGUAACUCUCGUUGCAUGGAACUUAGAUAUAAGUGUAAGAAUUGUGAAAUAGAAGUUUGUAAAUUUUGUUUAGUUAAAGCUUACGAAAACCAGCUAGUAGAACUUUAGUACUGUAGCUUUUAAGCUACAGCUGUCCAACCUCAAUCCCAAACGCACCCUAAAGAACAAGAAUAGGGAUUCAUAUAUUAUUUGAUAUUGAGAUAUUAUAACAUUUAAGUCAUAAUAUUAUAAAAAAAUAUUGCAAUUAUGGAUGGAACUGAUUUAUAUGGAAAGAAGGCGGAUGAACAAUUGAUCCUGUAAAAAAAAAAAUUAGUCUUUAUUUUCAUAUUAACUCUUUUACAAAAUUAUAUUUGAUUGAGGAAAAAAUUAUAAACAAAUAUGGUAUUGGAGUCAAUUUUAUAAAUUAUUGAUUUUUAUUAUUAGUUUUCUCACCAUUGAAUUAAGUUUUAGUCUGCCUCUGCAAAAUAAAAAAAAAAUUGAUAGCCUAGGAUAAAUAUUAUUUUUAAAUAAAAACUUCAACAAAAAUAAUAAAAUUAUUAUAGUUUUUUAUUAUGAAAUGUAGUUAAAAUUAACUUAACAUUCAAAUGGUUAAAAUUAACUUAACUUUUAAAUUACAAUAAUAAAUAUUUAUCAAAUACUUUAAAAUUGUAGCUUAAAAGCUACAUUUACGCACUCUCAAUGCCAAACAAACCCUUAAUCUCUAAUUCACAAGGAUGGGCCCACUAUUUUUUUUUAGGCUAAUUUAUAUAUUAAUUGUGAAUUUUUUUGUGCAGGUGGGUGUUAUAUAAACACCUACAUCAAGUGGGUGACAUCAAAACUCGUAGAAAAAUACAUAUAUUUAAUAAGGAAUGACAACAUUGCAAUAAAUAAGCUUAUAUUAUUAAAAUUGUACAAAAAAUUUUUGUGAAGUUUUUUAUUUUAUUAAUAAAGUAGGCAAAAUAUUUGAAUAAUUUAAUGUACCAAAAGGAAGAAGAUCGACUGAAAAGGAAAUAAACCAUGAAAUUAUCAAAAUGUUAUUAAUUAUUACUCUAUGUCAAUUUGUAUCUUUCUAAUACUAGUGAUGAUGUUAUAAUAAAUCGGUACACUUUUCUGUCAAUUAGACUAAACCAUAACAUUUUUAUGAUAAGUUAAAGUAGUUAAGUUUAUCCAAUAAAUAUAUAAUUUAGUCAUGUUACAAAACAAGUUUGUAACUCUCGUUGCAUGGAACUUAGAUAUAAGUGUAAGAAUUGUGAAAUAGAAGUUUGUAAAUUUUGUUUAGUUAAAGCUUACGAAAACCAGCUAGUAGAAAUAGAAACACAAGUUUCUAGGCAAACCAUAGCGACCCAAGAUUUAGAAAUAGAAAGAUUAUAGUUAGAAAUAGAAAGAUUAAAAUUUCAAUUAAAAAAAAAGAUUGAAUUUACGCAAAAAAAAUUUAUAUUAGAAUAAAACCAAAAUAAGCUGAAAGAUGAACAAAUUAUUGAGGUGACAGAUGAAUAUCUAGAUCAUUAGACGAAGACCAAAGCAACCUUUUGUUCAAUCUUCACCACUUUUACCUCAAAUAACCUAUUCAAUAUUAUUAGUAAGAUUAAACUUUAGAAAUGUUAAUACCAUAGAUACAUUAGCCAUGAUAAACACAGGAAGUGGCAAGUCCCAUAUAGAUAUUAAUCUUGUCCAAGUAGAUUCUUUGCAAAUAUUGUUGCAACCAAUAUUUGCUGAACAAAUGGAUGGAACCUUAUUAAAAUAUGAUAAAUGUGCUAGAGAUGCUCAAAUCAGAUUUUACACAAUAGAAAAUAAAUUUAAUGAAUAUUAUCCCUUACCACAAGUAUGGGUUAGUCUAAUAAAUCAUAAAUUUAAAUUUAUCUUAGGAUUAGAUUUUAUAUGUAAUAGUAAAGAUAAUAUGUUAAUCAUUAGUAAUUAUGUCACAUUUUUUAAAAGAAAAGUUGUCAAUUUUUGUCUUUCUCGUCACAUACAACGUCAGAUUGCCACGAGUGAGAUUUAUUAGUCUAGGAUGUGGGAGCGGGGCAAAACUACCGCACUCAGUUAAGCUUUGACAACUCAAAUACUGAUUUAUUUAUUUUAUUUUUAUUUUUUUUGGGUAUGAGUUAUGGGUUACGUUUCUUAAGUCUAUUAAUAUUUAAAAUGUUCAAUGACAAAGCUGGAAAUGUAAUAAGACAUUUGAGAUGUUCAACGAUAAAACUUGAAAAAUAUAAUAAAAUAACUUUGGUGCAAUAUAUUGAUGGAUUUAAAGCUCUGUGGAGAGAAUAAUGGCAUUGUUAAUUAAGAUAAUUGUUCCUAUCAGCUGUUUGAUGUGAAAUUAAUUGGUGUUUAUAAAUUGAGAUUUAGGAUCAGUAUUAAACUGAUCUUUUUAUUAACUUCUUGAAAAUAUACAAUUGAUAGUUAUUAGGUAAGAAUAUAAAACUAAUUAAAUUCUAAUAGUAUAUUAUUAUACAUGCACAUUGGCAAAAGAUUAUAAAGAAGUAAGCACAGAUAAACUGAAAAUUGAAUCUAAAUCUGGCUUAUAGUCAGGUACUAAUAAUGAGAUAAAGGCUAUGCAUUGAGUAGCAUCACUCACGCUGUGUUCCGGUAAACGUCGUUUGUAGCAGCUCUUUUGUCUAGUCACGGAAUUUUUAUUUUGGGCCUUGUAGAACAGUAAAACGACGAAGCACUCUACAAUUUUUCUUUUAUGAUUUUUUUUUUUUAAGUACAACUAGGACAUCAACAUAGCUAGAUUCAGCAGUAGCAUUAGCCAAUCUGUUUGAAUAUGGGCCACGGGCCGUGAAGUCUUGGCUGACGGCAAAACUGCACUGGAACAAGUUGUAAUGAGUUUACAAACAUAUUUUUAAAAAGUUGGCAAAAGUUGUAGUAUUUCUUUUUUUUUUUUUCUUUUUUUGUACUUUUUUAUGAGAAGGGCUUCCAUUUCAAAAUUAAAGGAGUGUUAAAUUGGUGGCAAGUUAGAUUUAUUUUGGUCAUAUUGAGGUUCUAUUUAGUAUUGUGGUUGGACUAUUAUAACUUAAUCUACAAUAUUAAAAUAUUUAAUAAUACUUAAUGUUAUGGCUUAAAACUUUAAAAGCUGAAUUGAUUUUAUUCAUUACACUUCUAUGAUAAAAAACUUAAAAUAUUUUCUGAUAUUUUUUGCUUUUGCCCUAAUUAAUAUUAACACAGAUAGUUAAGCGUAAUCCAUAAAUGUCUUCGUAUGUGGAAUAUUUCGGAGUUUCAAUGGAACUCUUUAUGGUCUGCUGCUGCAACGCCGCUUGGAAUCCGUACAUCCUUCUAUGUUGAAAUCUUAUCAGUCAUUGUUUAUGUUGAGAUUGUUCGUUAGAAAGGCUAAAACAGGUUUAGGCUACACACACAAACUAUUACGGUGUGUUUCUUUCAGAGUAGAUGAUUAAAAAUUACUGCAGGGCAAAUCUUGGUCAUGGGUUGAUCGGAUCUAACACAGUGGGAUGAGCCACUUGGAUAUCCCUAAAUACUGAAUUUGUAAUUCUCGCAUGUAAUUCGACUAUUUCAUUUUUUUAAUCUAUAAAUUUUGGCCUCUUAAUGGAAAAGAAAAAAAAAAUGAUCCACUUUGUCUUAUUUUUCAAAUUAAUAAUCAAAUGAAAGUUAAAAAGAAAAAAGAAAAAAGUGAAUCAAAUAUUCUUGAGAAAACAAAGAGUUAAGCAUCAAGGUGUCUUGAACGAAAGGAUAUAUCAUCAUCUCGAUUCAUUUACAAUAGUAAAUCACAUGUGUAGAAAAAUAAAUAUGAACUCCCCCAAAAUUGAAAAAUCACCACCUCUCUCUACUCUCUAAAACUCCUCACUAAAUUUCAAUCCUAAUAAAAUUACACCCAAAAGAAAAAAUCUAAGCACAUUUCGUAGCCUUGUUAUUAACAUAAUAAAACUGAGAGUAAUUGCUAUUACUUCGAUUUAAGCUUAAAUUAUGGUAAUUUCUAGACGCCUGAUUAUUUCUCUUCGCAAACAGGACAAGUUUCUUCCACCAGCAACGCCUGUUCUUAUGGGAACCGAUCCCUGUCACGUGCCUCACGUGCGACCUUGUUCUCCUAACGAGCCCGCGCACCUCCGGGGUCUUGUAGUUUCUGAUCAACGGCCAUUUGAUACCAUAAAAAAACGGGUGCCGUUUAAUAUCCGUCGCACCCCUGGCGCACCCUAGCCUCUCCCGCGGAUCUUUAACCAACAACUUGUCGAUCAAAUCCCUCGCAUCCGCUGUUCCUUCCUCUUCCUUAUUACCCACGUGGCACGCCACCCGGCUGCUCGACGCUAUAUUGCGCAGGGUGCUCUCUUUGCUCCCUCCUCUAAACGGCGUCGACCCGUACAUCAACUCGUAAAUAAGGAUCCCAAACGCCCACCAGUCAACGCCGUUACCGUGGCCGUUACCAGAAACCAACUCGGGCGCUAAGUACUCGUGCGUCCCAACGCAUGACCUUGAAAACGCCGCCAACGGCUCCGCCACAAACUCCAUGACAUUCUCUUGCCUCCUUUUCGCUGAACCAAAACCAUUACAACUCUUCCUCCUCCUCCUCCUCGUCGCGGACCCCACGUUAGUUUCGACUAAAGUGGGAACGACGUCGGAUUGGAAGCACAAAUCGAAAUCUGACAGCAUGAUAUGUCCGUCUUCACGGAGCAAGAUAUUUUCUGGUUUCAGAUCACGGUAAAUAAUCCCGAGUGCAUGGAGAUACUCCAAAGCGACGAGCACUUCAGCGGCGAAGAAUCGAACGGCUUGGAGGGAGAAGCGGUUAUUGGGCUGCUUAGGGAGAAGAGAAUGGAGGUCUCCAUUGGGACAGUAGUCAAUCAAGAAACAGAUGUAAUGAGAAACUUCGAGGUGGGCGUAGAGAGUAGGAAGAAAAGGGUGGUCAAGCAUGGAGAGAAUCUCGGCCUCCAUUUGUACGUGGGAGAGUUUCUUGGCGCUGAGCAAAUCUUUAUCGACGACUUUGAGGGCGAAGCUGGCGCUGGUACAAUCUCUGAGGUGGCAAAGGAAGACGCGUCCGAGGUUUCCGGUGCCGAGGUGGCGGACGAGUUUUAGGUGGCGGAGGUGGAGCUUGCCAUCGGAGGAGAGAUUCGUCGCGGCUUUUAUGGCCGACCAAUGUAAGUCUGAUUUACGAUGGUGGUGGAGUGAUGAGGUGGAUGAUGUAGCAGGGGUUGUUGUUGUUGUUGUUGAAGAAUGUGGGGCGCAGCCGGAGAGAAGGGAUUCGUUGAAGCUGAGUGUGACACUGGAGCGUGCGAGACUUGAGCGGGCGCUGGAGGAAGUGAAGGUUCGGUCGGUAGUGGUGGAUGUGAAGCUGAGUUCGAGAUCAGUGUCCGGAAAAAUAGUUUCAUCGUCCAUGAUCACUUAAAUUGAUUUGAUUGAAUGAGUGAUGAAAAGAUGCAGGCUUUUUGUUUAGCCAGGCUUUUUGUUUAUUGCUUAUGAAGAAAGGAGAGAGAGAAUUAUAGAAAGAAAGAGACAGAUAUAACAGGGUGGGAGGUUCGGGGUGAAUUAAAUAUGUGUGUUUGGUUGACCAAAUUGCAUGUAGUAGAGCGGAAACAGAGAGAUAAAAUUAUCUAGGGAUUAUAUCCCCAAUCUUUGUAGAAAAACUACUCAAAGAUCAAAAGCUUAAAUGUUUUAUCACUUAAGUCCUCAUGUCUUACAUUUUUUUCCUCUUUUUACUCAUUUGUUUUAUUAAGAGGCUGUUUGUUUUUUUUGACUUAAUUAAUUUAAUUUCAAUCAGUUAAGACAUUAAGUACAUUUAUUUUGAACUUAGAAAAAAAUUUCAGUCAUUAAAUUAUUAAGCUAAUUGUUUUUAGUUUUUUACUUAAUUUAAAAAGUUUGAAUGAUAUCAUUAAAAAUAUUCUUUAAAAUAUUCUUAUUUAAUUAGUUAAUUUUCAUCCUUACCAAAGUAAAAUUUAAUAAUUAGCAUUAUUACUCAUCUUUAUAACUUGUGAUAAUACAGUGGAAGACUAUUAUUAUCUUUUUAUUUUUUUCAAAUUUGUUUUUUAUCUUUAUAAAUUUUUUCAAUAUUUUUCACAUAAAAACAUCAUAAACUACAAUAAAAUUGAUCAAUAUAGAUUAUUUUAGGAUAUAAAGAGUUGUAUUCAAUUGAAUAUGAUUUAUAUUAUGAUAAUAUAUUAUCUUGUUUAAGUUCUUUGAGAUAUUUAUUGCUUAUUUAAUAUUUAUAAUUACUAAGGGUACAAAUAUAAAAAUACUAGUUUUCAGAUAUUUCAAGUUGAAAUACAAACAACUUAAUAUUUUUAUUUUUAGCAAUUCAGACAAAAAUAACAAACAUAUCAUUCAGAUUCAAAUAUUCAGUUUUAUUUAGAAUUCAUACUAAUUUAGAUCUAUUCAAAUUUCAAAAAAAAAAAAAAAUACUAUCUAAGUGUACAUGGCUACUAGAAAUGAAGGGGAUUUUUACCUUGACAACUAAGAAUAGACUAUAGAGAAUUUCCUCAAGAAAGCUUACUAUCUCAUACAAAGUCACUCUCAUCAAUCAGCCUCGUGUGCUUGUUUAUAAGCAUCUUUCUUGAAUUAGAUAUAUCUUAGAUGUAAUCUCGUCCAUCUAUUUUAUUGGAUCAAUCUUGGCCUUUCAAUCAAGUCAUGUACCCUUUUAAAGAAGCAUGCGAUUCAAGAGUCAUAUACAUCACAUGUUUUCCUUAAUUAGGAUUGAUGUUCUGGAUGUUCCACUUCUAGAACCAAUUUAUGCUAUGAAUUUAGUAGACAUGUAACUCGGUGUGAGCCCUUUGAAAAUAGGGCACCUACGAGAGAGAAUUAAGAUGUGGGGGUAUUGUAGUCAAAUGAAAGUAAUUAUCUCUUAAUUUACAAAUGAACCAGAUGUACUUGAAGUUUUUUUUUUUUUUUUUGAAUUAGAUGUACUUGAAGUUUAAACAACUUAUAAGCAUUAAUUAACCAUGUAAAAGAAAUUCAUAAUGAAUGUUUGAAUUUGUUAAUUCUCUUUUCUUUUGAGAAUAUACACAACAAUUACCAAUCCCUUAUUAAUAAUGUUAGGCCACUUAAAAUUGCUUUGGGACUCUAAAUGUGGUAAUUAAUUUUAGACCGGAAUUUUUUGCAUCAUUGAAACGGUUAAAGACAAAAAUUAAGGGAUACAAGUAAAAUGGAGAUUAAGCCAAAAAUGAGAUGAGAUUUAUAGAUAAAAAUGUCAUUUCAUGUAAUGUAUUUAUUGCUUCAAGGAUUUAAUAGACAAUGCGUAAUCUUUUAAUCUGUGGACUCAAUUAGGAUACUUUUGUAACCUAUGGUCUCUGAGUUAUGUUUUACA